rnacentral:lncRNA from 1 species
CUUCGUCCUUACCUUCCAUACCCAUGGGAGGAGGUAGUGAUCAAUACGAUGUGUUCUUGAGCUUUAGAGGCUCCGACACUCGCAAAGAAUUCACUGAUCACCUCUACCGCAGGCUGAUCAGUGGAGGGACUGUACCAAUUUCUGUUUUCAGGGACGAUAACAGCCUUGAAAUUGGCAAGGAUUUUAAUUCAGAGAUUCUCAAUGCCAUCACGUGAUCUAAGAUUUCGAUCCCCAUCAUCUCUGAAAAUUAUGCUUCGAGCAAAUGGUGCCUCCGUGAGCUAGUACGCAUCAUGGACUGCCAGAAGAGCAUGUCACACACAGUGUUGCCCAUUUUUUACAAAGUGCUCCCAUCGGAUGUGCGGUAUCUAAAUGGAAAUUUUGGGGAGGCCUUCCAUUCGCGUAAGAGGCGUUUUGAUAAGGAGGACAUUCAGGAAGGUCAACGAGCCCUUACAGAAGUGAGUAACUUGAAUGGAUGGGAAUCUGAGAAAUUUGCCAAUGGGUACUUACCUUUUGCCUGCACUUUUUUUUAUUCCCCUAAGUAUUGUUAUUUAGCGAAACCAAUGUCAUAUGGAUGAAUUGCUUCCACUACAAGCUUACAAAAAAUCCCAAAAUGUCCCAGUGAAUAACCAUAAUGGCCCACGGACUACAAAGAGAUUGAAGAUAACUAUGCCAUUUACAUGUGGAAGGAUUGUGACUUUUAUCCAUAUCAAGGAAUUGAAGAGUUGAAGUUGAGGUGCUUAAUAAAAAUUGGAGAUCGUGGCGAGUUUAGGAUGCAUGAUCAAUUGAGAGAUCUUGGAAGGAGUAUCUUUUGCCAAGGACAACCACCUGAGAGAUGUCUGAAACUAUGGAUUGAAGAUGAAGACCUUUUGCAGAGAGGAGACCCAGAGGUAAUGUAGCUCUCUCUUAUAAUUUUAAAAAUUCAAUGUGAUUUUUUCUAAUCUUUUAUCUACUACGAGCAUAUACUCCUAUUCUCGAGGAAAAAAUCUACCUAUACAUCCAUUCAUGACCGUCGUAGAUGAAUUGUGAUAGUAAAUUGAUUAUAAGUGUCCCAAGGAUGAAAAGGUUACAUUAUUUAAUUCAAAUUGAUAUAUUUAAAUUAGAUCUAUCAAAAAUUUAAUUUACUAUCAAAUUAAGAUUCUUUAACUAUGAUUAUUAACUAAAAAUCUUGUUCACUAAAAGCAUCUAAUUUUUUAUCUAGUUGAAAAUAUUGAUAAUAUGAAAGACUACAAUAAUUAAUAAAGAUGAAGCAUAUACAUCAUAGAACAAAUAUGUGCCAAUCAUAAUAACUAAUAAUUAAGCAAAUUGGUAACAUUAAAGAAAAUUUUCACACUUAUGAUAGGUGCUUACUUUCUAUUACGGUCGAAUGUAUUGUGGUACUCCUAUGAUUUAGGAAAUCAAUGCAUGAUGCACUUUUUUUUUUUCCCAUUUUGAUUUUGAAGAUAUCCCUCCCUUUGCUUGUUAUAUCUAUCAUUUUUCAUUCUUCUCUCCUCUUAAUAGACAUGAUGGUAAAAAUAUCCUUAGGAUUUAUAUUGGGAAAACCUUAAAUAUGUUUUUAAGGUUGUAUCACGUUGACCUCGUUCAUCUCGUGGAUUAGACUAGGUGUUUGACAAUGAGUGGAUUUUCUUAUUUUCCUUUCUUUGCUUCUUUCAUUUCCGUUGUCUUUUCCUUCACUUUUCUUAAUAAACAUUUCUUUGCUCUCCAGGAUUUUUUAUAAUAUAUAUAUAUAUAUUUUUGGUCAAUGCCCUUUUGUGCCAAAAACCGCUUGACAAACUUGACAAUUUGGAGGAAAAGUCGUGCUUAUUUUUACAUCGAUACCUUUUUCUUUAUUUUUUUUAAUUAGAUUGUCAUGUUCAUGUCAUUUCAUAAGUUUAUAUUGUCCAUUAGGGAAGCCUAAUAGGUUCAUGACUGAUCAAUGGCGGGAAAUUAACCUUAGCAAGUCACUAAGAGAUGCUGGGCAGAGGAAAAAGCUUUAUAUUCUUGAUUUGAAGUGAAAUAGUUCGCUCUUGACAUUUUAAAGAGCACACUCUUUUGUUGAUUCAAUAACUAUUUAUUUAUUAUUAUUAUUAUUUUUUUUGGUGUUGGAUUCAAUUACUAUUUUUAACAUUAGCAAAAACAGCACUAUGGGAGCUCAAAGAAACGAAAAAGAAAGUCGAAUGUAUUGAACUAAGGUAAAUGUUGAAAGAUCUUAACUAGUUUCGGAAAACACUUAAGUGAUUGUCAGAUGUGAGGGACGUUAAUUCAAGUUGGAAAAUGAAAUAUUUAUGGGACUAAUUUCCAAUUAUCUUGAAUAUUUUCACUAUAAUAUCCUAUUUCUACAAUUUAGUUUGGUAAAAUAUCUAUUCAUCUUUUAUCUAUCUAAUAUGCAGUAGACUUAAUGUACGAUUGUAAAUCAUGAGAGACGACGUGAGAUGAUAAUUACGACAAGAUUUAGUGACUUUUCAUACAAACAGACUUAAGAGAGAUUAUAUCCGCUGCACGUUUUUUAGUAGUAAAUAUAUAAAGUUCAAAUAAUGACAAACGAGUCAAACCCUUAAACUGACGCCAACCAAAAAAAUAAAAAAGGGAAUUCUAUCUUUGGUUUCGUAGUGUUUGUGAAAGUUCAUAUUUCACAAACAAACUUGGGUUUUGGCGGUUUAGUUUAUUCUUAAUAUAUCAAAGAAACUAAUGAAAGAAAAUAUGCACUUUCAAGCUAUGUUGAUGGGUCGAUAAUUUUAGUUUUUUUGAUGUUUACUAUAUAUCUCAUGCCCUAUUGUAUCUUCCCUUCUAUAAAUGCACUCGGCCAAUAAAUAGCCUUCCAAAAAAAAAAAUUAAAAAUAAAAGUAAGAAUUAGCUUUCAAUUUGGAGGAAAUACCUUUCUAACAAAAGUUCAUGCGAAAGAAAAAAGGAAGUCUAGGUGCAAAUCCUAAAGAACUUGACCAUAGAAUAAAUUGCAAAGAAAAAACAACUCUCUAGACAUGUCUCCUUGGUGCCUAACUGAGCGUGGCUUGGUGCCCGCUUUGAUCCAGAAUUGCACCGCUACGCUGUUCAAGCGACUGGCUGAGUCUUGCUGAGGCCCAGCCACUGACCAAUAGCUUUAAUUACUUGCAACCUCUGUCAUGGACAUCUCAGUCUUUUUCCUCUGAACGUCUGCACCACGUCAAUCUGCAAAGUCCAUCGCCACGGGUUCUUAUAUAUGCACAUUGAGUCGCGGCUUGAUUCAUUUGUGGUCAAGCUUGAAAGUUUAAGUGGAGUUUUGUGAGUUUGGAGUUAAUGCUCUUCCUUUUAAGAUUUUGAUACUUGAACGUUAUCAAAUGUAGGGAGCACGUAGUAGAAGCCUGAUGUCUUUAAGCGGGGAGAUUGCUAAGUGGAAACCCAAUUCCGAGCCCGUCAAUAUAUCUAAAUGAACCCAUAUUCACUCUUAAGCUUAAGUCAAUGGAUUAUGGGUCAAUUUGAUAUAUUAACUACACUACAUCAAAUCACUUAUCCGAUGUGAGACUUUUUUAAUACAACUCAUAUGUGCAUCCUAUCAAUCAGAUAUUGUUAUUGAUCAGCUAAAUUUUCACCCGGAAAGGGGGGGAUAAUAGAUAUUGUUGUUAAUGUCAAUCAAGAUCUUUGGGAUUUUGUCACCAUCUUCUACUAAUUAGAUUAUAUCUUUUAGCAACAAAGUUAAGCGGUACUUUUGACUUAAAAGAUGUAAAAAGAAACGGUGCCAGUCUCAGGAAACGGACAUACGGAUCUUCACUUUUUUGUUUUGGUAAAAUACACGAGUAGAUUUCUCCAGAAACUCUCGUCCGCCAGAGUUUGCCAAAAGAUAAUGCCCAGCGACAACAACCUAUUGUUCCAAAUGUUAGAAACCUUAAUCUAACAAUAACACCAAUAAAGGAAGUCAAUUAGUUCAUUUUAAGUUGGUCCAAAACCAACUCUUUUCCAAUUCCCAUCUAAAUCUAAAAUAUUAUUUAAAUACUGUCACCUUUUGAACAUACAUGACAAGAAAAGUUUCAUUUUUAAAAGCGAUGAUUAAACACUUGAUAGGAGAAGUUAACGAAUUGAGAGAAUCCGGUUCUUCCUUAGCUACCUAACAAAUUAUCCAUGGGAACUCUUUAACAUUUGCGUGUUUUAAAAGUUUCACUUAUUUCACCUUGGAUAAAAGUCAGAGUUCAUACAUUAGAAGAUUCGGAAAAAGCAGUAGGUAACACAUGUUUCGUCUUCAAUUUUUUAAAGCAAGAGGCAUUGUUCUUUUUGUUUAAAAUAUUGUUUCAAAAGAUUAUCAAUAUAUUAUAUGUGAGUUAAAAUAUCAACAUUUAUGCAUAGCUAGAGGGAAAAACAUGACAAAUUGUGUAAGUCAAUUGUGUAAGUCUAGGAUUUAGAAAACCAAAAAUGAAAAAUAAAAAGUCAAUUAAAACACUCGAUUGAUUUGAUAUGCAGGGGUUUCGUAUAGGUCUCCACACUUUAGCAUAUCGUUGGCUCCAUGGCUGUCCCUCUACAUGCACAAGUGAACUGUUUAAAACCUUACCUAUCUCAAGGUUCCUUCAAUUGCAUUGGAAGGCUUUAAGUGGAGACUUUAACGGAUUGUUUUCUGAAUUAAGAUGGCUUCAGUGGUUUUGUGUUGAACCCAAUAUGUCUUCUUCGGCAAUCAAUUUACAUCUGCCUAAAUUAGUGGUGCUGGACUUGUCACUAAACAAGCUCACAGAGGAUUGGAGCGGAUGGAGUUCAAUCAUGGUAAGAUGGGAAGAAAAACAUUCUCUGUGAUCUUUGCUUUAUAUUGUCUUGUCCAUUAAACUCCUUUUUUGACAGCUUAUUCUCCUUUGUACAGGAGGCAAAGGGACUAAAAGUUCUCAACCUUUCAUAUAGCGAGGAAUUAAAAGGUACUCCUAAUUUCUCGGAUUUCACAAAGUUGGAGAUUCUUAUCUUGAGGGAAUGUCAUAAACUGGAGAAAGUCCGCCCUUCUAUUGGCAAAGUCAAGAGCCUCGGUUCCUUGGACUUGAGACACUGUUACUUUAUUAGAGAGCUACCAAAGGAAGUGGGCGAAUUGCAAAACCUAAAAGAACUUCUUUUAGAUAACACCGCUAUUAGAGAGAUUCCUGUGUCAAUUGGUUCUCUGAAGAAGCUGGAGAAACUAAGUGCCUUGAAUUGUUGCUUGUUGGUUGGAAUCCCUCCCUCAAUUGGGAAACUUACUUCUCUCAAACACCUCGACCUAGGUGGGUGUUGGUUACUGAGAGAUAUCCCUAACUUAGAGAAUCUUUCUUCUCUCCAACAUCUUAACCUCUCUGAAUGUUGGUCAUUGGAAAAACUUCCUGACUCAUUUGAGAAUCUUUCUUCUCUAGAAUACCUUGACCUCUCUGAUUAUUGCGAUGAGCAUCUUCCUCAUCCAUGUUAUUACCUAAGUCGUUUAUCAUUGGGAGUAUUUACUAUUAUGCAGGGAAACAUUUUUCGCAGAGAAGUUGAUCUAAGCCGUAGCAAAUUUUGGAGAGAAUUCCCUAUCUCAAUUGGGAACUUAUAGAACUAACAAUAUAUGGACAUUAGUCAUUCUGCGAUUGAAGGGUUCCCCAAUGCUAUUGGAAGGCUUGAAAAACUACGGAGGCUAAUUUUUAAAUCCCGCAACGAUGAGAGAGUGGGAUUUCAAGAAAAAAUCCGUGAAAAAUUUCCUUUGCUUUUCAACAUCAUUCACAAAUUCCAAUCUGAACUGCCAAAUAGCAUGCAGAAACGUUCUCUUCUCAAUAUCCUUCGCGGAUCCUAUAAUGAGCUCCGAUUGUUGCUAGGGACUUUUUCCGGCUUAACAUAUAUUCAUGUCUAUGACCCGAUUCGCAGAUUGCCCCAGCUUUCUUGCCUAAAAGAACUAGAAGAACUUCAUCUUUAUGGAUGCAAUGAACUUGAGUACAUCCCGGAGCUUCCCCCAAGCCUCUUGAAACUUUGUGUUGACUCCUGUCCUAAGCUGAUAUUGCCUGAGUUUGACGAGUUCAAGUACUUGGAAGAGUUGUCAAUAAAACACUACAAUUCCAUUGAAAGAAUGGACCUCUCAAAAUUGAAUUGUCUGAAAGGAUUGGACAUUGAGAAUUGCAAUAAUCUAGUUGAAAUUCAGGGCCAAGGUAAAUUAGAGAUCUCGGAGACGAUAAAUAUAUGUAGGUGCAAGUCCAUUGGAAGGCUGAUCCUUCCAGAAUUACAGUGUUUGAGGCAAUUAAAGGUUCACUUUUGCGACAAUCUAGUCGAUAUAUAAGGUCUUGAUAAGGCAGUGUUGUUGGAGGAAUUAUAUAUUUCUUCUUGUGAGUCCAUUGAAAGAAUUUCUGACUUACCAAGCUUCGUGACCUUGAAAAAGUUGGAAAAGCUAGUUUUAUCUGGCUGCGGGUCCAUCAAGAAGCUGUUCCUUCCAGAAUUGGUGUGUUUGAAGCAAUUAAAGGUUGACUCUUGCUACAAUCUAGUCGAAAUACGAGGUCUUGAUAAGGCAGAGUUGUUGGAGGAAUUAGAUAUCUCUUUUUGUGAUUCCAUUGAAAGAUUACCUGACUUAUCAUGCUUCGUAACCCUAAAAAAGUUGAAUAUCAUGGGUUCUCACAAUCUACUUGAUGUUGAGACCCUCGAGAGAUUCUUGUCUUGCCGAAGCAUAUAUAUAGAGGGGUGCGAUUCCCUAGAAAAAUUACCGAACCUAUCAAAAUUUGAAAAUUUAGAGCAUUUUACAUUGAUAGGUUCCUUUGUUAGAGAGAUUCCCGGGCUUGAGGAAUCAGGAUCUCUGAAACAUUUAACAAUUAUGGAAUGCGAAGAAAUUGAGACUUUGCCAGAUUUGUCGGGAUGUAAGAAGUUACAUGCUCUAAAGGUGCUAUCCUGUGAGAAACUUACUCAGAUUCGGGGACUUGAAAAAUUGGAUUUAAGGUGUUUGGAAAUUUGUGAGUGUGACUCAUUGGACACGCAACCAAAAUUACCUGAAGCAGACGCGGGCUGUAGUUGCGAUGAAGCGUAUGGAGAUGUUAGUUGCAUUAUUUUGCUGUAAUAAUGAGGUGAUAAUUCUUAAGCUACAACAAUGAGACGAGUCAUGUUUCCUUAAUAGUAAGCAAGUACGCUAGCAUUUUUUUUUCUGGGAUACAUAACCUACUUGUGAUUACUAUCUUCUUUUAACAAGGUCUUCCUUGACAGGGUUUCGUACUUCCCUCAAUUCCAAGUCUUACGUGGGGUAGUUGGUCGUGGAAGCUGACAUGAUGCUUCGGCCCAGAUGGAAAUGUAGAUCUAAGUGCGGUUCUUCGUACAUUAGAAGGCAUCGCUCAUCUGGUAAGAUUCUUCAUCUCAUCCCUUAACAAUUAGCAUGAGCGAAUAGAGUAAUGAUUUUCUCAAGGAUGUGUCAUUUAAUAAUUUUUGCUCAACAUUAGGUAUCGAUUUGAUCUGGAUUUGCCUAAAUGUAUAUGUUAUUGAUUGCAUUAUGGCAAUGUAUUUUCGGCUAUACUUCCAUUGGCAACUUUUGUAGACAGAUUGGCAGCUUGUGAGGCAAUAAAUGAAAAUAUCGACAUAGGUAAACAAGAAUUACUAGUGAUUUACAGUUUACCUCUUGGUAAACCUAAGAUGGAAAUUUUCAUAAAGAGGCUGAUGAUUUUCUGCUACUUAAUAUUAUAAACUGCGCCCAGAUCUCUCUCUCUCUCUCUCGCAAACUAGCAUUUUCCUUAAAAAAAUCCUUGACCAUUUUGAACUCCUUUUGUGAGCAGUUUUAUGUGUCAAGUUUGACUAAUGGUAGAUAUCCAGUUUAGAACAAACACCUCUUGAUUUUUCGUGAUGAUUAGAAAGCCUGUCAAGUUUCUUAUUGUUCAUUCAAGUAUGAAUUCUGAAUAAGGAAGAGAAACUGAGCUAAAAUAAAAAUCAAGGUUCAAGUUUUUCUGGUGGGUGAUUUAGCAAAAUAUGAAAAUUAGUUUUGGCUAGCCUGUUUCAUAGAUAUUUGUAGAUAGGCUUUCCAUAACCAAUUGCCGAAGUGUUGGUUUGAAAGAUUAUCAAGCGAAGUAAGUUGGUGCUGCUUUUGUGACAGCUCUGGCUGGUCUAUUUAAUGGUCAAGGUUUACUUUUGUACUCCAAUUCAAAUGACCUUUUGCAUGAUUGGAACAAUUUUUUGCCUGUUGUCUAAAACUAGCUAGGCGUGGCAUUUAUGAUUUUGCUAAUUAGUUUGCAUCCUGUUUGAUUCUGUUGUUGUCGUAGAAUCAUUUCAUUGCAUGAUUGAUCUCGGUUUGGCUAACUUGGCUUAGGAAAUUCAAAUUCCAUACCAGAGACCGAUCAAAAUGAAGAAGAGAGAUUUUGCCAAGAAAUCAUCAACAGCAGCUGAGGGCAAUCUUUUGUGCCGACCUUGAAGAGGCUCACAGGCCAACUGGAGUGAUCUGAGGAAGUGUUUUAUGCCUGUGAAGAUUAAAGCACUUGAUCUGGUCUCAAAGGCACAUAACCGAGUGAUUGAGAACAAUUUUUUUUUUUUUUUUUCAAUCGAACCUGCUUUUGGUAUGCUUAUUAGGUUUUACUUAAUCAAGUAUGGAAGUGCUAAUUUUUCUGCAUGUUGCCCUGAAUCCCUGAUGCAGAGUUCUUUGAUGCAAUUGUGUUCUAAUGAUAUCAUUCCCGAACUCAAUUAGGCUCUGCUGAUAAAGGUAUGCACUGCCUGUCCUACCAUAACUAAUGAGAGAGUAACUUGUCUGCCUAUACUUAAUUGAAUGUGCUUCCUAUAUGCUUGUUAGGUUCUACCUCUCUGUUAAUCAACUACAUACCUACUGAUAUUCUGCGUGUUGACCUGACACAGGUGUCUGAUACUGUAUCGUUCUACUGAUAUCACUCUCAAACACAAUGAGGCUCUGCAAAGGUUGGUAUGCACUGCCAGAUAUACCAUAACCGUGAUAGAGUAACUUGUGCGCUUAUACUAUAUCAGCUGUGGAAUUUCACUGGAAAAUCCAUAAAAUAGGAUGCAUGAUGAUAAUAUCCUCUUUUCUGUCAGUUUAUAAUAUCCUUUGCAUGUUGUGAUAAAGUCUCUGAUACAACGAGCUUAGAUCUCAUGUUGCGGUGUAGAAUUUGUUAAGUUAAAUGUAGUCUCCUAGCAAACAAUCCCUUAUUGCUGAUUUUGCUUAUUAGAUAUUGCAAAAUAACCAAGUGACAAAUGCAUCUUUCUGUUUUGUAGUUUGGGCACUUCAACUUUUCAGAAUCGGUUCUGUUGCCAAGCACAAACAGGGAAGAUGGUGCUGUUUGCUUACUUCUCUUCUCCUAUGUUGUUUUCUUUUUCUUUGCUUGAUAUUGAAGUCUCCGUUGAGUGCUAUCCCAAUGCAAACUAAUCAGAGACGCGUGUAAUGUGUAGCAAAAACAAUGUCUCCAGGUUUUGGUGUUGACACAAGUAUUUCAUUGAAGAGGAAAUUAAUAGAUCACCAGAAUCUGGACCAGGUCAAAGUAAUCUUGUUUAUAUUAAUGGACUCUCAAGUCUUUGCUUACAACUUUCAGCUAAUUUUGGACGCUCCAUACAAAAUACAUCUAAAAAUAGAAAGAACUAACCAAGGAUCAAUGCAGUCACGCCAAUAUCUCUCGUUGAGAUGAUUGGAAAGUGUAACACAGUUUACUCUCAGCCAUCUCGUGUACCUCAUGCAUCAUCCUCUUUUCUUGACCAUUUUUAACUAGUGCUCUGGUGGAGUUUAGUCAUAAGUCUCAUAAGGUUGAAUUUGCUAAUGUUAGUAACUUUUGAUGAAUAUGAUAAGUGAACCUGAAUUUAUCUUACAAUAAACAACCUGAAACUAUCGUACAUUCUUUUCCUGAAUCUUUUACAAGGUUCAUAUGAAGCUACUAGAAUAAUUAAUUAUUUUCAAACUCUCAUGGGACAACAGCUAUUAGGAAAAGCCAAUGAUGCAGAAACUUUUGCAUGACUUGCCUCGAAGGACACAACCAAGACAAGGCAACAAAAUCUCACCAAGGAAUGAUAAAGGCUGAAAGAAUAAGAGGAAGAAGAAGAACUUUGCGCCAUCUUUUUUGUGAUCAGUCUGUACAACUUUCUGGUUGUGUUUCGUAAGGCUGUUUGAAAGUCUUUGCUCAUGAAAUUCUGAACCCCGUGUUCACUUUCUGGCAAAGAUCUUCAAUUGUUUUUAUAGAAGCCAUUGGUCAUCAUGGCCAAGGAAGAAGGAAAUGAAGCGGAAGAUGAAGAAGGUAUUAUUUGUGCAAAUUUUGUUUAUUUCCUAGUUAGUAAUGCCAUAUGCCUCAAUUGAGUUGACAACAAAAUGUGCUGAAAAUCUCAAAAAAUCGAAAGAGAAUGUAUUCCAAGUUCGAACACAACAGAAGGAUUGCAGCUACCCCUACUACCAGGACCUUAUGUGGACUCGGCUGCCGCCUCCUCUGUGGUAUAACUGGUAUGAUGAUUGGUUCAUGAAAUAAUUGAUAUAAUGCCAAAGUGCUUAUUUACAAGUCCCCUCUAUUCAUUCAGUAGUAUAAGCUAGCACGAGUUCAUUUUUUCACUCUCAUAUCAGCAUUAGCAUCACAGAGUUGGGUCUUCCAAUUCCCAAGGAAAUGAAUGUUGUUUUUUGGUUCCUCUUUUUGCCUUUGCAGGGUUUUGUACCGAUAAACUGUCGAUGCUCCUUGCGAUAACCUUCGAUGAUUGUGGUGUACAUGAUCACAUCUAGCGCCCAGCCUCUUUCUUCCAAAUUUGUCAGCAAUCGAACGGCUUUCCUAUUAUUGCCGGUUCUGCACAAUCCCCCACCAUGGCUCCGCAUGUGGCCAUAUCUCCCCCGAUUUAUCUGGCUAACAUUUCAUCUGCCAGGCUCAUGGCUUCGGCAAUUUUGUCCUCUCCGACAAGGCCAUUGAUCGAAGUGUUACAGCUCACGGAAGUGGGUUCAAGUGCAAGUUCGACCAUUUUACACAAAACUGAGAACCCGGGAUCGAAUCUUUUCAAUUGGCAGAGGUAAUUCAUCAAAAUGCUGCGAGUAAAAACAUUGGGAGUCGUUCCUUUCGAACCCAUCCGCUCGAUCAUGUCAAUGGUGACAUUCGAGCGAAACAGGGAGGUGAAGGCAAAUGGUUCAUCCGAAUCGUCCUCUUCAAGUAGAACAAAGCAUCGGCAGCUUCCACCAAUGCACCAUUUUUGCAUUUGUUCGCCAGAAAGGCCACAGUUCGGAUCAGUCGAUUGAAUCGCUCAUUCCAGCAGUGGAUGGGCAAGUGUGGGAGCGACGUGAAAUAAAAUGGUUCGAUUCAGAGAAGGGAUGAGAACUGAGGUUUAGCGAGAUCACCGGAUUCUCGAGCAAGACGGUGAAGAGCAGAAGUGCAAAUGGAUCGAUAGCAGAAGUGCAAAUGGAUCGAUUCAUUCCCAUCAGUUUCACCAUUUUUCUCCUCUUGAGUUCCGGGAAUCCACAGGUUGACAGUGUAUGGAGAGGAUGAUUGUUAGGCAGUUCAAUAACUGAAAACUUUAGAUGUCUGAUAACAUAGUUUUCAGUUCAAUCAUCGAAAAUUAUUUUGAUUGUCAAACUGAAUAUUUCUAGAAAUACUCUGAUCGAUUCUUUCUCAUCAGUUUCGCCAAUUUUGCAGUCUGAUAAAAUGUUUCUCCCGAACACGUGCUUGAAUCUGUAAGGCAGUUGAAGAGAGGUCUGUAUGCAUAAUCAGAAUGGAUCGAUAUCUCACACGAUGACGAUGAGUAACACCAGUGGAGUCAAAGUAUGGCCUGUCGAAAUAAACAUAUCUAGCCUUAUUAUAAUCACCCGAAAAAAUGAGAAAAUAAUACGAACGUUGCUACUCUUGUCAUUGUGUGCACAGAACGUAUUACAUUAUACCAAUUUAACGUUUUGUUUUUGGUCUAUUCGAUAUUAUUCCAUUCCAAUUUCUUCCCGAUACCUCCCAAGGAAAAUCCCGAAUUGGAUUCACAAAUUGACAGGUUAGUGUGAGCUUAUUCAUGCGGUUAUGCACUCUUUCAAUAGGAAUCCAUUUUUUUGAAAGAUCCUAGCCUAUUUUUUGAAAGAUCCUAGCCUUGUGGAGAAUGAGGCAGGCGUCCUGGCUCAUAUAGUGCAAAACGACGUCACCGGAAAAUUUUUUAUAUGUAUUUUUUGGCUGGAUGGUUUACAUGUGAAGUACGUAACUUCGUGAAAGAGCAUUAUAUUUCGUUCUUCUUUUCUCCGAUGGCGUAGGUUUGCUUAUUCAGUGGAUAAACUCUAAACAUGUAAAGACCGUGCUAAUGCACCUAGUUAAAGUAAGUUGAGGCGAGUAAGAGAUGGCUCAGACACCAAUUGGCUUCUAUAUUAUAUAUAUAUAUAUAUAUAUAUAUAUAAAAGCUAAUGGAUUAAGAAAAAUUGUACGCUGUAAAUCUGGACUGCGAAAUCUGUCUUUGAUAAUGUGGUUUUGCAAAAAUCGAUUCCAUAACGUGCGCUUAAUCCACAUGCGCAAGUUCCUUGUGAAUCACAAAACCAAUUGCAUGAGUAGUGUCAGGAAAAAAAAUCAUGAGUUAUGACAUUUGAAUGAACGAAAAUGAAAACAUUCUUUUUCCCCACCUUCAAAUUGUCCCCAUUUUCCCAGAGAGUAUAGUUUACAAUUCGUUUCUCAUCUUAAGGAUAACAAUCGUGCAUGAUAGCAAUCGUGCAUGAUAGCGCAAAACAGACGUAGAAUUUUAACCAAUAACUCCUUCUUUUAUGCUUAUCUUAUCAUCAUGUUGUUCAAUUGAGUAAAACACGCGACUAAUUAGCGAUUCCACAGUAUGAGGACAUGGAAAGACAAUAAUUUACAAUUUAACUAGACAUGAAACCGAACGUCACACGGAAAUAAAUUAUAAAAAGAGAAAACUAAUAAUUAUCAAUAAGGGAAUAAGUAUUGUAAAUGAUUCUUUUAUUCAUUUGCUCCCUAACAUAAAGGACCAUUUCAUGAAAGAACAUGAGUUGUCAAGUGUAAUUAAUGACAAUAAAAGGCAAGUCUUGAGGNNNNNNNNNNNNNNNNNNNNNNNNNNNNNNNNNNNNNNNNNNNNNNNNNNNNNNNNNNNNNNNNNNNNNNNNNNNNNNNNNNNNNNNNNNNNNNNNNNNNCUGGCAUAAUCUUCUACAUUGUCGGAAAAGAAUCUUACUCACAUCUGGAAGAUGCAUAUCAAUAGUUUUUUCGUUUGACUUAUAUAUAUAUAGAGUGCAUCUUCCAAUUUUUAUUUUUAUUUUUUUUGUACAUCCAUGUACUAGAGAGUCUGCAUUGGCUGAUAGAAGAAUCGCUGUGCAGUAAUUUCAAAUUAUUGGGUGAAGUUAUGAAUCCAACGGUCCAUCCUCGAGGAUGGUAUAGAAUGGGUCUUGGAUGAAGAUACCGAUCAACAUCCUUUUGCUCCUAUCCACGUAUGACGCAAGAGCAAUUUUAAUGUAUUUUUUAUUGGUUACUUUUUAAAAAAGUCAAAGACACGUGUAUGGUUCCUACUACAUCGAGCAUGUCUAGAUACGCAGAGAUUAGUGAAAAUGAUUAAUGUAUGUUGUUGGGUCUUGUUUGGUUUAAUUAAUAAGAAACUAAUAAGUGAAUUCUCGUUCCUUGAAAUUACAUUUUAUUAUUUUUCUUUUCUUAAUUAUUGGUUUAAUGUGGAAUUUCAUUUGAUCGGUUGGCGGGUAAUCGUUGUUGCCCACUAACUCAUGCUGCUACCACAAACGCACCACCACCCACCCACCCCCACAGCCGCCUCCUUGCCACCUCAAAUGCACACCACCACCGCGAGGAUUCCGUUAGCUCAUCUACAGCACCAACCGCCCACUGCCACCGGCCACCACCAAACCACCCAUUGCGCCCAUGCUCCACUACGAGCCACCCUGACGCCACCAUCAAAGCACCACAACCAUCACCAACAAUAUUCCAAUACAGCCGGCGUGCCGAAGCAAGAACCCCCUAAUGACUUCCCCGCCUUCGCUACUGAUUCCACCCCCUUCCACUCACCCACCGAGUCAGCACCUUCUUCCACCUCCCCGACGUCCUCCACUCCGCCGAGAUUCUCCGAUCAUGACCACUGCCGUCCACUGCUCCCACCCAGCACGACUUGGAGACGGUUGAUGGACUCUCAAGUCUAUGCUCUCAACUUUCAGCUAAUAUUAGACUCUUCAUAACAAACACAUCUAAAAUGUAGACAGAACUAAACUAAGGACCAAUGCAGCCGCGCCCAUAUCUCUUGUUGAGAUGAUUGGAUAGCAUAACACAGUUUAGUCUCGACCAUCUCAUGUAACACAUCCACCGUUCUCAUAUUCUGACCAUCUUUAACAAGUCUCACAAGGUUAAAUUUGCUAGUGUUCGUAACUUUUGAUGAAAUACCUGAAGUUAUCGUACAAUCUUUUCCUGAAUCUAUCACAAAGUACAUAUGUAGCUAGCAGGAUCAUUAAUUAAUUUCAAUAUCUCUCUUGACAACAGCUAAUUGGGAAAGCCAAUGAGCAUGAGACCCAAUUACAAGGUUUAUAUGUGAUGAUGCGGUUCAAAACUAUAAAGAGCGCACACACGCCUCCAGGUCGUCCAGAACUUCUGCAUGACUUGCCUCCAAGGACACAACCAAGAGAAGGCAACAAAAUCUCACCAAGCAAUAAUAAAAAACUGAAAGAGGAAGAAGAAGAAGAAGAAGUGUUCUGCGCCAUCAUUUUGUCACCAGUUUUUACAACUUUCUGGCCGUGUUUAAUAAAGUUGUUCGAAAGUCCUUGCUCCAUGUAACUUUACAGUGCAUUCUCACUUUCUGGCCAAACAGCACCUUUUACCAUAGGUCUUUAAUUAUCUUUAUAGACUCACAUUGGUGAUGACCACGGAAGAGGGAAAUAAAGCGGAAGAUGAAGAAGGUGGUGUUUGCGCCAGUUUCUUUAUUUCCUAGUUAGUAACGCCAUCUGCCAUUUGCCUGAAUUGAGUUGACAACAAAAUGCGCUGAAAAUCUCAGAAAAUGAAAGAGCAUGUUGUCAAAGUUCGAAUGUAACAAACGGAAUGAUGGGGAUUGUAGCUAAUGUUGCUACCGGGGACUUCUAAUGUGAACUGCAGUGUCGCCUCCUCUGUGGUAUGAUGACUUGUUCCCCAAAUAUCUGAUUAAUGCUGAAGUAUUUGAAGACACAGGGAGCUGUCAAUGUUGCUAAUUUCCAAGUCCACUUUAUUUAGUCAAUAGUAUAAGCUAGCACAAAGUUCAUUUUUCUUACUCUCAUAUCAGCAGCAUCAGAAAGUCUUCUCUUCCAAUUCCCAAGGAAAUGAAAUUUAUUGUUUUGUUUUCUUUCUUUUUUUACUUUGCAGGGCUUAUACCAAUAAAUUGUUGAAUCUCUUUUUGCUUUGUCAAAAUGUCACAGUUGGCAUUAAAACUGAAUUGCAUAUUAACCUUAUUAUUGAUAAGAAAAUUUGACAGUAGAUUCACUUAUAAAGUCUCAGCUAUAAAUGUCCAUCAGUUUUCCAACUCAGCAGAUUGAGAGGGAUGACAGAGUCCUCAUUGCUCAAAUUCUACCUAGAUGUUUGUUAUGGCACUGAAAUUGAGGCGUAGCUGGAGAUUAUUUCUUCUUUGCCAGAGUUGUCAUUGUGAGUCAACAAUAUAUCGAACUCUCUAGAUUCCAUGCCGAUUGGAUGAUACAAAUGUGUUGUCCCCCAUGGAGUAGUUUGGUGGCACUUCGCAGCAUGAUCAAGCGCUUUUCAACUCGGUGCUAUGCAAUGGAUGUCACUAAUUUGCAUAAUUCUUGAACGUAUAGUUCUGUUAGGAAAUAGUAAUAAGGGUAAAAUAGUCAUAAGAGGGUUACUAGGGUUACUAGGGUUAUAUAUAUAAAUCCUUUUUUGAUUAAGUUAAUACAAUACGUAGAAUACUCUCUCCUUCAACAUGGUAUCAGAGCAAGGUUAAAACUUCAAGAGAGUGAUCCCACCAUCAGCACAACCCAGCAGUGGAGGCUGUUGCUAGAUCUAGACCCUCCGCCGCCGCCGCCACAGCGUGCUUCUCUUCUAGAUAGCGGAGGAGAAAGAACACCUACAUCGUCGUUCGGUCAUCGUCCCUAGAUCCAGAUCUGUCUACUGGUUUUCUAAGAUUUGGACAGAACUGCUACCUUGCGUCAAUCGCCGAAGCCCAUCUAGCAAAAUCGGUUUGUGUUCAGUCUUCUUUCUUGAUGACGGGAUUGAAAACCGAUUGCGUGAUUUGGUCUUUGUUUGUCUUGCGAUCUAGAUUUUGUGUUUUUCAUAUAUCCUGAGGAUUUUGGAAGCCUUCGGUUCUGCAAGGGUUUCGUUCAAUUCUGCAAGGGUUUCACCCCGAAAAAAAAAAAAUCGAAAAAAAAAAAACCGACCCGAACUGAGGGCAUCAUAAGUUGUUUUCCAGUAUACUUAUAUGGAUUCUCAUUGAAGUAUAUUGCUUGUUGAAGUGCUAGUUGGUAUGAUUUAAUGGCCUCCUAGUGAAGUAUAUUGACUCAGUGGUGAAUCGAUUGAACCCUUAUUUCUGUUUGUUGUUCUGUGGCUAAUUGCACAACUGGAGUAAAGUGCUUGAUUAUUGUGUCAUUCUUAUUGGGUUCGGUCGAUUCUUGUGUUCAACCUGUCUGGCUAAUUGCAUUAUUGGAGUUCAGUAGAGUUAAUACUGAUGGCUUCUACAUCAUCUACUGGUUUAAUGCAUUUUCAAUUGACAUCUGUCAAGUUGGAUGGCACUCACUAUCCAUCAUGGUCUAAAGCUGUACAAGUUUAUCUUACUGCAACUUGACAGCAUGAUUAUCUUACAUCCACACUUCCCUCGGAUAAGAGUAAAGUAGAUGAUUGGAUUGCUGGAGAUGCAAUGAUCCGUACAUUGUUAUGGAAUAGUAUGGAUCCGAAGAUUAGCCCUCACUUCAUUCAAUGUAAUUCUGCUAAGGAAGUUUGGGAUAAAUGUGCUCUAUUUUAUUCUGGCCAAAAUAAUAUGACACGAGUGUGUGACACAUGGGAGGCUCUGUUUGAUCUUCAGCAUGGAGAUCAGUCUUUAUCUGAAUAUUAUGCUUGUUUCACUACACUUUGUAGACAGCUAGAUACUUAUCUUCCAGCUUCCAAUGAUCCAAAUGUAUUAGUCAAACGUCAGGAGGAUCUUCGAGUGAUACUAUUUCUUAAAGUACUAGGGCCUGAAUAUUCCUUCCUUCGCCAGCAGAUUACGUCUGAAAGCUCCUUUCCUACAGUUGAUGAGGUUUUCUCCCGAGCCUUAUGCUUGACACCUACUGACAAGAUCUCCACUACAACUUUAGAAACAAGUGCCAUGAUUUCUCAUGGCUCUAGUGGACGUGGAGCUCGUGGUCGUGGUUAUCGAGGUCAUGGACGUGGGCUUAUUCAAGGUGGAAGUCGUGGUGGUCGUGAUAGAAUUCUUGGUAGCCGUGGCACUUGAUAUUGUAACCAUUGUCGGAGGGCUGGACACACUGAAGUUUAUUGCUACACGCUUCAUCCAGAGCUUCGACCCACAGUUGCUACAUUUGCUGAAGUUGAAGAUUCCUCACCAGUUCAAUUCGAUCCUACUAAUGUGCAGGAUACAAAAGAUUCAGUUACAUUGACACGUGCAGAAUAUGAGGCUUGGAUUCGUUCCAAACAGGUGACAGGAACUUCAGCUUCCAUUGCCACUCUAGUACAUAACUUAAAAAGUAGUUCAUCCUGUUUACUUUCUACAGUGUCAAACUCNNNNNNNNNNNNNNNNNNNNNNNNNNNNNNNNNNNNNNNNNNNNNNNNNNNNNNNNNNNNNNNNNNNNNNNNNNNNNNNNNNNNNNNNNNNNNNNNNNNNUUUUUCCCGAAUGACUUGGUUGUUCCUAAUAAAAGAUCGUACUGAGAUUUUUGAUUGCUUCGUCAAUUCUAUUUUGAAGUGCUGAAUCAAUCUAAUACUUCUGUAAAAAAUCUCCGAUCCGAUAAUGCCAAAGAGUAUCUUGCCAUUGCCUCUGGUUUUCAACCUUUUCUUGCUUUCCAUGGCAUUAUUCAUCAAACUUCUUGUUCAUAUACACCACAACAAAAUGGUGUAGCUGAACGUAAAAAUCGUCAUCUUCUUGAUGUUGCUUGUUGUCUUAUGUUUCACAUGCAUCUUCCGAAAACAUUUUGGGGCCAUGCUGUUCUUACAGCUUGCUUCUUAAUUAAUCGGCUUCCAACUUUUGUUCUUUAGGGGGAGACACCCUUCUCUAUUUUACAUCCAAAUCGUCCUCCUUUUGCAUUACCUCUACGUGUCUUUGGCUAUGUUUGUUUCGUCCAUUCUCUAACUCCAGGUCUUGAUAAGUUGGCUCCUCGUGCUGAUAAAUGUAUCUUUGUUGGGUACUCUCGAACUCAGAAGGGCUAUAAAUGUUACAAUCCUAUUAGUCGCCGAGUGUUUGUAUCAGUAGAUGUGACAUUUUUUGAGGACCGGCCAUACUAUAGUACUCAAACAGUCUUUACUGUGUCUCCUGACAUUGACAAGUGUGUCUUACCAAUUCCUCCACCAAUCUCACCUCCUCCAGUAUCAUCAACAGGAUUUCAGUUUGCUAAUCAAACUUACCAUAGACGAGGAACAGCUCCCACUACAGAGGUUCAGCCAUCACUUGAUUCAUNNNNNNNNNNNNNNNNNNNNNNNNNNNNNNNNNNNNNNNNNNNNNNNNNNNNNNNNNNNNNNNNNNNNNNNNNNNNNNNNNNNNNNNNNNNNNNNNNNNNNNNNNNNNNNNNNNNNNNNNNNNNNNNNNNNNNNNNNNNNNNNNNNNNNNNNNNNNNNNNNNNNNNNNNNNNNNNNNNNNNNNNNNNNNNNNNNNNNNNNNNNNNNNNNNNNNNNNNNNNNNNNNNNNNNNNNNNNNNNNNNNNNNNNNNNNNNNNNNNNNNNNNNNNNNNNNNNNNNNNNNNNNNNNNNNNNNNNNNNNNNNNNNNNNNNNNNNNNNNNNNNNNNNNNNNNNNNNNNNNNNNNNNNNNNNNNNNNNNNNNNNNNNNNNNNNNNNNNNNNNNNNNNNNNNNNNNNNNNNNNNNNNNNNNNNNNNNNNNNNNNNNNNNNNNNNNNNNNNNNNNNNNNNNNNNNNNNNNNNNNNNNNNNNNNNNNNNNNNNNNNNNNNNNNNNNNNNNNNNNNNNNNNNNNNNNNUUUCUCUAGCAGCACAUUUUGGAUGGUUUCUUCAUCAAUUACACAUCAAAAAUGCAUUCCUACAUGGUGAUUUGGCUGAAGAGGUGUAUAUGGAGCAACCACCUGGAUUUGUUGCUCAGGGGGAGAAUCUGGUAUGUCAUUUACAUAAGGCAUUGUAUGGACUCAAGCAAUCUCCUCGUGCUUAGUUUGGUAAGUUUAGUGAUGUGGUUAUCAAGUUUGGAUUAAAGCGUUGUUAAGUUAGACCAUUCAGUCUUCAGUUCUAUCUCCUCAGCUGGUUGUAUUCUUCUGGUGGUAUAUGUGGAUGAUAUUAUUAUUACUGGCAGUGAUUCAGAUGGUAUUCAACGACUCAAACAAUUUCUGCAUACACAAUUUAGUACUAAGGAUAUGGGACGUUUGCGGUAUUUCUUAGGUAUUGAGGUUGCCUACUUGCAUACAGGUAUAAAUUUAACUCAGAGAAAAUAUGUUCUUGACAUUCUUGAUGAGGUUGGACUUGUUGGGGAAAAAUCAGUUGAUACUCCUAUGGAACCUAAUGUGAAACUUGAUGCAGAAGAUGGAGAAUUAUUACACGACCCAUUGAAAUAUCGGAGAGUAGUUGGUAAGUUGAAUUAUCUUACCGUCACAAGACCUAAUAUAUCUUUUGCCGUUAGUGUUGUAAGCCAAUUCAUGGGUUCUCCUCGGACUACUCACUGGGAUGAUGUACUUCGAAUUAUCAAAUACUUGAAAGGAGCACCAGGUAAAGGACUAAUUUUCAAGAAUUGUGGCCACCUGAAUACCACAGGUUUUUCUGAUGCGGAUUGGGCUGGAUGUUCUACUAGUAGAAGAUCUACAUCGGGUUAUUGUGUAUUUCUUGGAGGUAAUUUAGUUGCCUGGAAGAGUAAGAAACAACAUGUGGUUUCUCGAUCAAGUGCAGAAGCGGAAUAUAGAGCAAUGGAACAUGUGACUAGUAAAUUGCUUUGGUUUAUUGGAGAAAUCUUUCCAGAAUAUUUUGAAGAUGACAAAACAUUUCUAUCAGUCUAAUCUGGAUAUUUGCAGACCUUCUGUUUAGAGUCUGAAGACUUUCAAAUCACCAGACUCAAGACUCAAGACUCAAGACUAUUCUCAUUGACAGUUUGUCUAAUCUAGUGAGGAAGGUAAUCCAAAGCCGAAGUAUUUGGUUGAGGAUUUAGUCCUAUCCUCUGGAGAAGAUAUCUUGGCUGGAUAAAUAUAACAGAUUCUUUUAUUCGUAAUCAAGAUCGUUUAAAGAUCCAAUGGUCGACGAAAUAUUCUUGGAAUGUUCUAUUCUUGGAAACCAAGAUCCUGAUUGUAUGGGCGAACAAGAUUGAUGGGCUAUCGUCAGGUUCCUUUAAUAGCUUGAAUGAUCUUCUUGAUUGAUUCCGUCCAACGGGUAGAUUGGAGGAAUUCCUUUGGUAAGUGCCAACGGGUAUGAUGGCAUAAAGGAGUAUAAAAGGGAAGACGUUCUAGUUGCUUAAAAACAUGAUCGAUAGAGAAAUUCCAGAGUCUGAAACACCUUGAUAUUUAGUCGAUACAUUUUGAGCGAAAUUGUAUACACAAAGAGUGUCUAUACUUAGUGAUACCUUGAGCGAGUGUGGUAGAUCACCUACACCAAGAAAUCAAGGAAGAUCAACGCUGUAACAUCUCUUUGUUCAUAGUGGAAUCCAGCCAAUAGGCUGUCAGUGCAGAAGAGUGGACGUAGGCUUGAAAUAAGCCGAACCACUAUAAACCGCAUGUUCAAUUCUCUCCUUCCUUCUCUCAAUCUUACUUUGAUUAUUGUUUGUCUCAAAUCUAUCAACUGUCUAGUAUUGUGCAAUUAUCGAGAAAAAUCUUUUAUAUACCUAUUCACCCCCCUUCUAGGUACUUAUACUAGCUAUAUCAAUUGGUAUUAGAGCUCGUGUACUUACUUUAUUUGAAGUGUUUUACUUCAGAGUAAAAGAUCCAUGGCUAGUAUGCUAGCACCAGGGCUAGUUGAAGGGCAAAGUAAUACCAGACCACCCUACUUUGAUGGAAAGGAUUACAACAUCUGGAAGAACAAGAUGAAAGCUUUCUUACGAUCAAAGGAUCCUCUGGAAUGGGACGUUGUAGAAAGAGGAAUUACUCCUACAGCUGCAUCAGUCUCUGAGAGAGGGAAAGAAACUGUUGAGACCAAUGGAAUGACUCAGGAAGAGAUAAUCAAGAGACAAGCACUCGAUACAAAAGUAAUUUACUCUUUAUAUUGUGCUUUGUCACCAACUGAAUAUAACAGAAUAUCUUCUUGUGUUACAGCAAAAGAAGUUUGGGACAGAUUACAUAUCACCUAUGAAGGAACAGAUCGAGUGAAGGAGACCGGAAUUAACAUUCUCCUUGGUCAAUAUGAAGCCUUCAAAAUGAAACCAGGAGAAUCUAUAACUGACAUGUUUAGCCGUUUUACGGAUAUUGUCAAUGGUCUUGAGAAUCAAGGACAAAAAAAUUUUGAUCCCAUGAAGGUAAACAAGCUACUGCGUGGACUCUCCAAGGAUUGGAAUCACAUAAAGACUUCAAUAAGAGAGACGCAAAGAAUUAUGCCAUUAUCUGUCGACGAGCUGAUUGGAACUCUUCAGUCUUAUGAAGUGGAACGAGUUAAUGAAGAUGAAGAUCCAAAAGGUAAGAAAUCUAUUGCAUUAAAAUCAAAUAAUGAUUCUGAUGAUACAGAUUCUGAAGAUGAUCUGGACGACGAGGAGCUUGCUCUUAUGAUAAGAAGAUUCAGAAAACUGAAUAGAAAAAGAAGGUUCAACUCAAAGAAACAAAGUUUUCAAAGACAGCAGACCAAGUCUGUUGAUGAUGAGGAACCAAACAAAGAUGUAGUUUGCUUCGAAUGUAAGAAAAAGGGACACAUCAGACCCAACUGUCCUCUUGUGAAGAAGAAGAGAGGAAAAGCUUAAAAGUUUCGAAAAGCACUCAAAGCCGAAACCUGGAGUGAUACAGAGUGUGAAGAAAGUGAUGAUGACUAUGCUAACCUAUGUCUGAUGGCACAAUUAGACUCAGACUUAGAUUCUGGAUCAGACUCAGACAGUGAAUUUAAGGCAAGUAAUUUCAAAAUUCCUAUCAAAAUUUCUAAAUACAUUGAUGAACUGUGUUUUAAUCUUAAGACUUCUCUCAAAAGAAUUUCCGAACUUAAAAAGGAAAACUCAGCUCUAAAACAAAAGGAAAACGUUUUAGAAAAAAGAGUUAAAAUUUUAGACUCAAAUGUUUUCACUCUUAAAGAAAAUGAAGAUAAUCUUUUGAAAGAAAAUGCUCUUUUAAAAACUGACUUAUCAAAAUUUUCAAAGAAAUUUUCAAUAGGGUCCGAAAAACUUGAAAAAAUUCUUUCAGCUCAAAGACCUUACUUCAAUAAGUCCGGUCUAGGUAUGACAACAGAAACAAUUCCCUUGAUUGAUUUUCCUAAGGUAAAAAAAAAAAAAUUAAGAAAAGACCUUCGAGAGAGGCUUACAAAAAUCAUUUCAAGAAAGUUUUUGUAAAGUCUGUAGGUCGAAAUGCUCUCAGAUGUUCAAAGUGCAACAGUUCAAAUCACUUUGAAAAAGAGUGUCCUAUGGUUUGGAAACCUGUUAAGAAAGUAUGAGCUAAUACUGUUUAUCAUACUAACACCAAAGGACCCAAGAAAAUUUGGGUACCAAAGAAAGCUUGAGACUCUCUUUUGAAUGCAGGUCUCCGUCAAGAAAAAGGUAAAAUGGUAUCUUGACAGUGGAUGCUCAAGACACAUGACAGGAGACUCAAAUUGCUUCAUAAAGCUUGUUCAAGUAAAUGGUGGAAAAGUUUCAUUUGGAGGAAACAACAAAGGAAGUAUUGUGGGAUUUGGAACUGUGAAAAUUGGAAAUCUCACAAUAAGUAAUGUUUCCCUAGUAGAAGGACUGAAUUACAAUCUUCUCAGCAUUAGCCAAUUAUGUGAUACUGGUUUGAAGAUCUUCUUUCAAGAAAGAACAUGUUCUGGAAUCAGUAAAGACUCUACUCAGUCUUUCAUGGGUCGAAGACAUGGAAAUAUCUACCUCUUAAACGUGAAACCAAAUGAAUCGCAAUGCUUAAUCUCAAUUCAAGAUGAAGCAAGCCUAUGGCACAGAAAGCUUGGUCAUGUCAACAUAAAGCAAUUAGCCAAAAUCUCAUCAAAGCAGCUUGUUCGAGGUCUACCAAAAUUACCAUACCAAAAGUCCGAUCCAUGCACUCCAUGUAUUCUGGGAAAGCACGUAAGAAAUUCAUUUAAACCAAUAAAUCAUGUUUCUACUAAUCAUGUACUACAGUUGCUGCAUAUGGAUCUCUUCGGACCAACCAGAACCCAGAGCAUUGGAGGUAAGAAAUAUUGCCUAGUAAUUAUGGACGAUUACUCCCGCUUUACUUGGGUAUAUUUCCUUGCAAGUAAGUCCGAAUCCUUCUCGUAUUUUGAAACAUUUGCUAAAAAUGUUCAAAAUGAAAAAGGAUGUGUUAUCUCAAGCAUAAGAACAGAUCAUGGAGGUGAAUUUGAAAAUCAAGAUUUUACAAAAUUAUGUGAAGAAUCUGGCUUUAAGCAUGUGUUCUCCUCUCCAUAUACUCCUCAGCAAAAUGGAGUUGUGGAAAGAAAGAACAGAUCUCUUUAAGAAAUGGCUAGAACUCUUUUGACUGAAAGUAAGAUUUCUUCUCGAUUUUGGGCUGAAGCUGUUUCGACAGCGUGCUAUAUCAUUAAUAGAGCCUUCUUAAGACCUAUUCUAGAGAAAACCCCCUAUGAGUUAUUCAAAGGUAAGAAGCCUAUUGUUUCAUACUUUCAUGUGUUCGGUUGUAAAUGCUUUAUAUUGAAAAAUGCAAAAGAUCAAGUUGGUAAGUUUGAAGAAAGAUCAGAUGAAUGCAUCUUCCUUGGAUAUUCUACAUCAAGCAAAGCCCACAGAGUCUAUAAUAAGAAGAGCCAGUCUGUGGAGGAGUCAAUGAAUGUCAAAUUUCAAGACUCUACGCAAGAUGAAUCGAGCCUGACUCAUCAUGAAGAGUCUAAACCUGCUCCAGACCCUCCAAAGCUUACAACUCAAGAAGCAUCUCAGACUCUGGAGGAUCAGCAUCAAGCUGUUCGUGAAGAUUCAAAUAAAGAAAGAGAUCAUCAACCAGACAAAUCAACUAGUAACUGGAAGCAUAAAUCCAUUCAUCCCAAAGAUCUCAUUAUCGGCGAAAUUAAUGAAUGAAUUCGCACCAGAUCCAAAAGGCGUGAAGAGUCUAGUGUUGUGGCUCUCAUUUCUGAAAUUGAACGAAAAAGCAUAGAAGAAGCUUUAUCUGAUGAAAGCUGGAUUGAAGCUAUGCAAGAGGAGCUCAGACAGUUCAACAUUAAUGAUGUCUGGGAGUUGACAUCUAAACCAAAAGGCAAAACUGUUAUUGGAGCUAAAUGGGUGUUCAGGAACAAGAUGAAUGAGAAAGGAAAAGUCGUACGAAAUAAAGCAAGACUCGUGGUCAAGGGUUAUACGCAAGAAGAAGGAAUAGACUAUGAUGAGACUUAUGCACCAGUAGCGAGGUUAGAAGCUAUUCGACUAUUACUUGCGUUUGCUUGUUAUAAAAAUUUCAGGUUAUUCCAAAUGGACGUCAAAAGUGCCUUCCUAAAUGGAUUUAUCCAUGAGGAAGUUUACGUGGAACAACCUCCAGGGUUUGAAGACCCAAAGAAGCCAGACUCAGUCUUCAGACUGAAAAAGGCCUUGUAUGGUUUAAAGCAAGCACCUUGAGCUUGGUACGACAGACUAAGUAAGUUCCUAAUACAUAAAGGUUUUGUCAAAGGUAAAGUAGAUACUACUUUAUUUAUCAAAAAGGAAAACAAAAGCUUUUUACUUGUUCAAAUAUAUGUGGAUGAUAUUAUUUUUGGAUCCCCUAAUGAAAGUUUGUGCAAGAAAUUUUCAAAGUCUAUGCAGGAUGAGUUUGAAAUGAGUAUGAUGGGAGAGUUAACAUUCUUUCUCGGGCUCCAAGUGAAACAAUUGGAGGAAGGAACUUUCAUUUAUCAAGAAAAGUAUGCAAAUGAUCUUGUCAAAAUGUUUGGACUGGAAAAGUGCAAAAAGACCGACAUACCGAUGUCAUGUUCUUUGAAGAUAGACAAAGAUGAAGAAGGGAAGAAAGUUGAUCAAAAGCUGUACAGGAGCAUCAUUGGUUCACUUCUUUAUCUUACUGCUUCUAGACCUGACAUUUUGUUAAGUAUUUGCAUCUGUGCUAGGUUUCAAUAAGAUCCUAGAGAAUCUCAUCUUAGCGCCGCGAAACGUAUUAUUAAAUACGUUGCUUCAUCUUUAAGCAUUGGUCUUUGGUAUCCUAAGAAUGGAGACUUUGAUCUUCUGGGAUAUUCAGACGCAGAUCUGGCCGGCUGCAGAGUUGAUAGAAAGAGCACUUCGGGAACUUGCCAAUUGCUUGGAAGUAGGACAGUGUCUUAGUUUUCAAGGAAACAAAGCGCUGUGGCUCUCUCAACAACAGAAGUUGAGUAUGUAGCUCUUGGAAGUUGCUGUUCACAAAUUCUAUGGAUAAAACAACAGCUACAAGACUUCGGAAUUAGGUGUGACAACACCAGCGCAAUCAAUCUCACUAAAAAUCCAAUCCUUCACUCAAGAGCAAAGCAUGUAGAGAUUCGACAUCAUUUCAUUAGAGAUCAUGUUCAAAAUGGAGAAAUCUCGAUUCAAUUUGUUGAUUCAAAGAGCCAACUAGCAGAUAUUUUCACAAAGCCGUUGGAAAAGAAUCAAUUCGAUCAUAUCCGUUCCAGACUCAACAUUUUGAAGAUGGAGGAAGUUAAAGUCUAGAGACUCUCCAACCCUCAGACUCAGACAUUCAUGGCUAUAAACUGUAAGUUGUUCUAUUCAAUCUCGAAAAGGUACGAUCAUUAGUUCAGUUAAUUUAUAAUUUCCGUGAAAAACGGAAUCUUGCCUUUUCAAAAAGGAUAACUUAAAUUUGAAAUGGUAGUUUUCUUUAAAAAGGGGCAGUUAUCAUUUUUCAAAAUUGGACGACUGUUCACUUUCCUUUGUGCCGAUUGGUUUUUUUUUCCUUUUUAACUGAGUUAUAUAUAUACAGUUCUCCUCGCUUAAACUUUAAAACCCUAAAAAGGCAUUCUCCUCCCAAUCCUGUCUCUACUUCUUGUUCAUCUUCGAGAGAGUUAUCAUCUUUUCUUGGGAAAGCGAGUAAAGGAAUCUUUUAGCGACAAGGAAGGAUGUCUUCUUCGAGAAAGUCUUCAAGAAUCGCGAACAGGGGACCACAGAGAAUGAAGGAGGGACCUACCCACCUCGAUCUCACCGAGGAGGAAGAUUUAUCGGGACAGCAACAAAGCCCAUUUCACUCUCCACCACAUCACUCUUCAUCUACCCCACAAGGUGCGGGUCAACAAUCGAAGGAAGAAAUAAUCGAGGACGUGGACCCUGUAAGAGUUCAAAAACCCUCUUAUAUUUACAAGCUCUAUCGUGCGUUUAAAACCACUGGUACUCCGCUGAACUAUAUAGAUGAUUUCCUUAAAGAUAAGAAUUAUGGGAAUGAGUACAUCUUUUUGAGGAAAAUGGAGGAUUUGGGAAUUGCUCCCAAAGGAAAGGCUGAAGAAGCACUUGCGAACAUUCCAAGUGACCCUCGUGUAGGAGGAUUGAAUCCCACUGACGGGAAUGAUGAUGAUAAAAUGUUCAGUGAAUUUCAACCCAUAAUGGGUGUUGCUGCAAAGGUGAAGGGAAAAAGGAUGGAUUUGUUUAAAUCAAAGGAAUAGGAGAACCUGUUCUUUAGACUGUUGAAACGAGGGGUGAGAAACCCUAGAAGUGUUGAUUUCGAUUUCUUGGAUGCCAUUAAUGUGAACAUAAGGGAGAAGUUCAAUCUGCUUCAAUUUGAGCAGUUUUGCUCCAAUACCACAGACGGUUAUGUGUAAUUGACAGCAUACUUCUAUUCAAAUCUUAGCUUUUUAGAUGUGAAUAGAAUAUCAUUCAGUGUUAGAGACCAAGACCAUGUGGUAGAUGUGGACAUGUUGGAUGACAUAAUUGGAGUUGAACGAGGACGCUAUCAACCGAUCAAAGUUUCGAUUGCUCCUGCUACACUGGAACUUGUCAAAGACAGGGAUACAGAGGGAAGAAUUACCUACUCAAGAAUGAGUGCCAUCAACAUUUUGCUUCACAAAAUUGUGAUCAACUGUAUCAGACCAAAGUCUACAUCCAAGACUGACGUGUCUAACUCCGAGGCAAAAUUGAUGUACGCAAUCAAUUCAGCAAAGAAGUUCUCUCUCCCUCGCACCAUUCUCUUUCAUAUGUACAGAGCAAUGGUGAAGGACAAGGGGCAAUUGCCUUACCCAGGUCUUGUGACCAAGAUCUUCAGACACUUGAACAUUGAACCUCCACAUACUCUUUGUGUUCGACCAUGCGACAAAAUGGUGGUGGGUUUGAAAAUGCUGACAAAAAUGCGUCUGAAAGAGCUUAGCAAGGCAAUGGAGAAGUUCAAAGUGAAGACUCCAGUAUCUUCUGCAUCAAAGAGAAAAGGGAAGGAGCCAAUCGGUGCUCCAUCCAAAAAGAAAAGAUCUCUCAUCUUGGAGGAUGAAGAAGAAGAGGAAGAUCUCACUAUCUCUGCAUUGAUAAGGACUAGACGUUCUGUACCUGAAUCAACGGAACAUCAGAAGAAAGGGAAAGAAGCAAAGGAAAGAGAAUAGAGAAAAGAAGAGGAGCAGGCAAAGAACAGAGAAGCAGAGGAGCAACAAGAGAAAGAGAAAGAGAAAGAAGCUGAAGAAGAAGGAGAAGCAGAAAAAGAAAAGUCUACAGAUGCUGAAGAGCAUGACCAUCACUCUUCCCCAAUUGAGGUCUUAGAGACAGGGGGAGAUGGCGAGCAAGGAAGGAAUACACCACAUGCUGUCAACAGUGAAGGUGUAAGUCGCUCACCAGCAAAUCCAGAAGAUUUUCAGGCUUCUCAAAUGCUUGAGGAAGGACAUGAUAUGUCAACACCAAAUCUGCUCGAUUACACAGAAGUUCCAUCGUCUGCCUUCACUCCAUCCAAGAGAGCAAAUGCGAGCACACAGACGGACAAUACAGCAGAUUUUCGUCGUAUUCUUGAUGUUCUUCUGGAAAUGAAGGGUCAAAUCUAUGCUCUAGAAUGUGAACUUCAAGUCAUGAAGAAUGCUGGACAAGCAUCUUCUGUUACCCUGGCGGAUCAAAUGAAAGACCUCGCUCUUCAAAUUCAAGCCAAUGCCAAAAGAGAAGAGGUAGCUCAUCUACGGGAAGACUUGAAGAGGUUGGAAGGGAUCAUACAAUCGAUGGGAGAUUUCCAGAUUGUGCACAUUCCCAAGAAGACUUGACUCUUUUCUCACCUUUUUUAAUGAUGACAAAAAGGGGGAGAAUUGCAAUUUGAACGAAAUCUUUAAACUUUGACUUUAAAUUUCUUUUGUGUUUGAAUGUUUGUUUUUGAGUAUGACUUGGGUGUAAACUUGAAAUUGACUGACUUGGAUGUGGAUUUUGAUAUUUGACUAUUUGCAUCUAUAUCAAGUGUUGUUGUAUGGUAUUACUCAUGAAAGACUAACCAAUUUUCUGUGGAUGCAGAGUCUGGUUGUUUUAUUAAUCUUUAUGAGAUAGCCAUAUUGCUUGAGUAAUGUUUUGCAGGUCAAAGUUGUUCAAAUCUACAGGAAAGUUUUGUCACCAUCAAAAAGGGGGAGAUUGUUGGAGAAAUCUUUCUAGAAUAUUUUAAAGAUGACAAAACGUUUCUAUCAGUCUAGUCUGGAUAUUUGCAGACCUUUUGUUUAGAGUCUGAAGACUUUCAGAUCACCAGACUCAAGACUCAAGACUCAAGACUCAAGACUCAAGACUCAAGACUAUUCUCAUUGACAGUUUGUCUAAUCCAGUGACGAAGGUAAUCCAGAGCCGAAGUACUUGGUUGAGGAUUUAGUCCUAUCCUCUGGAGAAGAUAUCUUGGCUGGAUAAAUAUAACGGAUUCUUUUAUUCGUAAUCAAGAUCGUUUAAAGAUCCGAUGGUCGACGAAAUAUUCUUGGAAGGUUCUAUUCAUGGAAACCAAGAUCCUGAUUGUAUGGGCGAACAGGAUUGAUGGGCUAUCGUCAGGUUCCUUUAAUAGCUCGAAUGAUCUUCUUGAUUGAUUCCCGUCUAACGGGUAGAUUGGAGGAAUUCCUUUGGUAAGUGCCAACGGGUAUGAUGGCAUAAAAGAGUAUAAAAGGGAAGACGUUCUAGUUGCUUAAAAACAUGAUCGAUAGAGAAAUUCCAGAGUCUGAAGCACCUUGAUAUUUAGUCAAUACAUUUUGAGCGAAAUUGUAUACACAAAGAGUGUCUAUACUUAGUGAUACCUUGAGCUAGUGUGGUAGAUCACCUACACCAAGAAAUCAAGGAAGAUCAACGCUAUAACAUCUCUUUGUUCAUAGUGGAAUCCAGCCAAUAGGCUGUCAGUGCAGAAGAGUGGACGUAGGCUUGAAAUAAGCCGAACCACUAUAAACCGGGUGUUCAAUUCUCUCCUUCCUUCUCUCAAUCUUACUUUGAUUAUUGUUUGUCUCAAAUCUAUCAACUGUCUAGUAUUGUGCAAUUAUCGAGAAAAAUCUUUUAUAUACCUAUUCACCCCCCCUCUAGGUAUUUAUACUAGCUAUAUCAUGGUUGAGGAUGUUAUUGUCAGAAAUUGGGAUGUCAACAUCAAAACCUUCGAUAUUAUAUUGUGACAAUCAAUCAGCUAUUCAUAUUGCAAACAAUCCCGUCUUCCAUGAGCGAACCAAGCACAUUGAGGUUAAUUGUUACUUCAUAAUAGAAAAAGUUCAGAAAGAAGAGAUCACUCUUCAACAUACAAGAACGGAGGAUCAGCUUGCAGAUAUUUUUACCAAGUCUUUACGAGGAAAUAGAGUGAAUUUUUUAUGUAACAAGUUAGGAUUGUUUGAUAUUUACAUCCCAACUUGAGGGGGAGUGUUAGGAAAUAGUAAUAAGGGUAAAAUAGUCAUAAGAGGGUUACUAGGGUUACUCAUAUAUAUAUAUAUAUAUAUAUAUAUAUAUAUAUAUAUAUAUAUAUAUUCUUGUAAUCCUUUUUUGAUUAAGUUAAUACAAUACGUAGAAUAGUCUCUCCUUCAACAAGUUCCAUGGAAGGUUCUUCCAUGCUUUUCCUCAUAAAUGCUGAGGAAAAUCAAUGCCAUGCCUCGCAAAUACAUUGCCUCAGUCCCUUCUUUGUAUGAGCUAUUUAAUUGCCUGUUGUGGUUAUGGUUGAUUAGUUUUUGAAGCAGCUAUUCACAUUGAAGCAGUUCAUGGAGGUUAUAAUUGCUGUUUUCAUACGGUUAGGACUGCAGUAGACUCUCACUAUCCAUCUGGUCCCUGAUUUGCUGAAUCAUUAUUACUAUCUUCCAGCUGAUAAUCGGGCAUCCUAGCGAAUCGUCAGCUAAUCAUUCAUGCACAUGUUGGGAUUUUUGUGAGUUCAGCAAAAUAAUUUCAGACAGCACUAAUGCUUCGAGAAAUCUUGUUGAUGUUGGAGAGUUUCUCAAACCACUUGUUGGAGAUGUUAAAUUCAUUUCUCCAUGACAUGCUUGGCAUCAACAUGUAGAACUUAAUCUGCACUACAUAUAAUCUGGGACUGGUACAUAUUCUGUUUCUUGGAGUAUUAUAAGAAACGAGGGGAAGUAGAGUAGAAUGGAACCAUAUCAAAUGUUGAUUGAAAGAAAAAUCUUGCGCAAUUCCAGAUAAAUGUCAUUUGUCUAGAAUGCAGUUCCAACAUAUCAGCCAAAACCGGCAUUUCAUAUGUGCAAGUUGCCCCUAAAGAUGUCACCUCCAAGUCAUUGCCUAAUCAAUCCAAUGGUCUUCUACAGCCGGCAGCCUCUCUGUAAAAUUACUUUGCGUUUGGGGAUAGCAAGCCUGUGUCCCGCCUCUGGAGCCUCCUUCUGCAUUGCAUUUGAUCAGAUGAAGCCUGCAACCUCUUUCUGUUAAAUUCAUUAGAAAUCUGACCGCCUUUGCAGUGUUGCAUGGCCCCCCAGCCAUAAUUCCACUAUAUAUCCUUCGGCAAACAUUUCAUCGACUGAACUUAUGACAUGGCUUGUGCAAUUUAACCUUUUCCUUAAAGUCCAUCAAUUCAAGGGGCAAGCUCGCAACAUCUGGUUCUAGUCCAAGCUUGAAGACUAUAUUCAAAACAGAGAAGCCAAGAUGAAAUCUUUUCAAGUGGUAAGAGGCAAUUUAUCAGAGUCCUGAGAAUAUAAAUGUCUCAAGAUUAAGGGGGUGUGGGUCCUCUGCAAGUUAAAACAUAAUAAAAUCUACAGCAAGCUAUCAUGAAAAGACAGUUAAAGGAAAGAACCGUGGUCAAUCUAUUACUAGAAUAAAUAGCCAAAAAUUUUAAAUGGCAAAGCAGACGUUAGAAAAGCUCUCAUUAUACCUUGGCAGAUUCAUUUUUCAUUUUCUCAUACCAUCAGCAUCAUAAGGAUAUCAUAAAAUCAAUUCGGACCUUUCUUUUCCGGUCUUCCGAUUCCAACAAAAAUUAAGAGAAAUUAGGCAUGAGUGCCUUUUUAUUUUGUGUUAAAUUAGUGCCUUCAGUGUCUCAUCGCAUGUACCUUUUUAUCUUCUGCAAGUUGAAAAAUGCUAAAUCUAUAGCAAGCUUCUGGUGAAACACAGUUAAAGAUAUGAACCCUGAUCAAUCCACAAUGAAGAUUUAUAGCGUAAAGGUUCAAUGAGAAAACAGAUGUAAAGAAAAACUUUUGUUGUAGCUUGGUAGAGUUUUGAAGAUGGUGAUGAAGAACCUACAAGAGUUCCAUUGGGAGGAGACUCACAGAUCAACACAAUCUGGACCAUGUUUGUAUUGGUGUUCUCUCAGGUCCAUGCAUACAACUUUCAGCUAGUUUUAGGUCUUCUUGCCAAAUAUAGUCAAAACAGACAGAACUGAGGAUCAAUGCAACCGCUCCAAUCAUCUCUCAUUGAGAUAAGAACUCUCUACUAUAUACAGUCACUCUCAACCAUAUUGUGCAAUCCAUGCAUCGCCCUCAUUUUCUGACCAUUUUUAACCAGUGCUCGGGUGGAGAGUGCAGCUUCUCUUUCAUUUCUUGAAGCAGCUCAUAGGCAUCACUCAUUUGGUUGGCUUUACAUAGCCCUGCAAUUAUAGCACCGAAUAACAAAGCAUCAUGUUGCAAACCUUUCUUAGGUAAAGCAUUGGAGAGUUCUAUAGCAUCUUCAAGUUCCCCUGCGACAUAAGCCGCUAAUAAGGGUGUUAUAGCUGAUGAUAUGGACAUUUCCAUCUUUCACUUGUCGAUACAAAGCAAUUGCCUCAUGAAUCUGGUGACAUUUACAAAGACCACCUAACAUUAUUGAUUGUUGUUGAUUUAAAUGUUCGCGACUAGCUAGAAUUUUGUAAAACAAAUGGCGUGCAACCCGAGGCAUUUCAAUGAGGAAAAAGCUACCCCCUGAGAUAGUUAUAGGCGGCAACAUCAAGGAGUGAUCCAUUCUGUAACAUUCAUGAAUCAAUGUUAGAUUGGUUGUGAGUGAAAGCGAGCAGUUUUGUGCAAUCAUCCAAUGAAAUGUACUGGGUGCAUCAUCCAUUUGAUUUUAAUAGCAGUAACCACCAAGCAAUGAAUUAUAAGCAACUAGGUCGGGUGUAAAUCCUCCUCAGAUCAUCAGAUCAAAGAUGCACUUUGCCUCGGUAGUCCUGCCCACCUCACUCUGCAAAGCGCAUCCACAAUGAUCCUGAUGGUUCGAACAUCUGCCAUCGCUCCUCUUUGCAGCAUCUCAGUUAACGCAACUGAAGCCUCUUCCCAUUGGCCACCACAGCAUAGGCCUUGGAUGAAGGAGUUACAAGUGAAAACAUGUGGUCAGAUUCCAUUGCUAAGCAUCUUGUCCAACAAAACCUGUGCUUCUUUUCAUUAACCUAUGCGAGUUGAGCAAGAGAUGACAGUUGGGCAUCAGUAAUAGUAUUAUAGAACUUCAAAGCCUCUGUCCCGGUGCCUCCUAUGAUCGUGGUGUACAUGAUCACAUCUAGCUCCCAGCCUCUGUCUUCCAAAUUCUUCGGCAAUCGAACGGUUUUCCUAGCCUUGCUGGUUAUGCACAAUCUGUCACUAUGGCUCCACACGUGGUAAUAUCUACCUUGAUUCAUCUGACCAACAUUUCAUCCGCCAAGCUCGUGGCUCCGGCAAAUGGAUCGAGGGAGGGACAAAGGUGUGGACGGUGUCCAUCACUCUGCCACCUUCGCGGAGCGCGUACGGGAGGUGGGCCUUCAAACUGGCAUUAUAUUCUUUUUCGUUUUUCGCAUUAUAUCCUAGAAUUUUAUUUUUUAUCUUUUCGCAGUAUACUUUAGUGGCCAAAAGAAAUUCUUACCUUAUCUAUAAAUUUCAUCUACUUAAUAAUUUAUCCAUAAAUUAGAUUGAUAAUGUAGAAAAGAACUAGAUUUCUUGGAAAUUUCUCUUUUCAACUUAAAUAAAUGUUUAUGAAAGUAAUAUCUAACAAUAAAAAAAAUAGUGCCUUUGAUAUACAUGAAAAAUCUACAAUAAACAAAAUCUAGAUAUAUAUGAAAUUCUUAAUUAUAGGAAGGAGAUCUUACAUAUAUAUAUAUAUAUAUAUAUAUAUAGAAAGACUAAAAAAAAGGAAAGUAAACAAAUUUGGGACCACCAAUUUGAAUUGCAAUUGAAAACAGAGUUCAAUUAUGUCUUUUUAAUGAAAACGGAGUGGAUUUAGUCAUAUAGGGGAUAGAAGUAGCACCGCCCCAAUAAAUUGCAAAGAAAGAAAAAACAACUUAUUAGACGUGUCUCUCUUUAGAGCCUAACCAAGUGCAGUUGGGUGAAACUUCUCUGAUUGGGAAUCGCACUGCUACGCCAUUCAAGCAGCUGGUCGAGCCUUGCUGGAGCCUAGGGCAAAAAUCUCAGUCUGUUCUUUGGAACAUCUGCUCCAUGUGAAAACUCCAAAAUCGCGUCGGGACUAGAUCUAUUUGUGCUCGAGCUCCAGAUACUAAUCCAAAUAAAAAGUUCAAAAGGAGUUUUGGGUGCUUGGAGUUAAUGUGCUAGCUUUCAUUGAACACUGUCGAGGAUCGACUGAACGUUCGGAGGAAAAAAACAUGAAGUACUGUCGUUGAAGUCAACCAAAGCCAUACGGAUUUUUUUUCUCACCAUCUUCUACUAAUUAAAUUAUCAGUUUCAGAAUGGGAGUCAAACAGUAUUUGUUGACUUAUAAGAUGCAAAACGAUAUGGCGCCAAUAUUAUGCAAACAACCAUACGCAAAACAUCGAGGCGGGCACCAACUUAGAUUUUUUUGGGAAAAGUACCAAAAAAGUCCUAAACCUAUUGCAUUGGUACCAAUUCAGUUCUAAACUUUUCAAUUGAACCAAUUCAGUCCUAAACCUUUUAUUAUUGGUACCAAUGUAGUCCAUCCGGCCAAUUUUGGCCGGCCGACGCUGACGUGGACGUCGACCGGUGGCCGGAUGCCGACGUGGCAAUNNNNNNNNNNNNNNNNNNNNNNNNNNNNNNNNNNNNNNNNNNNNNNNNNNNNNNNNNNNNNNNNNNNNNNNNNNNNNNNNNNNNNNNNNNNNNNNNNNNNAGCGUCCGGCCGACGUCCACGUCAGCGUCGGCCGGCUAAAAUUGGCCGGAUGGACUGAAUUGGUACCAAUAAUAAAAGGUUUAUGACUGAAUUGGUUCAAUUGAAAAGUUUAUGACUGAAUUGGUACCAAUGCAAUAGGUUUAGGACUUUUUUGGUACUUUUCCCGAUUUUUUUAAGGCAAUGCAUAUUAUACAUUUUAUUUUCACGUCAAAAUUUAAAAGAAAAUUGUUUAAAUUUCAAAAGAUUAUAAAUUAAAUGGGAAUUUAGGUGUCCUACGGCAAGGGUAGAAAAUGGACAAAUUGCACGAGUGCAUAAUUUUUUUUUUUUCACAAGUGCAUAAUUUAAUAAAGAGAAAAAAAACGAAAAAAUAAAAUAAAAAGCCAAUCUAGACACUUAGUCGAUUGAUUUGACACACAGGGAACUGAAAGGAUCCAAGCAAUUCGUCUCGGCAAUGACUAUGACCAUUUUUUAGCACACAAAAAUGAACAGCUUAAAAAGUUACAGAGCCAAAGAUGACAAGUACCAAAUCUAGAGCAAAAUGGUGAAAACUCUUUAGUAUUCCAAAGCAAUACCAAUUCCAAUAAGGCACUAUUGAUAGAGAAAGAAGAAAACCAAAAGAAGCUUGGCAGCACGUGAGACAUCAUGUGGAUGAUAGCUAAAGCUUCAGUCAAGGUGCCACAAAGAUGUUGCUACGGAAUAUUCAGGCAGAAAAAUAUAUAUACACAAGCUGUCAUUUAUGGAUACAGGUAUAUCUUGACAAACAGCUCUUCAGAUGCAUGAUAACCAUAAAAUCUCCUUGCUCGUACGAGGCUGCAACCACGCACGUGUUGCCGUUUUACGCCAGCAUUGCCUUUGAGCUGCGGUAACUCACAAAACAAUCCUUUCAGAUACAAACUAGCAAGUGAAUCGGACAAUAAGUUAAAGCCAGGACUUAAUAUUUUCGAAGAAUGACAAAUUAUACCUUCAAGGCUUUCUCCAUGGCUAGAGAGACAGCAUUUGUAAAUGCAUCCCCUGUGCAAUUCAACAGUGACUAAUUAAUUCCAUGCUAGUAGCAGAACAUGAAUUCGAAAUAUAUAAAAGCACGAAUAAUUCAAAGAAAUUGAGAUAAAGUCUACAGCAACAUUAUAUUACGAGGACAUUGACAAAAACUGGUCAAGUAAAACCACAGCCAUGUUGCCAAAAGAACAUAUCACCCUGAAAACACACAAGCUACAUGCUAGAGGUAUUGUGAACUGAGAGAAACGUUGAUUAAUUUCUUCAAACCAAGAUAUGCACAAAGCAGCCUAUGCAUCUGUAACACGCACAAGUACCUUCAGACAUUGGAUUGAUAGGAAUAUCUGUACAUGGUACAUACAAAUAGGGUAAAGCCUACAAGAAAAAAAAAAAAACAUAAUUUAGAACCAGUACGAAAAAAAUGUACAAGAUAUUGGUGUCUCAUAAGCUAUGCAAUGGACAAGCAUCAUGUACUUUUCACAAUAGAUUGCUUGGAGCCACGUAAGCUCCUCAUUUGUUAUUUAGACAUUCAACUAGUGUCCAGCCAGUCUAAGAAAGUAGACUGUUGCCAAUAUGGUGCCUCUUGCGAGCAGAAAGUGGAAGAAACUUUCUGAAUCCUGAAUUUGCCUUUUAUCUCGUAGCAUAUACCUUAACUCAAGUCUGUAUACCCAUGCUGGUUUAAAUUCUUCAUCGGCAGAAAGGAAGUUACUUUCAUUGCUCCACAGCUCAAGGGGGGUAAAGCAAGUACUUGGAACAAUUAAAAAAACUACAAAUAAACAAGGAUUGCACUCACCUUAUGCACAUGUAAGCAAGUUUUUUGACCAGCAGGAGUUGAACCAUAUACUCUUAUUACAGGAACCUCAUUCACUUUUUCACCUUCAUCAAUCAAUCAUGAACAAGAUUAUGAACAUACAAAAGUAGAUAUUUCUAGCUAAAUUUCUAGCUACUGUAUAGUAAAUGUAACUGUUAUUUUUGCAGGUUAAAGGUCAAAUCCUCACACAGAAUUUUAAAGAUUGACAUGGGACCACGCCACAUGAAAACUGUAAGCGCACCUUCUUCUCUUUGCAUCAGCAACAAAAAAGCGAAUUUCAAAUAUGUCAUCAUCAAGACAACUACACACUCCAAACGAAAAGUAAUCAUCAGUCUACGGAAGAAGACGAUGAGUUAAACAAUGCCCACCAAAUAUUAAGAAAAAUAUUCAAUACUCUCUGGAUUUUCUAAGCAACCAAACCAAUCAUGUAAUAAAUUAUUAAGACACCAAUGUGCUGAUUCCAAGACUGUGCUACAAUUUUAUUCAAUCCUUGCGUAUAUCCAUGCCAGGCAAUUACUUAACAUCAAUCCAGCAGCCCCAACAAGAAGUCCGAAUAAGACAUCCACGGACAAACUGAUAAGUUCUUAACAGAACACUAAGCCAAGCAUAUUCCUUGCACUCAUAAGAAAGCAAACAAACUUUUGUCUGCAAUGCAGUAACAGAUUGAGUCCUACUCUAGCAAACAAAACUAACAGCUUCCAGAUUCAAACCACAGGCUUCUCUGGCAUUACUUACCACUAGAUUCCAUAACCAAAGAAGCGAACACAAAAAUUAUGCUUCAAAAGAUGAGAGCAGACUCUCAUUCUUUUUUUACCGAAGACGCGUUACGUACAUUUAUUACGAUAAAAACAUAGAAUAACUUCAAAAGCAUCGCUAUUCCUAGGAGAAGACAACAUCAAGACCCAUUCUAAUACCCCAAUUCAGCCACAGCUCCAGCAAGCAACAAGACCCAACAACAUUACGGUGUGGCAACUACCUAUUACCAUCACGGGCACAGUAAAAAAGCAGAGUCUUUCCAUCUGUUUUCGUGCUUCCCCUAAUGCCCAUAUUCCCAGUCUCAUUCUUUUUUACUAAAGACACGUUAGAUACAAAUUAUUACCAUGAAAACAUAGAAUAACUUCAAAAGCACCGCUGUUCCUAGGAGAAGACAACGUCGAGACCCAUUCUAAGACACCAAUUCAGCCACAGCUCCAUAAAACAACAAGACCCAACAACGUUCCCACGCCGCGACUAUACAUAACCGUUACGGACACAGUUAAAAAACGAGUCUUUUCCAUUCAUUUUCAUGUUUCCCCUACUGCCCAUAUAUCCCACCGUCCGAACUGCACGUUUAUUUUACUGCUGUCAAAUAUAAUGAUAGAUUCCGACCAAAAAAAAUUAAUGAUGGAUUCGGUCAAAAAAAUAUUUAAUGAUAGAUUAAAAAUUGGCUUUAAUCUAUCUUAUUAAUUGGUUUUAUAUACUAAGUAAAUGCUAACAACAAUGUUCAAUUAGAGAUAUUAGCUAUUGAUAACUCAGCAACCAAAUUACAAUUUUAUAACUUUCGAAUAUAUUAAAGAAAUAAAAGUAUUGGAAAUAUUAAAACUUUAAAAAAGUGCAAUCAAAUAAGAAAAUUUCUCAUAAAUGUACAAUUGAGUUUUAAAAUUUUUAAGAAAAUACAAUCAACUCUUAAAAUGGAUUAAUGACUUUCAUAUGAAUUAAGAUUUGUGUUGAAUUAAAACUAGUUCAAAACUUAAUUAAAGAAAAUUUGUGUAUCGCUCGAAUUAGGAUCUGUAACUUCAUAAAAGAAUUAAUGGCUUUAACGGUUGACAACUUGUACAACUAAAUAUCUAAAAAUUAUUAAAACAAACAAUAAUUUUGGAACAAUCAAACAAACCCCAGUAUUUUUUAUGAAAGUUUGGGUACAAACAUAUCACAAGCCAGAUACGUCGCCUAUCUUUUUUUCAAACUGUUACUAAACAAUAUUUCUGAACAUACCAAUACAGAACACCAGAACAAUCCUGGUCAGUGGUGAUGCUCCCGGAUUACAGACCUUCAAGAGGUUUGUUCAACAACAAUAGUCAUUGAAUUCAAAAGAUCUGUCCACCCAUUGCUACAUCUACAAGCCCAGCUGAAAGUUUAUCAACACUUGGACCAUUCGCUAAAACAUUAGUCGAUCCACACACAAAUUACUCCGUAAAUAUAUUAGUCAGUCCACGCAUAAAUAAAUCAUAUGCUCCAUUCCUUUGCAAAAGGCUAAAAAUAUAUGUAUGUUGAUAAAUUGUCAGAGAAUCAUACAAUAGCGCCCACCCUUUUCCUUUUGGACACUAUAUCUACUAUGAAAUGCAAAUUACAAAUGCAUUAUAGAAGGUUCUGUCCACAGAGUAAUGGGGAAACAAGCUAAUCGACGCUUGGAGUUGCCCCAAGAAUGCAAAGAAACAGAUGCGGCUUGGUGGAAUUGAAGAUUCACACACAUGGAGAAAUAGGUUCAAUUCCAGUCCCGUUCUUCAAGCUGCCAUCUCCAUUCAUUUCAUCUUAUUAAAGCAGCCAUAAUGUUGCCUAACCAUUUCAUUUGGGCCAAUCCCACCUGUCUCUCCCACCUAAGGUCUUCGGAGAAUUUCGAGAGUGCAGCCCUCGGAUCACCAUCAGAGAUAGACAAGUAGUACUGAGCAGUCCCAUCAUCAACCUGCAUGCUCCUCCUAAGCGAGUCGAGUAUUCUCUUCUUCCCUCGUUCAGAGGUUGUCCUCUUUAGCAAAGAACUCAUCUCUAUGUCCUGGACGCCUUCUGGGUAAAGCACGGCGACUUCCCUCUUUGCAUGGUUAUCUCGCUCUAUGUAGCAUGUGGAAUCGAUAAGAAUGUCAGGGUUGCUUAUGGGGAUUAACAAUCUCUCCCUCGAAUAUAUACCAUGAUCACUCAUCAUGCUGUUCAAGCGCUUUAUGUCCAUGACCUGACGGCACAAAAGAAAUUCUUGAAGCAUGUGACAUGCGGUAUAGACAGGCACAAAAAGGAUAUGCUAGACAGAAACAUUGAAGCAGGGAAGAAAAAAAUUUCAGGGAAGCCAUUCUAAAAGUAAGUCUCGGACAACAGUUAUCAAAACAUUGAACCCAGAGAGAUCUAGCUACAUGACAUCAUUAUUGACACUUCAGGGAUUAUUAUGACUACAACCAUGGAAAAUUUCCAUAUAAAGACAUAUUAAUUUCCUAGUUGCACAAACAAUUUAAGUUCUGCUCUCAGAAUUUGAGGUUCACGUUCAACCAUUUCGAUGAAUCAAUAUCACCACCACAGAAUCAUCAACUAUUUCUAUGUCAAUGUUAUUAAGUCGGAGGAACUAUCAUGAGGAUCACAAAGUGCAUUGCCAAUAUUUCACACUGAUUACUUGCAAAAUCUUAGCAUCAUUUAGCCUCGUGUGUUCUGGCAACUAAGAGAUUGUGAUUAUCUAUUAAGAUAAUCAAUAUAUAGUCGUCAAUCAAGCAUAUCUGUUUGCUAUUAAUAACCAGAGAUGCUUCUCGCUUGGCAAACUUAAGAAAACAUUACCACAUGAAGAGAUUUCAUAAUGUUUUACAUGAAGAGGACCCUAUGCUCCCUAAGACAUAACAUUUUGGUCCAAGCCCCAACCUUCCUCCAUACCUCCAGAAGAAACCACGACAGUGACUUCCAAGUGUAACCGUUUCCUUUUCCUUCUUUAUAUUUUAGGCUUCACUAAAAGAUGAAGUCACUCCAAAAUUACAAAAUUCGUAUGUCAAUUAGUCUGGCCUUCUCCAAUGGGAAUAAAUCUAUAAGAUUUGCAGUAGUAAAUUCCAUUGAGCAUUUAUCCUACCACCUAUUUGAUACAAUAUAGAGCCACAGUAUAAAAUUAUAACUAACCCCACUCAAUGGGAGAAAUCUGUCAUUAACGUGGAAGUCAUUCAACCGCCAGCCUGCACAAAGAAGCUAUGAACAUCAUCAAAUGAUACUUUAGCUAACUUUUAAAUGAAAUCGCAAUCCAUUUGUUCUCAGAAUCAGCUGAAAGUGAAUCUCUAUAAAAAAUGCAGCGCCAAAGCAUGUCAUUUGCAAAUGACUUUCCAUACAAUUUUCUUUCAUAAAUCUUAAAUUUUCCACGACCCAAACAAAGUCAUGGGAACCAUCGGUCAACGGAAUUUGAUACAAUUCCAUAAACUAAAUUAGUUGGAAUAAAACAGGCGAAGCAUGAUUUCCCGUGUAACGAGGGGACACAUGUCAGAAGGAGAUCGUUUUGGAACGGGGGGAUUGACGGAAUGCCGGGGGGUAGACGUCGCGCUGUCCCUUCCUGGUUCGUGCUCGGUCUUCGCCUCGUUGUUGGUCAACGGAUUGGAACCGCAGGAGGAGGAGGAAGAGAUCCGGAAUACUACGCUUCCGAGGCGGAGGCUGCGCACGUGGCGGAAACCCAGAUGAGCUUCCGGGGCACGAAAGUGAAGGAGCGCCCAAAAAAGAUCUCCCUUUUUUUCUUUUUCUUGUCGACUCCGAGAGAGAGAAGGACAGAUUUAUAUAUAUUUAAAGAAUUAAAUUAUUUUAUUUUUUUUGCGAAUUUUGAGGAGGUUGAGGUGUCAGUGCGAUGUACCUAGCCUCAAACUAACUUAGAUCACAUGUAAAAAUUUUCAUGACGUUUUUAUAAGUUUGAUGGAAAAAUAUAUAUUCUUCUUUACUUUUUGAAUAACACGAAUAGAAUAGUUUUUGAAAAAUUUGGUCAAUAUGAAUUAAAGAGUUUCAAAUGUUACAUUCUGCAUAAGCUUACAAAAGCAUGAUAAAAAAGUAAAUUGCUAAACUUAAAUGGAAAAUCGAAUAUAUUCAUUAUAACAUUGGUAAUCUUUUAAGUACUUGUAAAAUUUUGAAGAAGUUGGUGAUUUGCUAAUUUGACUUGAUAUGUCGAAGCCAAGAAAAAAAAGGGUGUGGAGCGAGGGCCAUUUCUGCGAUCCCGUGCUUUUGCGCACGACAACUUUGUCAUGUUUCUCCUUAGCCGUUGGAUUCAAGUGGUUUAAUAUCAGCCGUUCGAUUAAUAUGAGUUGUCAGCGUUUCUGAUCACUCCCGUUGGUGGAAAACUCGUGGAAUUGCCCACUCGAAGGUGCCAAAUCACGGCAUUGCCCUUCCUUUGUUUAUCGCCUACUUCAAUUUUUCUUCCACCGUUCCCUUCUUUCCAAACUACAUACGUUAAUAAAAUUUUUAAUCAGUGCAUUAACAUUGUCGCAGUUUCUUUAUAUAAGCUGGUUUUUAUAGAAUGACACAUAUUCUAUUUUUACUUUUAGCAUGUAGAUAUAUUUCAUAAAUAGUUUAUGCUCCCAUUUUGAGAUUAUCUAUGUUAAAAAAAAAACGUAUAUUGACCGUGUAUGUAAUAUAUAUUCUCUUCUAAGGGCUUUUAUUUUGUACAAUUGCAAAAUAAUUUUUUUUUGCACAAAUAGGCUUUAGAUAAUUUUUUUGGCACAAAUAAUUAAGAUUUAUUUUCUCUCUUGUUUUAUUUUGUACAAUGAAGAUAUAAUUUUUUUUUUUUUUGCCGAUGUUUAUCACCUGCCGAGUGGCUAUGACUUCAAUAUUUAUUGACUUCUCGCUGGCCGGUGACCCCUCUUGCAAUGAUUUUAAGCAGCCAGCCCAUCUUUUAUUUAAGAAUGGUAUCGAGAGCAUAUGCCUUUAGCAAAAGACAAGUAAUCAUCUUUUGUUUAAGAAUGAUAUCGGGGAGAAUGCACAUUUAUAUUAUAUUUUUAAUAAAAAACAUUUGUUCGUUCCAGCUGUCUCUAACAUGAGUUGCAGCGAUUAUGUGCAUUCACAUGUUAGAUUUGUAAAUUUUCUCCAACCCAUCUUUUAUUUAAGAAUGGUAUCGGGAGCAUAUGCCUUUAGCAAAAGACAAGUAAUCAUCUUUUGUUUAAGAAUGAUAUUGGGGAGAAUGCACAUUUAUAUUAUAUUUUUAAUAAAAAAUAUUUGUUCGUUCCAGCUGUCUCUGACAUGAGUUGCAGCGAUUAUGUGCAUUCACAUGUUAGAUUUGUAAAUUUUCUCCUCUCCUUUCGCUUUAAAAUUUUUUAAAUAAAAAAGGGUAUAUACCUAAAGUGGUUGACCAUAUGUACGUUCUUCAAUUUUUCAGCACCAUCCAUGCGUUUGCUUUUACCAUAAGUUAAUUGUGAACAAAAAACUAUUAAACUUAAGUGACUUGAUAAUUCUAGUUUUAAUUUAAUUAAGGAUCGAAGUGUACAUAUAUGUCUAUGUUUAUAUGGAUGAAGAUGUAUUUAAUACUGCAUCAUGUCUAUAUGGAGAGUCGAGUGUUGGUUGUCGGUUCAUAAACAGAUGAUAAAAGAGUCACUUUUUUCUUGAGCCACCAGAAAAGGCUAGCAUGGCGUAAAUACUUUACGUUAGAAAAAAAGAAGGAAAGAGACCCUUUCAAUUAUUUGGUUGUUACGAUUAUAAGUAGCCCAUCUUUUAUUUAAGACUGAUAUUUGGGAGCAUGCGCAUGUUCCCAUUGUUUUGUCAAAGAUCUGAAUAAAAGUUCGUUGACAGUGAAUGGUAUUUGUUUUUCAGCCCACUUGUGACUUUAUUAUGUGCGUUCAUACGCCAGAUUUGAAAAUUUUCUUCUCUCUUUUUAUUUUAUUAUUUUUUAACAAAAAAUAAUAUAUUUAAAAUAGUUGAUCAUUUGUGCGUUGUCUAUUAUUUUUACACGCUAGGGUUUUCUCUGCGAGUUCUCUCCCUUUGCGCCUCCCUCUCUCUCUACCCUCCUUCUCUCUCCGACGAACAGGAUCGCGACCUCCCUCUGUCUCUGCCCUCCCUCUUUUCGACCGGCGAACUACCGCGAGCAACCGACGGACCACCGCGCGAGAUCGGCGAGAGGACCGCGAGCAACCGACGAACCACCGCACGGGACCGGCGAGAGGACCCCGAGCUCCCUCUCUCUCUCUCUCUGGCCUCCCUCUUUCCAACCGGCGAACCACCGCGCGGCCCCUCCGGCUCCAGAUCCGGCCCCGACUCGUCCGUCCCUUGCUCUUUCUCUCCCCUCGCGUCUCUGUCUGCCUCCCUCUCUUGGACGGCGAACCAGCGCGUGACCGGCGAACCAAUAUUUUCUCCUUGCGGAGAAGCAACGAAAAUAUCUUUGAAGUCUACAGCGAGGUAGUCUGACCGAUUUCGAGGAAGGAAGGUUUGUUUCGGUGGUCUUGGGUCAAGAAGGUGAGGGUAAAAAAGCAGUACAAUUACCGUGUGAAAAGACGCGCAAUCUUGUCGCGCAAUCCUCUCCACAGGAUUGCGCGUCUCCUUCGGGGCAAGAGGUUCGAAGUAAAGCUUUAUUUAAAGUCCGAGUGCUUGUGACCCAGGAGCAGAAACGCCAAUCACCAUAAAUCAAUUGGGACGCUCGUCUUUCACUCUGAGAUAUCUGGCUUUGAUAGUUCUAGAUUGAGGCGUGGAGGUGGUCUCAGAAUUGUGCUGCUUUGAGACUCGGACACGACUCGGAUGUGCUUUAAGGUAACUCCUUUUUAGACAUUAAAGCCCAUCCGAGUAAUUCCGUCUCUGCAUCACUCCUCCAGAUGAGCCGGAUAGUCUAUUACAUUUUGAUAGAAGAAUAUAAAAACAUUUGAUUAUUACUCAUUGCAUGACAUCUAACAUCCUUAAAAGCAUGCACAAUAUAACAUGUGAAGUUCCAUCGACUUUUUCAAAAUCACGGUCGUCACAGUUAUUGCAGAUUCUUCUUACUACGUUCCCCUUAUUCAAACUGAUCAGUAUGAGCGGUUGAACUGGUUAAACCUGGUGGAAUUUGAUAGUUCUCUCUCUCUCAUAUGUCUCACUUUCUGUAUCUUUUACAUCUGGCCUCUCUUGCAGAACAAUUCAAGGCUAUCAUCUACAGUCCUCGCUCACUUUCCUUGUUUAUUUCCCUCAUAAAAGUUCUCGGCGAGGCUUGUUUAGGGGUCUUCUCUCUCCAAACUUGCACCCCUCUUUGCAUCUCGGCGCGCAGAAGGUAAUUGCUUUUUCAUCUCUUAUUAGCGUGUCAUUUCUGUUGAUUUGUUGCGGCUAAACUAGCGUGGUUUGGGCUCUUUUUGUCUGAUGUGGGUGGCUGUUAACUUGGUGUGUCACCAGCUCAUAAUUGACUUCCGUAGAAAAGGGAAGCCUUUGCUUUUAGACCUUAGAUGUGACUAAUCAUAUGGCCUCUGUCUCAUUGUUCAUUUUUAUCGUAACUUAGGCUCCGUUCAUUUUGCGGAAAAUAAUCUCCCAUAAAAUAUUUUUCGGAUUUUCUAGCGUUCAUUUAAUGGGAAAUGAAUUCCAUUGGAAAAAUAUUUUUCAUGAAAAGAAAAAAGUCUUCUAAAUUAGGGGAAAAUAUUUCACUUUUCAAAAAUAAAAAAUAUUUUCGUCACUUGAUUUCUCUUAUCUCACACUUCUAUAAAUUCCCACUUCCUCCUCUCCUUUAUUCUUUUUUUUUAUUCGAAUUAUUUUCUAAUUUUCUAAUUUUCUUUUUUAAUUCAAAUUAUUUUUAAAAGGGAAUUUCCAUUUCCUCCUCACUUGAUCUCUUUUAUCUCACUUGAUUCAUUUUGCGCGACAUUGCUAAUAUGUAAGGUCAUUGGGGAACAAAUAAAAGAGAAAUAGCAAAGAGCUUUUGUUCAUCUCUAUCUCAUUUCCAAAUUCAUUUAGAAUGACAAUUUGAAAUUAAAAUGUAAGAUCACAUUCCUAAUCACUAACUAGGCCCUUUCUUCAUAUCUUCCACACAUUUCCAAUUUCGUUUGAACUCUUUUAUCAGCUUUUAAAUGAUUUAUCAAAUUAUGAUUUUUAAUAAUCAAACAAGAACAGAACCUUUGCUUAUUUAUUUUAAUGAACGCAACUUGCUUGUACACAGAUUCUAGCUUUUUAUAGCCCAAGCAAGAAUUUAACAUCGUGAGCGGACCAAGCCAACAUCUUUUGGCUUGACUAGAGGGUGAGAUGCAAAAGAAGAUAAGGCAAGGACUAAAAGCAUCUGCAACUGCUUCUGUUCAAUCAAUUACAAAUUUAAUUAAAGAUUUUAUGUUAAUCUGUUCUUGCUUGGUAAAAAUUUUUUGGUGGGGCCAAGACUUAUGGAUGAAUAUGUAUUUUUUUUUAAAAUAAUUGGGUUUAAGCAUAAUUUCCGAGAGUUGGCCCGGGCGGCUCACCCUUAGCCCCGCAUUAAAUCCACCCAUAUUGUCAGACAUUUUGGAUGUGGCAGGAGAAGAACUAAACAAGGAGAAAACUCAGGAGGGCAUGGGGAAUAGAUAUUGCUGAGAGAGUUGAAAACUUAAUUAGUGGAGGUUAGGGAAAUGAAGAAAAUAAGAAUAGAAGAAAAUUAUUAGUAAUGAGGGCGAGGAUAUGGACAUGGAUGACCCAUUUAGCAACAAUGGUUCCGGAAGGCCUACCAUUGCUGGGGGAGAGUUCACUCUCAUUUUUUUUUUUUCCUUUUUGGUUGGGUCAAAAGCUAACUUUCAUUGAGAUUGCGUGAACAAAAAUGCUUGGAGAGAAAGAGUUUGCCUAUUUUGACUAUUCACUUUUCUAAUUUUACAUAACAAUUUCUUAUUUAACGAUUCACAAAUUUGAUUGCUAUUUCCUUUAAAUUGUUUCCUUUUUAAUUGAUUACGAAGAUUUGAUAUUAGAUUCUAUGAAUAUCAAUAAUCAACACUUUGAUGAAGGCAGAGAUCGAUGUAUAUGCAUGUACUUUCAAAUAGAUGCUUACAUUAAACCACUGAUCAAAGGCAUGAUUGGAGCAAAUAUGAAAAUUUUCUAGAGGACCCGAGUGCAUAUGACCUUAAUAAAUCUGAACCUUUGUUAUUAUUGAGUCUCAUGUGAAAACCACAUAAUAUAAGAGGGAAGAUUCAUUAGGGGCAUAUGGAUUUGAGAAUGCCUAAUGAAAUAUAGGCAUCAACAUGUUAGCUUUAGUUAAUUUUACAUGUGGGCGACAUGUUUAAUUUGUGACCAACCAAUAAGAGACAAUUAAUGAAAAUCUCCUCGAUUAGGAAAGUCCAUGCAUCAAGAGGAUGAGGUCCAUGGGAAAGAGAAGAUGUGCAUUACACUGCUCUAAAACAACAACUUGUAAUAUUGGAUUAAUCAAUAGACACCCCUCUAAGAAAACUCAAUUCAUUAAAUAUUGUGUACAUUCGGAAAUCAGGUGCUUUCUAUCUAGCCAUUUCACUUGUUUAUCUACAUCUUUUAGUGGAGCAGGAAGGCAUCUUCUCUUCAUUAAACAUUUUAGUGUUAGUAAUCGUUCAUAAUGCAUGUGCUCUCCACCAAAGAUUAGGAGCCUUGACUAUAGAGCACGCAUGUAGAGAUGAAGACUAGCCAUUUUUUUCUUGUCCAUGAGUGGACACAUACCAAUGAUGUUGCCUUGACGAGAAAGCGCGGUCCAUUGGAAAGAAAAGAUGCACGCCUAAGUCAAUAACUUUUACCAUUCAAUUAGUCAAACAGACUGACUUGAUCAUUAAACAUUUUGGAUUCGAAAUCGUUCCGAAAUCAUAUGCUCUCCUCCCAAAAAGCACGUGCUCUGCCUUUUCAUUUGCUUAUCUACUUCUUCUUGUGCAGCAGGUUGGCAUCCUCUCUUCAUUUUUGUCUAUAAGAUUUCUAUGGGGAAAGGGCAAAGUCUGAGCAAAAUAAAAAGAAAAAGAAAAAGAGCGCAAAAAAAAAGGAGCAAUAAGGGAGAAAAAGAGAAGGAUUGCUGAGAAAGAGAUCACUGAUGGAGCAUCUGCUUCUUCGUCCUUACCUUCCAUACCCACGGGAGGAGAUAAUGAUCAAUAUGAUGUGUUCUUGAGCUUUAGAGGCUCCGACACUCGCAACGAAUUCACUGAUCACCUCUACUGCAGUCUGAUCAGUGUGGGGACUCUACCGAUUUCUGUGUUCAGGGACGAUAAUAGCAAGGAUUUUAAUUCAGAGAUUCUCAAUGCUAUCACGCGAUCUAAGAUUUCAAUCCCCAUCAUCUCUGAAAAUUAUGCUUCGAGCAAAUGGUGCCUCCGCGAGCUAGUACGCAUCAUGGAUUGCCAGAAGAGCACGUCGCACACAGUGUUGCCCAUUUUUUACAAAGUGCUCCCAUCGGAUGUGCGGUAUCUAAAUGGAAAUUUUGGGGAGGCCUUCCGUUUGCGUAAGAAGCGUUUUGAUAAGGAGGACAUUCAGGAAGGUCAACGAGCCCUUACAGAAGUGAGUUACUUGAAGGGAUGGGAAUCUGAGAAAUUUGCCAAUGGGUACUUACCUUCUACCUACACUUUUUUUUUCUAAGUUUUGUUAUUUAGCAAAACCAAUGUCAUAUAGAUUAAUUGCUUCCACUACAAGCUUACUAAACAUCCCAAAAUGUCCCAAUGAAUAACCAUAGUGGCCCACAUACUACAAACACUUGUACUCCCUAAGAUUUCCCCAGAAAAGUACACUAAUAACAUCUAAAACCUUAGGAUCCCUUACUCAAUCUUCCAAAGCUUGGUAACCGCUGGAUAAAUUGACCUCCUAUUGCUUCACACAGAUCAUGUCUAGGUUUAACACCCAUUGUUGCCAGUAACUUUCAUUUGUAGGCGAUCUAUAAGUUAAUUACAAGUCCUCCAUUUAGGCUUGGUCUUAGCGGGAUAACAUCUUGUCCUCCUAAACUUUUUGCAACAAAAAUUAUUGACCUCUUAUCCUUCAACUAUCGGUGACCAUUAGCCUCAUAACAAACUCUUUACUUCUAAAGAAUCUUAAUUUGCUAGGUGCGCCACCAUAUCUUAAUCAAUAAGAUCUAUCUAUUUGAAGAAAAAGAAGGGGAAAAAUGAAAUGACUGCUACACCAUCAUCCUAUAUUGUCAUUUGUAAAACCUAGACAUUUUGCAUGUUAACUGGUCACAUCCAUCCUUCACAUAUAUGUGGGUGUCUUUUGAUGAGAUUACGCAAAAUUAUGAAGUUAUGAUAGAGUUUUGUUGUUUGACAGGCGUGAAGGAGAAUUAGUGGAAGAAGUUGUCAAAACUGUUCUGAGCAAGUUGAGACGUGAUUUUGAGCUAGAUAUUUUGGACCACUUAGUUGGAGUUGACGAUCAUGUCAACAAAAUUAGGAAUUGGGUAGACAUUCCUGCCAAGCAUGCUCGAAUGAUAGGAAUAUAUGGCAUGGGUGGGAUCGGUAAAACGACUCUCGCCAAGGUCAUCUAUAACCAGUUGUCGAAUAAAUUCGAGCAUCGUAGCUUCCUUCCAGAUAUACGAGAAACAUAUCACAACAAUGGCAUUCUUGAACUACAAAAUCUACUUAUUAGGGAAAUACUACCAAAUGCACGUGGAGUAUGUAAAGUUGAUGAUGGAAUUAGUUUGAUCAAAUCUAGAUUUAAAGGAAUAAAGGUUCUCAUUCUUCUGGAUGAUGUUGAUGACCGAAAUCAUCUACAUGCUUUGGCUAGAGAACGUGAUUGGUUUUCGACAGAAAGCAUCAUCAUUGUUACAACUAGAAAUGAAGCUAUUCUUCAUCAACCUAAAUUCGAGGUAGAUUACAAGUAUGAAUUGACACAAUUAGAUGAGGUGCAUUCUUUGUGUUUAUUUAAAAGACAUGCAUUUUCCAAGGGCGAUUGUCUGAAGGAUUUUGAGGGUAUCUCUCGUGAUAUCUUAUCCACCAUGGGUGCGCUCCCCUUGGCUAUCGAGGUCAUAGGUUCAUACUUGUAUGGAAAAACAGAUGUAAAAGUAUGGCAAGAUGUGCUGAAGAAAUUAAGAAAUGAACCGAAUGUAGAUGUCCAAAGGACAUUGAAGAUAAGUUAUGAUGCAUUGGAACCUACACAAAAGGAGAUUUUUCUGGAUAUUGCUUGCUUUUUAAUCGGCGCAAGUCACAAAUAUGCUGUUUACGUGUGGGAGGACUGUGAGUUUUUUCCAUUUCUUGGAAUUGAAGAGUUGAAGCUGAGGUGCUUAAUAAAAAUUGGAGCUUAUGGUGAGUUUAUGAUGCAUGACCAAUUGAGAGAUCUUGGAAGGAGCAUAUUUUGUCAAGGACAACCACCUGAGAGAUGUCUAAAGCCAUGGUUUAAUAUGCGAAGGGAGGUAACAUCUUUCUCUCUCUCUCUCUCUCUCUCUCUCUCUCUCUCUCUCUCUCUCUCAUUUAUGUCCCUCUUAGAUAAAUUGUGAUAAUAAUUGGAUUAUAAGUGCCCCAAAAAUGAAAAAAGUUAUAUUAUUUAUAUUUUUUAGUACAAUGCCCUUUUGUGCCGAAAACCCUCGACAAAGUCGGCAAUUUAGAGGAAAUGUCAUUUUAUUAUAUCGAUACCUUUUUCUUUACUAAAUAACAUUUUCAGCAUGUUGUCAAUUUUGAAAGCAAGUUUAAUUUUUACUUAGAUUAUCAAUGUUCAUGUCGUUUCAUUAUUUUAUAUAUUCCACUUAGAGAAGUGUAGUGGGUUCAUGACUGAUCAGUGGCGGGGAAUUAACCUUUGCAAUUAACCAAGAGAUGUUGGGAAAUGAAAAAGCUUUAUUUUCUUGAUUUAAUUUGAAUUAGUUCGCUCAUACAAUUAUAAAUAGCACAUUCUUUUGUUGAUUCAAUAAUUAUUCUUAAGAGAAAUAAUAUUGACCGUUAGUUUUUCACUAGUUAAUAUAUAAAAUAUGGAUAAUGACAAAUGAGUCAAACCAUAAAAUUAAUCCCCACCAAAAAAAGGGAAAAAAGAAUUCUAUCUUUGGUUUGAUAGUGUUCGUGGAAGUUCAUAUUUCACAAAACAAAUUUGUCUUUUGGCAGUUCAGUUUAUUCAUAAUAUUUCCAAGAAACUAACAGAAAAAAAUGCACUCUCAAGUUAUGUUGAUCAGUUAAUAAUUUUUUUUAAUGCUUGCUUAUAUCUCCUGCCCUAUUGUAUCUUUGCACUCAGCCUAUAAAUAGCAUUCCAAAAAAACCAAAAAAAGAAAAAAAAAAGAAAAAAAAAACGAGAUGAUGCUUUCAAUUUGGAGCAGAUGCUGUUGUCACAGAAGUUCAUGUAAAAGAAGAAAGGUGUCGGGUGUUGUGAAAUAUGGAUCAACUAGUCGUGAGCCCAUACCAUGCAUAUGCACAAAACUGACUUGAAUAAAUUUAUCAUGAAGAUAUAUCUAUCGUAUCUUUAUCUCUAUUGGAAAAGCACAUAUAGAUGGACAAAUCAUGUUCUUUGGAAAGACAGUUAUAAUUUAUAAGUUUACAGUUCUUAAUCUUUCAUUAUAGUAAUUCAACCAGGAAAAAAAAAAAAAACAUCUCUCAUUAUAGUAAAAAUUCAGGCGAGAAACUUAAUUCGAAAGACAUUCCUUUUUUUAUUUCCCAAUAACAAUGGACAUACUUCUUUUGGAUGGAGUGCAUGAAAAUAGUUAAAUGCACUAAAAAUCGAAUUAUAGGGAAUUUAAAAAGAUAUUAAAUGAAAUUGCAUGAAACGGAAGUGCGUUCAAAGGAAAAUUACGAGGAAAGUAAAAGAUGAACUUUGUUGUGCCGUGCCUGUCUGAUCUUACCUCCGGAUACCCCUUUUAUACCAAUGCCUCGUGUAGACCAUUUUGUUUCUAGGCCAUUCACAUGUAACUUCCACAUGCAUCAAUUGUCUCCUGCGUUUCUUGCCACAUGCAUCCUACGACACCUAGUCCUAUACUAUUCUUUUCAAGGGAGAGAUUUUUCUAUUAUUCUCUCAACGUAAAUUAUCUCAAAAUCAAGUUCAUUAUAAAUUUUAUUUAUUUAAAUGAAUCCAUGGGCUAUUUUCAUCACUUAGCUCCUAAAAGGGGAAACCACCAUCAUUAAUCGCAAUUGCCCACUGUCUAAACAUAGUUAAUUAUAUAUAUAAACAUGUGUUUUGCUUCUCUUUUAAGAGGGAAUUGCUCAUCAUUUGAAACAUCAAUUGGCGUUACCUGCUCAAUCCAAUAUAAAUGGUGUGCAUAGCGUGGGUCAUGUCUAGUCUAUAUCUAAUAUAACAUGAUACUAUAAUUAUAGCAAUGAGAUUGGUGUCACUUUAGGUCCCUUCCAAUUUUACUAUUAUUUAAGGAUUCUCCUACUAAUAAAAAGUACGGCUGAGGAGUAAAGUCUCACUUUGGUAGAGUACUCCUUCUCUAACCAACACAUCCCCCACCUUUAACGGUUAUAUAAUAUUCUCUUCAUCAACAUGUUGUACCAUCCCCAAUUUUUAUCACCGUUCUCUUCUUAUUUUUAAGAGUUUUAAGUUACAAAGUUCACAUAAAAAUAAGCAUAACGUUACCAUUACAUGCACAUAGCAUGUGUAUAGAGUAUUGUGGACAUUAAGCAAAGUCCAUUUACAAAAAUAAUACCAUUUCUAGGUCGAAUUUUGCUUUUUACGUGUUACAAAUGCAAUUUCUUGAACAGGUCGAGUGAGGGGCACUACUAGCUUGAAAUUAAUCUGCUCUAGAAGUGCAUGUUAACAGAUGAGUACUAAUUUCUAAUUUCUAAUUCACCUCUUGAGAAGCAUGCCCAUGCUAAAAACGAACGUCAAUAAUUUACAUCAACAUACCUCUAGAAAACCGAUCUGACAAAAGUGGGUACUAACAGCUACCUAAGUUCCAUAAUGGUGAAAUACUCCAUUAACUCUCAUUGCCAGGUGGGAGACCAGCUUAAUUAAGUCCGACUGGACGGCUCAAACAGGAAAUUAUUUGCACUUAAUAGUGCAAGGAAUCAAACCCAUAUCAUAAUACACAAAAGCGCAUUCCUUAACCACUAAAUGAGCAGUGUGGGGUUGCCUCUCAAAACAUUUCCAAGAUACCGAACUGGUAGUCAUUGAGAGGCCAACGUGGCAGAGCCAGGAUCAGGCUCGGGAGUUGCUACUAAGUUUGGUACAAGGCUCCUGGUUCGUUGCCAAUACCGGGUUUAAGGUCUCCGGUUGGCUCCGAUAGACCCCACAUGGGCUUGGCGGGAGCCUUUUAUAGACCUUGGCGGGAGCCUUUUAUAGACCUGCUCAGGUCUAACUGUACCUUAUAUUGCUUUUGGUAAUUCCUAAAGAACCUGACCAUAAAAUAAAUUGCAAAGAAAAAAUAACUCAUUAGACAUGUCUCCUUAGUGCCUAACUGAGCGUGGCCAAGUGCCCGUUGUGAUCCAGAAUCGCACGCCCAACGGAGCGUGACUAAGUGCCCACUUUGAUCCAGAAUCGCAUCUCUACGCUGUUCAAGCGACUUAGUCUUGCUGGAGACCCGGCCACCGACCGGUAGCUUUGGCUACUUGCGAUCUCUGUUAUGGGCAUCUCAGUUUGUUCCUCUGAACAUUUACGCCAUGUCAAUGUGUAAAUUGAGUGGCGGCUUGAUUUAUUUGUGGUCAAUCUCGAGAUGCUAAUCCAAUAGAAAGUUUAAGAAUUAAAAUUUCGAUACUCGAACGUUAUCCAAUUCUGUCACUGAUCAGCUAAGCUUUCGGGGGAAAAAUAAAAAAGUAUUGUCGUUAGUGUCAAUCAAGCCGUCUGGGAUUUAGUCACCAUCUUCUUCCAAUUAAAUGAUCUCCUUUAGCAACAAAGUUUAAGCGGUACUUUUGACUUAUAAGAUGCGAAAAGAAAUGGUGCUAGUCUUGGGAAAUGGACAUACGUACCUUCACUUUUCUGUUUAGGUAACAUAAGUAGAUUUUUUCAGAAAGUUUCGUGUGGCAGAGUUUGGCAAAAGAUGUUGCCAAGCAUCGACAAACCUACUAUUCCAUAUGUUAAGACCUUAAUCUAACUAGAACUCCAUGUAAGGAAGUUAAUUAGUUCAUUUUUAGUUGGUCUAAAGCCAGCUCUCUUCCAAUUUCCGUCAAAAUCUAAAAUAUUAUUCAAAUGCUAAAGGUGUAUUGCUAAAGAAUGAUUAAACACUUAAUAACAAUAGUUAACAAAUUGAAAAUCAGGUGCUUACUUAGCUAUUUAACAAGUGACCCAUGGGUACUCUUUAACAGUCGUAUGUUUUAAAAGGUUUCAUGUAUUUCCACUUUAAUAAAAAUCAAAGUACAUGCACUACAAAAUUCCAAAAAAGCAAGUGGUAAAGAUUGAGGUGUUUCGUCUUGAACUUUUGAAAGCAAGAAAAAGUGAUUUUUUUUAUUUAAAAUAUCAUUUGAAUUUUAAAAAAUUUAUCAAAAUACUACAUGUGUGUGUUUAUCUGUCAACAUUUAUGUUUGGCAAGGGGUAAAAAGAUGACAAAUUGUGAAAGUAUGGGGUUUAGAAAAGCAAAAGUAAAAAAUUAGAAGUCGAUUCAGACCACUCAAUUGAUUGAUUNNNNNNNNNNNNNNNNNNNNNNNNNNNNNNNNNNNNNNNNNNNNNNNNNNNNNNNNNNNNNNNNNNNNNNNNNNNNNNNNNNNNNNNNNNNNNNNNNNNNACCAUAAGUGGAGACUUUAGUGAAUUGUUUCCUGAAGUAAGAUGGCUUCGAUGGUUAUACAUUGAACCUGAUAUAUUUUCUUCAGCAAUCAAUUUGCAUCUAUCUAAAUUAGUGGUGUUGGAAUUGUUACAAAACAAGCUUACAGAUGAUUGGGGAGGAUGGAGUUUGAUCAUGGUAAGAUGGAAAAAAAGACAUCCUCUAUGAUCUUUGCUUUGUUUUGUUUUAUCAAUUAAACUCCUUUUUGAUAGCUUUUUCUCUUUUGUACAGGCAGCAAAGCAACUAAAAGUUCUCGACCUUUCAAAUAGCAGGGAGUUAAGAUAUACUCCUAAUCUCUCGGCUUUCACGAAGUUGGAGAUUCUUAUCUUGUCUAACUGUUACAAAUUGAAGCAAGUCGACCCUUCUAUUGGCAAACUCAAGAGUCUCAUAUCUUUGAACUUGUGUCAUUGUGAAAAUAUGAAAGAGCUACCAGAGGAAGUGGGGGAAUUGCAAGAACUAAAAGAACUCCUUUUAAGUGAUAGUGGCAUUACAAAGAUUCCUACGUCGAUCUACUCUCUAAGGAAGCUAGAGUGUCUGGAUAUCGCAUUUUGUUGUUCAUUGGUUGAAAUCCCUCCCACAAUUGGGAAUUUUUCUUCUCUCAAACUACUUGAUCUAGAGGAUUGUAAGUCAUUGACAGAAAUCCCUAGCUCAAUUGGGAAUCUUUCUUCCCUCAAACGACUUGAUCUAUUGGGUUGCAAGUCAUUGACAGAAAUCCCUAGCUCAAUUGAGAAUCUUUCUUCUCUCAAACAACUUAAUAUAGGGAGUUGCGAGUCAUUGAUAGAAAUCCCUAACUCAAUUGGGAUUAUUUCUUCUCUCAAACGACUUGAUCUACAUAGUUGUGUGUCCUUGACAGAAAUCCCUAGCUCAAUUGGGAAUCUUUCUUCUCUUGAACGGCUUGAUUUAUGGGGUUGCAUGUCCUUGACAGAACUCCCUAGCUCAAUUGGGAAUCUUUCUUCUCUUAAACAGCUUGAUUUAUGGGGUUGCAUGUCAUUGACAGAAAUCCCUAGCUCAAUUGGGAAUAUUUCUUCUCUCAAACAACUUGAUCUACGGAGUUGCAAGUCAUUAAUAGAAAUCCCUAACUCAAUUAGGAAUCAUUUUUUUCUAGAUUUUGGGUUAUUGACAGAAAUCCCUAUCUCAAUUGAGUAUCUUUUUUCUCUCAAACAACUUGAUCUUUCUUCUCUCGGAGUACUUGAUCUACAUGGUUGUAUGUCAUUGACAGAAAUCCCUAGCUCAAUUCGGAAUUAUUCUUCUCUCAAACAACUUGAUCUAGAGGGUUGCGUGUCAUUGACAGGAAUCCCUAGCUCAAUUGGGAAUCUUUCUUCUCUUGAACAAUUUAAGCUAUGGGGUUUCGUGUCCUUGACAAAAAUUCCUAGCUCAAUUGGGAAUCUUUCUUCUCUAAAAGAACUUCGUCUAAGGGGUUGCGAGUCAUUGACAGAAAUCCCUAGCUCAAUUGGAAAUCUUUCUUCUCUUGAACAACUUCAUCUAGAGGGUUGUGAUGUCAUUGACAGAAAUCCCUAGCUCAAUUGGGAAUCUUUCUUCUCUCAAACAACUUGAUCUACAUAGUUGCGUGUCCUUGACAGAACUCCCUAGCUCAAUUGGGAAUCUUUCUUCUCUUGAACAGCUUGAUUUAUGGGGUUGCAUGUCAUUGACAGAAAUCCCUAGCUCAAUUGGGAAUAUUUCUUCUCUCAAUCAACUUGAUCUACAUAGUUGCGUGUCCUUGACAGAACUCCCUAGCUCAAUUGGGAAUCUUUCUUCUCUUGAACAGCUUGAUUUAUGGGGUUGCAUGUCAUUGACAGAAAUCCCUAGCUCAAUUGGGAAUAUUUCUUCUCUCAAACAACUUGAUCUACGGAGUUGCAAGUCAUUAAUAGAAAUCCCUAACUCAAUUAGGAAUCAUUUUUUUCUAGAUUUUGGGUUAUUGACAGAAAUCCCUAUCUCAAUUGAGUAUCUUUUUUCUCUCAAACAACUUGAUCUUUCUUCUCUCGGAGUACUUGAUCUACAUGGUUGUAUGUCAUUGACAGAAAUCCCUAGCUCAAUUCGGAAUUAUUCUUCUCUCGAACUUGAUCUAGGGGGUUGCGUGUCAUUGACAGGAAUCCCUAGCUCAAUUGGGAAUCUUUUUUCUCUUGAACAACUUAAGCUAUGGGGUUUCGUGUCCUUGACAAAAAUCCCUAGCUCAAUUGGGAAUCUUUCUUCUCUAAAAGAACUUCUUCUAAAGGGUUGCGAGUCAUUGACAGAAAUCCCUAGCUCAAUUGGAAAUCUUUCUUCUCUCAAACAACUUAAGCUAUGGGGUUGUGUGUUAUUGGAAGAAAUCCCUAACUCAAUUGGGAACCUUUCUUCUCUCGAACAACUUGAUCUAGGGUGUUGCGUGUCAUUAACAGGAAUCCCUAGCUCAAUUGGGAAUCUUUCUUCUCUUGAACAACUUAAGCUAUGGGGUUGCAAGUCAUUGAUAGAAAUCCCUAGCUCAAUUGGGAAUCUUUCUUCUCUUGAACAACUUCAUCUAGAGGGUUGUGAGUCAUUGACAGAAAUCCCUAACUCAAUUGGGAAUCUUUCUUCUCUCGAACAACUUAAGUUAUGGGGUUGUGUUUUAUUGGAAAAAAUUCCUAACUCAAUUGGGAAUCUUUUUUCUCUCAAACAACUUGAUCUACGGAGUUGCAAGUCAUUGACAGAAAUCCCUAGCUCAAUUGUGAAUCUUUCUUCUCUUAAACAACUUAAUCUACAGAGUUGCGAGUCAUUAAUAGAAAUCCCUAACUCAAUUGGGAAUAUUUUUUCUCUAGGUUGUGGGUCAUUGACAGAAAUCCCUAUCUCAAUUGAGAAUCUUUUUUCUCUUAAACAACUUGAUCUUUCUUCUCUCGAAGUACUUGAUCUAAAUAGUUGUGUGUCAUUGACAGAAAUCCCUAGCUCAAUACAGAAUUAUUCUUCUCUCGAACAACUUGAUUUAGGGGGUUGUGUGUCAUUGACAGGAAUCCCUAGCUCAAUUGGGAAUCUUUUUUCUCUUGAACAACUUAAGCUAUGGGGUUGCGGGUCCUUGACAGAAAUCCCUAGCUCAAUUGAGAAUCUUUAUUCUCUCAAACAACUUGAUCUAGGGUAUUGCAAGUUAUUGACAGAAAUCUCUAAUUCAAUUGGGAAUCUUUCUUCUUUCAAACAACUUGAUCUACGGAGUUGCGAGUCAUUAAUAGAAAUCCCUAACUCAAUUGGGAAUCUUUUUUCUCUCGAGCAACUUAAUCUAGGAGGUUGUGGGUCAUUGACAGAAAUCCCUAUCGCAAUUGGGAAUCUUUCUUCUCUCAAACAACUUGAUCUAUGGGGUUGUGUGUUACUAAGAGAAAUCCCUAGCUUAAUUGGGAAUCUUUCUUCUCUCGAACAACUUUAGCUAGGGGGUUGUGUGCUAUUGAGAGAAAUCCCUAGCACAAUUGGGAAUCUUUCUUCUCUCAAACAACUUGAUCUAUGGGGUUGCAAGUUAUUGACAGAAAUCCCUAGUUCAAUUGGGAAUCUUUCUUCUCUAAAAAAGCUUGAUCAAAAGAGUUGCGAGUUAUUAACAGAAAUCCCUAGCUCAAUUGGGGAUCUUUCUUCUCUUGAACAACUUCAGUUAGGGGGUUGUGUGUCAUUGGGAGAAAUCCCUAGCUCAAUUGAGAAUCUUUCUUCUCUUAAAGUACUUGGACUAGAGGCUUGAAAGUCAUUGAGAGAAAUCCCUAUCUCAAUUAGGAAUCUUUCUUCUCUCGAAUACCUUAACCUUUACGGGUGUUGUUCACCAAAAGAAAUUCCUACCUCAAUUGCGGAUUUAUCGAAUUUGCAAAGCAUUGGGGAUUUUUGACCUUGAAUAGUUACCUAUUGCUAUUGGAUGGUUGAACAAACCGCCGAAGGCUAUUUCUUGAAUCUUGUGAUAGUCUAAAAGGGGGAAUUCCAAGAGAAAACGAUGACUUGUCUUCGUUUGUGAUUCUCCAUAUCAGUGGCACAUUGAUAUUUGACCCGCCAGAAAGCAUCUGGAAUAUUUCUUCUCUCUAUUGCCUUGACCAAGAGGGCUGUAGGGAGCUUGAUCGUUGCUAGAGCUUCCUUCCGGCUUAACAUAUCUUCAAAUUCCUAGGUUGCCAGAGCUUUCUUACCUAUUCCACUUGGAAGAACUUCAUUUUUAUGGAUACGAUCAACUUGAGUACUUCCCAGAGCUUACCUCAAGACUCUUGAAACUUUGUGUUGACUUCUGUCCCAAGUUGAUAUUGCUUGAGCUUGACGGAUUCAAGUACUUGGAAGAGUUGUCAAUAAAACACUAUAAUUCCAUUGAAAGAAUGGACCUCUCACAAUCGAAUCUUCUGAAAGAAUGGAGGAUUGCGAUAAUCUAGUUGAAAUUUAGGGCCAAGGUAAAUUGGAGUUCUUGGAGACAAUACAUACAUAUAGCUACAAGUUCGUUAGAAGGCCGAUCCAUCCGAAACUACAAGGGCUUGAAGCAAUUAAAUACUUGCUAUUGCGACAAUCUAGUCAAAAUACAAGGUCUUGAUAAGGUGGAGUUGUUAGAGAUGUUGAAUGUAUGUAAUCGUGAUUCUAUCGAAAGAUUACCUGACCUAUGAUGCUUUUGGAACUUGAAAGAGUUGAAUAUCAAUGGUUGUCAUAAUCUACGUGGUGUCGAGACUCAAUUCCCAGUCUUAUAUAAGUGCAAGAGUGGAGAAGUCAAUCCUAGAAGCUAACAUGAUGCUUCAGCCAAGAUCAAAAUUUCGAUCCAAUUGUGGUUCUUCAUACGUUAGAAGGCGUUGGUCAUCUGGUAAGAUUCUUUGACCUUUAACAACUAGAACGAGCCAAAAGUGUAAUACUUUUCUAACAGAUAUAUCUUUUAAGAAUUAUUUGCUCGACGCUUCGUAUCUAUUUGAUCUGGAUUUGCCUAAGUAUAUUCGCUGUUGAUUGCAUCACAGCAAUGCUUUUUCAGUUAAUCUUCAAUCGGCAACUUUUGCAGAUAGAUUGGCGGCUUGUGAGGCAACAAAUGAAAACUAACAACAUAGGUAAACAAGAAUUACUUAGUGAUUUACAGUUUCCCUCUUGGUAAACCCAAGAUGAGAAUUUUUCAUCAAGAGGUUGAUCUUCUGCAACUCAAUUUAUAAACUCCACCCAGAUCCCUUUUUUCUCUGUCUCAAACUAGUAUUUUCCUUUAAAAAAUCCUUCGCCUUUUUGAACUCCUUUUUGUGAGCAAUUUUAUGUGUCAAAUUUGACUAUUGGUAGAUAUCCUGUUUAGGACAAACAGCUCUCGAUUUUUCGUGAUGAUGGGAAAGCCUAUCCAUUGUUCAUUCGAGCAUGAAUUCUCAUUAAGGAAGAGAAACUGAGCUAAAAUAAAAAUCAAGGUUCAAUUUUUUUUUGGUGCGUGAUUUAAAAAAGUAAAAAUUAGUUUUGGCUAGCCUUUUUCAUCUAUGAUUGUAGGCAGGCUUUCCAUAAACAAUUGUGAGACUGUUGAAAGAUUAUCAAGCGAGAUAAAUUGGUGCUACUUUUGUGACAGGUUGGGUUGGUCUAUGUAAUGAUCAAGGCUUACGUUUGGACUUUAAUUCAAAGAGCUGUAUGGAUGACCUUUUGCAUAAUUGGGACAAUUUUUUGCCUGCUCUAUAAAACAAGCUAGGCGAGGAGCUUAAGAUUUUGCUUAUUAUUGUGCAUCCCGUUUGAACCUGAUGUUGUCAUGGAAUCAUUUUAUCAAAUGAUUGAUCUGGGUCUGGUUAACUCGGCUGAGGCAAUUUAUAGUCCAUACCCCAGAGAAUGAUCAAAUGAAGAAGAGGGAUUUUGCUGAGGUGUCAUUAGCAACAGCUGAAGGCUAGCUUUUGUGCGACCUUGAACAGGCUCAUGGGCCAACUGGAGUAUCCUAAGGAAGUUUUUUAUGCCUGUGAAGAUCAAAGCACUUGAUAUGGUUUCAUCAGCACAAAACUGAAUGAUUGUGAAUGUAUUAUUUUUCAGUUGAAUCUACAUUUUGUAUUCUCAUUAGGUUCUACCUCUAUUAAGCAAAUACACACGUGCUGAUUUUUCUACAUGUUAACCAGAUGCUGAGUUCUUUGAUGCAAUGCGCUCUAAUGGUAUCAUUCCCAAACUCAAAGCAGGCUCUGCAGAUAGAGGUAUGCACUGCCAGUCCUACCAUAACUGUGAAAGAGUGACUCGUGUACUUAUAUUUAAUUGAAUGUGCUGUAUGCUUGUUAGGUUCUACCUCUCUGUUAAUCGAAUAUGUAUGUGCUGAUUUUUCUGCAUGUUACCCUGAUGCGGAGUUGUUUGAUGCGGUCUCAUUCUAAUGAUAUCACUUUCAAACCCAAUGAGGCUCUGCAGAUGGAGGUAUGUACUACCAGUUGUACCAUAAUAGAGUAACUUGUGUGCUUAUACUAUGUGAGCUGUGGAGUUUCACCAGAAAUCCGUGAACUAGGAUGCAUGAUGACAAUCUCCUCUUUUUCUGUCAGUUCAUAAUAUCUUUUGAAUGUUGUGAUAAAGGUCUCUGAUACGACGAGCUUAAAUCUCAUGUAUGUAGCAUUAAAUUUGUAAAGUUAAAUAUAGCCUCCUAGCAAACAAUUCCAUAUUGCUAAUUUCGCUAAUUGGAUAUUGCAAAAUAACCAAGUAACAAGUACGCCUUUCUGCUAUGUAGUUUGGGCACUUUGCCUUUUCAGCAUCCGUUUGUUCAUAAACACAAACAAGGAUAAUGGUGCUAAUUGCUGACUUCUCUUCUCUUAAAGUCCGUUGUUUUCUAUUUCUUUGGCUGAUAAUGAAUUCUGUUGAUUGCGAUCCAAUUGCGAAUUAAUCAGAGACCCUUGGAAUGUGUGGCAAAACUAAUGUCCCCAGAUUUUGGUGUUGAUAGGUAGGAUUCAUUGAAGAGGUCACUUGUAGAUCGCCAGAAUCUGGACCAGGUCAAAAUAACCUUGUUUAUAUUGAUGGACUCUCAAGUCUAUGCUUAUUACUUUCGGCUAAUUUUAGGUUCUUCAUUCCAAAUACAUCUAAAAAUAGACAGAACUAAGGAUCCAUGCAGCCGUGCCUUUAUCUCUCUUCGAGAUGAUUGGAAAGUGUGACACAGUUUUACUCUCAACCAUCUCGUGUAACACAUGCAUCGCCCUCAUUUUCUGACCAUCUUUGGCAAGUGCCCGGGUGGAGACUAGUUAUAAGUCUUCUAAGGUUGAAUUUGUUAGUGUUCGUAACUUUUGACGAAAUAUCAUAAACAACCUGAAUUUAUCAUUCAUUCUUUUCCUAAAUCUAUCACGAAGUACAUAUGUAGCUAGUAAAAUUAUAAUUAUUUUGAAAAUCUCAUGUGACAACAGCUGAUUGGAAAAGCCAAUGAGUGUGAGACCCAAAUACAGGGUUUACAUUUGAUGAUGCGGUUCAAACUAUAAGAGACACACCUUCGGGUCGUCCAAAACUUCUUAACGACUUGCCUCGAAGGAAACAACCAAGAGAAUGGAACAAAAUUUCACCAAGGAAUGAAGAAGGAGAAGGAGAAGGAGAAGGGGAAGGAGAAGAAGAAGAAGAAGAUUGCCUCAACUGAGUUGAGAACAAAAUUGCAGCUACCACUGCUACCGAACCUUCUCAUGUGGACUCCGGUGCCACCUCCUCUGUGGUUUAACUGGUAUGAUGACUAAUUCAUGAAAUAUUUGAUAUAAUGCCAAAGUGCUAAUUUCCAAGUCCCCUUCAUUUAUUGAGUAGUAUAAGCUUGCACAAGUUCAAUUUCCUUGCGCUCGUAUCAGCAGCAGCAUCACAAAGUCCGGUCUUCCAAUUCCCAAUGAAAUGUUCUUUUUUAUUCUUUGCAGGGUUUUAUACCGAUAAAUUGUUGAUACUCCCUGCAAUAAGCUCCGACGAUCGUGGUGUACAUGGUCACAUCUAGCUCUCAGCCUGUGUCUUCCAAAUUCUUCAGCAAUCGAACGACUUUUCCAGUAUUGCCGGUUCUGCACAAUCCCUCAUCAUGGCUUGGCACGUGGUUAUAUCUACCUCGAUUGUCUAACCAACAUUUCAUCCGCCAAGCUCAUGGCUUUGGCGAUUCUCCCCUCUCCAACGAGCCCAUUGAUCAAAGUGUUAAAAGCUCGCAGUUGUGGGUUCAAGUCCAAGUUUGACCAUUUUACACAAAACUGAGGACCCGAGAUCGGAUCUUUUCAAUUGGCAGAGGUAAUUUAUCAAAAUGUUGGGAGUAGAACUGUUGAGAGUCGUUCCUUUCGAACCCAUCCGCUCGAUCAUGUCAAUGGCGACGGGGUAAUGCUUCAUCUUGGCGCCAACCCCAAGAGUUGGGCGAAACAGGGAGGUAAAGUCAAGAGGGUUCACUCGAAUUGUCCUCUCCAAGAAGAAUAAAGCAUCAGCAGCUUCCACCAAUCCACCAUUUCUUCAUUUGUUCACCACAAAGGUCACAAGUUCAGAUUGAUCCAUUGAAUCACUCACUCCAGCAGUGGAUGGGCAACCGUGGGAGCAACGUGAAAGAAAAUGGUUCGAUGCAAAGAUGGGAUGACGGAUGAGAAGUGAAAGGUUUAGCAAGAUCGCCAGAUUCUCGAACAAGACAGUGAAGAGUGGAAGUGAAAAUGGAUCGAUUCAUUCUCAUUAGUUUUGCCAAAUUCUCUCCUUCUGAGUUCCAACAAUCCACAAAUUGACGCAAUGACGUAUGGAGAGGAUGAUUAUUAGGCAGUUUAAUCACUGAAAUUUUAGAUGUCUGAUAACAACAUAGUUUUCGGUUCAAUCAUUGAAAACUACUUGAUUGGCAAACUAAACAUUUCUAGAAAUGCUCUGAUCAAUUCAUUCCCCUACUCGGCAAUUGAAGAGAGGUCAGGAUGCAUAAUCAUGCUCAGGAUGCAUAAUCAUGCUCUUAUACUGUUGUAAAAACAACUAUGAAAUCCACAUGUGGGACCAAAUCCGAAUGGAUUGAAAUCUCACACGACAAAAACGGCGAACACUAGCAGAGUUAAAGUAUCGCCUGUCGACAUGAACGUUUCAAGUCUUACUACUAUAGGCCCAAAAAAAUGAGAAAACAAUACUAACUAUUGUGUAUAGAACAUACUUUUGACAUUAUACCAACUUAACAAUUUGUUUUGGUUUAUUCGAUGCUUUCUUACUCAUCGAAUGAGCCAGGCAUCCUGGCUCACAUGUUGCAAAACGAAACUUUCUUAUAUGAAUUUUUGGUCUGGAUGGUUUACAUACUUUGUGUUUCGCAUAUGAAGUAUGUACUUCAAGAAGGAAAAUAAUAAUUAUUUUUUUGGCCCUGAUAACAUAGGAUUACUCAUCCAGUGGCUAAAACUCUAAACAUGUGAAACGGAUGACGAAGCUAAAUCAAUAAUUUCUCUUUGAAAUUGAAAGUGUCUUCUUUUUGUGACUAGCCUUUUCAUGCUUAGGUUAUCAUCUUGUCGUUCAACUGAACAAAGCAUGCAACUGAUUAGAAGUGCCGCUCUACGAGGACAUAGAAAGACAAUAGUUUACGAAGUAGAUAGGAACCCGAACGUUACGUGGAAAUAAUUGAUAAAGAGAAAAUGAGAAAGUCAUCCAUAUGACAUUCAUAACAGGUAAUUACCACUAGAUAUGCAAUAUUUGGGAGGAUAGAGUUUUCUGUUUUACAUUUCUAUUUCAAUGUGCCAUCAGAUUCGGUAAUUCUAGAUUUAAUUCAUAUUGUGAUUCCUCUCAUUCUUCAUCCUGAUCUCUUUUACGUCAUUUCAGUUGCUUCGUUCUUGUACACCAAACAUGCCCUUACGGUUUUCUAGUGUAGGCAUCGGUAGUUUGUUUUCUUCUAAGAUAUUUUUGCUUCUUGGAAUUAAUGGUGACCGAGUAGAGUUUUCUCCAUCUUGCGAUUUGGGUGUAUUGAGGUGCUUGUGUGGUGUGUUAUGGAAGGAAGUUUCACAUCGGAGACAUGAUGUAAUUGUCAACGUGAAUUUUGAUGAAAAUGCAUCUAGACCGUAGAGUAGUGGUAUAGGAACUCAGAAAAUCUUUGAUAGAUUUUCCUGUGGAAACUUGUCGAAGAAAGGUAUCUGACUUUGCGUUCUGAAUAUGUAUGUCAACAGCUAUUUCGCCCGAGGUAUUUGUUUUUCUUCGGAGAGUGUGUGCAUCUACCACCCUUUUCUUUUUCUUUGUUUUUUGUUUUUUGUUUUUGUUUUUUUUUUUUUGUUUUGGUUUUUUUUGUUUUGGUUUUUUUUUUGGUUUUUUUUUUUUUGUGCAUCCAUGUGGUAGAAAUUCUAUAUUGGCAAAUAAUAGAAGUGCUAUGCCAUAAUUUCAAAUUAUUGGGGGAAGUUAUGAGUUGUGCGUCCAGUAGUCCUUCCUCGAGGAUGGGAUAACGCGGGUCUUGAAUGAAGCUACUAAUCAAGAUCCUUUUGUUCCCAUGCACGUCAAGACGCAAAAACAAUUUCGACGUAUUUUCUAUGGGAUUGCGCAGCCACCUGAUCCCGUUGCAAAGAGAACUAGCAAAAGGUGAGGAGGGUUCAUUGAGUAAAGAAGUAAAUUUUCUGGUCAAAGAUGAGCAGUCACGGCAGGAUCGUGUGUAUCCCACGCACAUCCGGCUCAUCUUCUAGGGCAAUAAUAGAAGAAGAAAUUUCCAAUAUCAACACCUUACAAAUGGAAAAGUUGCCAAGUACAAGGAGAUAAUUCCGUACCUCUUAAAGAUGGUAUCCCGUAAAAAAGUUAAUCUCCACCGGGAUUGGUGUGGCGAUGGGCUCCAAUUACAAAGAGAACUAACAAAAAUAUCACAGCGGGUAGUCUUGCCUAUUUCGGGGGAGGAAGGUUUGUUAUGGUGGUCUUGGUCAGAGGGUUAAAAGGAGUAGAAGUGCCUCGUAAAAAGAAGCGCCAUCCUCUGCAAGAUUGUGCGUCUCCUUUGGGGCAAGAGACUGAAGUAAAGCUUUAUUUAUGACAUGUUUGGUAAUGUUUCUAAUUCUCAAAAUUUCUAUUCUUUUUAUUUUCGAAAAUAGAAAAAGAAUGGAAAUUUAUUAAGUGAUGUUAGUUAAUUUUUUGAUUUCUUGAAAUAGAGAAUAGAUUUGAAACAAAAAUAAAAAGUAAAAAAGAGUUAUUUAUUUAUUUUCGAAAAUAAUUUUUGAAACAAAUCAUUUUUUCUUCUUUUCUUUUUCUUUCUCCUCUUUUAUGUUCUUUACGUAGUGCCCAUGAGUUUGGGGGCAUGGCCAACUCCGAAGUUAAUGAAAAGAAGACUAAGGUUCACUCGUAAGCACAAGAGAUUAUAUAGUUGAGCUUGAGGUUGAGCUAAAGCUAAACUUUAACUAGUCUAGUUUUAGUGUAAGAACCUUUUUUGUGGGUAGAUAUUACAUCAAAGUACAUUGAAAAUCACUUAUUAGGUUAUAGUUUUGUUUAAUUAAUUGAACAAUUCUAGUGAAGAAAUGAAAAAAAUGACGUCAGCUUUACUCCUGAUGGGACAUAGAAAUUAACAAGCUGUUAGCACUUGAUUAAGGUCAUUUAUAAACGUUUUUUUUUCCUCCACUGCACCCCAGUACGUAUUUGGUAAUUGUAAUCCUAAAUAGAAUACGCAUUUUCUAUGUGGCCUUAUAGUGGGCAUAGAGCUUCGUAUGGUCUCUUCGAAGGUCUUCCCCAGUAAUUCAGUAGAAAUUGUUAUCAAAAGUUGCCUCUGGUGCUGUGUUUUGUCACUUUGUGUCCAAACUUCUUUUGUUCGUAUCCUACGGUGGCUUUUUGUUCAUGAAAAUAUGCUUUAUUUUAGCAAACUGUAAGCUAACAUGCUUAGAGAAAAAUGUUUUAGGAACCUACAGUGUUUUGGACUUAGCAUUAAAACCAAAAAUCAUACUGAUCCAGAAGCAAUUAUCGUACCGAAAGGAAAAAGAGAAGAGAAACGGAGAAUAUAGAUAACAAGUCUUGGUCAGGUUGUUUGUGGGGUCAAGAGGCAUCAUUCCUUCAUAUGACAUAAGAUGCUAGAGAUCUUGAUUUUGUCUGUCAUUUUAAGGCGCGUUUGGUAAUGAUUCUGUUCCCGAAAACAAAUUAUGAUCAGAAAUGAUUUUUUUUAUUUUUUUAUUUUGUUUCCGGAAACAGAUUCUGAGCAAAAAAAUAUGUUUGAUAAUUAUACAAAAUUUCUGGUUCUAGAAUAGAAAAAAAAAAACAUAAAUGCGUUUGGUAAAUGCAUAAAAUUUUAAUUUUAUUCUUUUUUAAUUACCUUUUUAGAUGAGUGUAACUUUGAUAUUGAAUUCUCAUAAACCACUCACUAAUAUAAUUGUCUUCUUUUAUGAGUGAAGAAAUCAUAUUAUAUUUUAUUAUAUUUUCAAUUUCAAAUAAUUCGAAUUUAGAAUUCUAUUAUAUUUAAAAUUCUACCAAAUCAUAGACAUUCNNNNNNNNNNNNNNNNNNNNNNNNNNNNNNNNNNNNNNNNNNNNNNNNNNNNNNNNNNNNNNNNNNNNNNNNNNNNNNNNNNNNNNNNNNNNNNNNNNNNNNNNNNNNNNNNNNNNNNNNNNNNNNNNNNNNNNNNNNNNNNNNNNNNNNNNNNNNNNNNNNNNNNNNNNNNNNNNNNNNNNNNNNNNNNNNNNNNNNNNNNNNNNNNNNNNNNNNNNNNNNNNNNNNNNNNNNNNNNNNNNNNNNNNNNNNNNNNNNNNNNNNNNNNNNNNNNNNNNNNNNNNNNNNNNNNNNNNNNNNNNNNNNNNNNNNNNNNNNNNNNNNNNNNNNNNNNNNNNNNNNNNNNNNNNNNNNNNNNNNNNNNNNNNNNNNNNNNNNNNNNNNNNNNNNNNNNNNNNNNNNNNNNNNNNNNNNNNNNNNNNNNNNNNNNNNNNNNNNNNNNNNNNNNNNNNNNNNNNNNNNNNNNNNNNNNNNNNNNNNNNNNNNNNNNNNNNNNNNNNNNNNNNNNNNNNNNNNNNNNNNNNNNNNNNNNNNNNNNNNNNNNNNNNNNNNNNNNNNNNNNNNNNNNNNNNNNNNNNNNNNNNNNNNNNNNNNNNNNNNNNNNNNNNNNNNNNNNNNNNNNNNNNNNNNNNNNNNNNNNNNNNNNNNNNNNNNNNNNNNNNNNNNNNNNNNNNNNNNNNNNNNNNNNNNNNNNNNNNNNNNNNNNNNNNNNNNNNNNNNNNNNNNNNNNNNNNNNNNNNNNNNNNNNNNNNNNNNNNNNNNNNNNNNNNNNNNNNNNNNNNNNNNNNNNNNNNNNNNNNNNNNNNNNNNNNNNNNNNNNNNNNNNNNNNNNNNNNNNNNNNNNNNNNNNNNNNNNNNNNNNNNNNNNNNNNNNNNNNNNNNNNNNNNNNNNNNNNNNNNNNNNNNNNNNNNNNNNNNNNNNNNNNNNNNNNNNNNNNNNNNNNNNNNNNNNNNNNNNNNNNNNNNNNNNNNNNNNNNNNNNNNNNNNNNNNNNNNNNNNNNNNNNNNNNNNNNNNNNNNNNNNNNNNNNNNNNNNNNNNNNNNNNNNNNNNNNNNNNNNNNNNNNNNNNNNNNNNNNNNNNNNNNNNNNNNNNNNNNNNNNNNNNNNNNNNNNNNNNNNNNNNNNNNNNNNNNNNNNNNNNNNNNNNNNNNNNNNNNNNNNNNNNNNNNNNNNNNNNNNNNNNNNNNNNNNNNNNNNNNNNNNNNNNNNNNNNNNNNNNNNNNNNNNNNNNNNNNNNNNNNNNNNNNNNNNNNNNNNNNNNNNNNNNNNNNNNNNNNNNNNNNNNNNNNNNNNNNNNNNNNNNNNNNNNNNNNNNNNNNNNNNNNNNNNNNNNNNNNNNNNNNNNNNNNNNNNNNNNNNNNNNNNNNNNNNNNNNNNNNNNNNNNNNNNNNNNNNNNNNNNNNNNNNNNNNNNNNNNNNNNNNNNNNNNNNNNNNNNNNNNNNNNNNNNNNNNNNNNNNNNNNNNNNNNNNNNNNNNNNNNNNNNNNNNNUGGUUUUCCGAAGAGCAGCUUCCUGUAGCCAACACCAAAACCACACAGAAUUACUGGGAAAAUCUAGUUUUGAGAAAACAAGAGGUUUUCAGCGGGGGUCAGAGCUGUUUCCAUAUAAGUAUAUAGAGGUUUUGAACAGGGGUCAGAGCUGUUUUCAUACAUAUAUACAUAUAUAGAGGAUACAGUAGAUCUCUGCUCUUGAGACAAUUUAGGACAUGCGGCAAAGGAGCUAUCAAGAAAAGGUACUUACUUGCUUUGGCCAGGAUGAAGAUAACGAGUUCUGCAGCUCCAUGUGUCUAGCAGCAACGUCCUUAAACCCCUCUUCCAACUUAACUUCAUGGUGCUUUUUUUCCUCAAGCGAACUCACCAAUCUGUCCAGAAAUCUACAAUUCGGAGAAACAAAGGAGUUAUUAAAGUAUGUUCUCCUUUGUAUAUAGGAAAUAGAAAGUAGACUGGCACCUCUCCAACUUCCUAUAGUGAAAGUGACGAAUUUCAUACACUUUGAAAAACUGAAUAGAAAUUGCAAUGAACAGACCAUCAAUCUGAAAGAAUAUCUGAAAGCACCUUUUGGAGUAUCAUGAUUAAGUCUUGAGUUUUCCUGUUUGUCAGCAGAGAAAUAGCCAGUGAAACGUCUGAAACCAUUGUCUCGAUGGCAUCAGCCGCAAACUGCUGUAGAACAAAGGGAGCAACUGACUGGACUUGAUGCUGCAAAGAUAUGUAUCUGAUUCCUCAACUCUGCUAUCGCUGAUGGAGAAGGCUUUGAUCUGAUGAAAGUACCAAAUUAGGCAAGAACAAGAGAUGUUGUCCAAAACAAUGUCAGUACAAUCUUUGCAAAAUACAAUAAAUCUGGGAGGUGACCAUGAGAUGAACCAUAAAUUGGGAAAGAACAAUUGAACGACGCAACAAACUAAACACUAUCUCAUAGAGAUCAUCGAGAAUCUUAUUUCUAUACUCUGUAUCUAGAAGCUGGCUUCGACCUUCCUUUGUUUCUGCAGCUUGUGAAAUAGUUGGUGAAUUAACUGCACCCACAUUGGGCAAGCUAACAUCAUCAAUGACAUCAACUUGAGGUGUCUCAACACUAACAUCCCAAGAUAUCUCUGACACCGAUGCGUCCUGUCCAGCAUUGCUUGGUUGAAUUUGAUUAUGCUCGACAGCUUCAUUGACCUCACUUGCCGUGACGAUUUCAUAAGUACCAAAGCCAUUACUGCCGUCAUCAGUUUCUUCCACAGUCCCAAUAUCCCAAUCAAUUGCAGCAUUGUCUACCGAGAUAUCCCAGUCAAUAUUAUCUGCAGCAGCAUCCACAUCACCUCCUAUCUCAUUGAAGCCUGAUUGAGUAUUUGCAGAGUCUGUGAUAUCAGAGACAGCAGAAACAUUCAAAGAUGGUGGAUUUUCACGAAUGUCUAUCAAGUUUGGUACAACACUCUUAGGACAUAUCUGCAAACAUGUCUCAAUAAAUUAAUCUUUACAUCAGACCGAAAACCAAUAAAUGGAUCUNNNNNNNNNNNNNNNNNNNNNNNNNNNNNNNNNNNNNNNNNNNNNNNNNNNNNNNNNNNNNNNNNNNNNNNNNNNNNNNNNNNNNNNNNNNNNNNNNNNNNNNACUUCCAGAAUUCUGCUAAAUGUGCUCGGAAGUGACUUUGCAGUUUCCAAAAGUUCAAACCUCACAUUUGUUCCCUGAAAAGCAGACAUGGAUGCCCUUUAAUCCUAUCUAAAGGAAAGGUUGCUAUUCUUUAGCUUGGUAGAAGCACACACCCAAUAUCUUAAUAGACUAGAUUCAAAAGUUUAACCUGCAAACCAAGCUCUUGACAAGCCUCCACAUAUUUAGCUGCUGACAGAGCUGCAUUUCUUUUGAUAUCAACUUCUCUACGCUCUAGCUCUGCUAGUUGCUGCUGAAUCUUCUGAACUUGUUUCCUCUGAUAGGGGCUUCACAUCAUAUUAAUUAUCAAUGAUAUGAUUAUGCCUAUCACAGAAAAACAUAUUGCAAUGUACUCUACACAUCUUAUCCUCCCGGCAAAACAUAUCAUAAUUGACAUUUUGGAUCAUUAUCUGAGCAGCUUCGCCUAAAAAUAUAUGAUCUUUCUCGAAAGAACAAACAAUUGUCUCCCAAGCACCCUGCCACAAUUCUAAAUCCAAUGCGAGAAUUAUCCUUUAGAUCACAGAAGAGUGUGUGUGAGCGUGAGAGAGAGAGAGAGAGAGAGAGAGAGAGAGAGAGGUCUUACAGCGGCACCUGAUAGCCAGCCAGAUCGGCGUGGGCGCCCGCCACUCGAGCCUGGUGGCGCUCCCACCAGCCGUCGCAGACGACGAACGAUGGCGAUGGUGAGCAAGCCGUCACCCAAAUCAGCCGACAACCACCCAUAGCUGCGAGUGAAGGGAACUCACCUUGAACGAGCAGUUUCAACGAUGAAGAAGCAGCAGUCGCCGUCGGUCGCAGUUCUUGAGGAGAGAAUGACUUUUGUGACGUAAGAAGAAAAAGAAAGGGUUUGAGCAGAGGAGAGGAGAGAACGCAUGGGAGAGAACGUCGAGCAAAGGAGAGAAGAGUUCCACUUUUUUUUUUUUUUUCGAAACAAGAAUUAUUUUUUUUUAUUCUUGAUUUUACUCAAAAUUGUUUCCAAAAGUAAAAAUUUUAUCAAGCGCGAUUCUGUUCCCAAACUAAUUUUAGGAACAAAAAAUCAGAAUCAGAUACUGUUUAGAUGGUUACCAAACAAUACCUUAGUAGCUAAUACUCGCAAGGUUGAUUCACUAGCUGUCUACAUGGACUUUGAUUCAAUUUCUUUGAAGCUCAAGAUAAGUCCAAGUUUUGAGCCAAGCUCGAAUCUACAAGUAUUAAGUCGAUAUAUCGAUUGCCAAUUUAUUUCCUUUGUUGCUUAAAUAUUGCCUAAGUAUUUGUUUGAAAUUGACGAAGUAAUACUUUUUUUUCCUUAAUUUACCUUUCUACUUUUAUAUUCCUUUUCAUCUGACGAUCUCCAAAAAAAUUGAAAAAAUAGCAUUUGCAACACUACUUUACUUUCUGGCCAGAAAAAGAAAAUGGAUAAUUAUGUACACCAAAGGAAAAUUAGGAUCCGUAAGGUAAUUUACUAACAAACUGAAAAUAGACAAAUCAUUAGACAGGAUUCGGUCCCAUCUUCCCUUCUCAUCUGGUCACUGUCGAGUGUCGAUCAUUCGACUUAAUUCUUGCCGUUCUUUAGGUGGCUUUGGGUUGUCCCCAAGCAUUUUGCUAGCGAGCCGAACUCGAGUCAAGAAAACAAUACUCGAUCAAGUUCCGAUUUUUGAGUGCCACGAUCCGACUCGAAUACACGCAUUUGUGCACAUUUUCUGUGGCAAGUUUCGCCAUUACGAGCGAGACAGAUAAUGACAUUCGGGGACGAGUCCCACAUAGGAAAGCAAAUGGUCGCAGCGAAACGAAAGGAUACCGAAGUCAGAAAAGCAUAUUAUACACAUUGCACGGGCUAGUUAGCUUCAAACUUGCGAACAAGGGGUGUCAAAAAAACCCGACCCGAACCGACCCGACCUAAACACGACCCGAACACAAAACAAGUUGAGUAUGUGUUUCGGGUCUUAGAAUUGUUCGGAUCACAUAUACAGAACAAGUAAAGAAAUAUGUUUCGGUUUGGGUCAGGGUCGAACAAUGUUUCGACCCGAAACAUGUUAAUUCCAAAUUCCAAACAAGCUGAGAAACACAAACACGUUCUGAUCUUUUACCGCUGAGAAACACAAACAAGUAAAGAAAUCCCUCGUAGUCUUCGGCUCCGCCUUCUUCUCCGACGACUGCGCCUUCUCGUGGAUUCUGCUGCCGCCCUCCGAUCGACGCGCCGCCGCCUCGCAGUCGCCGUCGCCGUCGCCACCCUCGUCUCAACGCCGGAACCCAAGCCGCUGCCAAAUCAAUCGAUCGUCGCCGUCCGUCGCCGAAAACCCUUCCCUAUCCCCUGUUAAGGGUCGAGCUGAAAUUUUGACGUUUAGGGUUCGAGUUCUAUGGGAGCUGUUGUUCCUGGAGAUUGGACAAGUCUUUGACCGUGGAGGUACGCCAUUCAUGCUUCGUCUCUGCGCAUAGCUUUUGCUUCUUGAAUUCGCCACCGUUUCUUGCUUUUUUUCCACCAAUGGCUCCGCCUCUUGGGUCGAGUCCACUCAGUCCAGGACAGCAGCACCGGGCUCUGUACCCAUCUGCGCGCGCCGGGUUCCCCUCUCGUUCCGUCCUCGGUUCGGGUUCUUGGGUGUGUCGUAGAUCGGUUCCUCUGCUUGAAACGCGAUUCUCUCGCGAUUGCGAUCGAGCGGACGAUAGUCAUGCAAAUGUUCAAUUAGAUUGUUUAGAGAUGUUAUUUGAGAUCAAGAUCGUCUAUUAGCUGUAUUUCAGUAUAAAUAAGUCCAAGUCUCUAACUCAUUAGCUUUCUUCAUUCAAUAAACAUGAUUGGGUUCUUCAUAAACCAUUAAUAUCUUUUUUUCUGUUCCAGCUUCAACUCAACUCUAUUUUAGCCCUGGUUUUUGGUCUUAUGCGAUCUGUCGCUUCUCAACUAAGUCACUAGUAUAGGAGGUUCUUGUUAGAGUUAUUCCUACAUCAUGUUAGGAGCUUAAUAUUUGUACUGGGGCUCAAUCCAUGUGUAUCGAGAGUGAGUACUAAGAGAUUCCACCGUGUGAAAUAGCUUGCAAAAAUCAGCAACAUUUACUGACUUUGAUCUUGCUGAUAAUAGGACAGGCAAGCUAAUUGAAACAUCCUGCUAGAUCAUGCAUCAAAAUAGCACAGAAAUGCACAGAAGAGAGCCGCCUAUAGGAAAUAAUGGAACUUUAAGAAUACUGCCACGCACACUAGUCAAGAAUACCACUUCCCCUCUGCUUAAUGUAUGAUUAAUGUGCUUCCGCAAUGAAAGAAGCAGAUAAAAGACAUUCUACAUACACAGUAGCAGUAGGAGAAUAUAGUCAAACGCUUUUUAGAUAUAAAAUGCAAGAGAAAUCAAUAGAACCAUUGGGGAGACAGGGUGAGUAGGUUAAGUUCUAUUAUGCAUUCAUCUGUAAAGUUUAAGAGAAAUUUACAGAUGUAAGUGUGGGUUUAUAGUGUCUACAGAUUUUAAGUUUUGGGUUGAGACAGGGUGAGUACUGAAUCUUUCCCCAAUCUGGUUGACCUUGCUGUGUUUGAACUGGUGCAUGAAGCUUGUAAUGGAGGGCAUGCUUUGCACCAUAAUGUGCGAUUCCCUUAUAUGCUAUAAUGAUGCAAUACAAUGUGUUUUUUACAUUGGAAUUUUGUUCUAUCACUAGAUCUUUUAUUGGCUUUGGUCACGACAUAAUAUUGUCUUUCUGAGCAGAGACCAGCGACACACUUAAACUCCAUCUCAAGGACAUUGGGUUAGAAUUUUCUUGGCAAAAAUUGCACUUGCAUCUGGAGUUUUAGCUUUCCUCUAGCUCUACACCUGUAUCCAAGGGUAUGUCUCUUUUAAUCAGGUUCAGUAAUGGCAUUUCCAAGUCUUGGUUGAAAGCAAUUCUUUGCUGUUCAUCCUUCCCUGGAUUUAUAGAAGAUUGGUGUACAGCCAUUUAUCAAACUUUCGAUGUCUUGUCUCUUCUAUUUGUCUCAGCAAAUAUCUCUUCCUUUAGGAAAGAGUGAGAAAGAUUAUAGUUACAUAAUUAUUUUCUUGUAAUUUUUGCAGGCUAAUGAUAAUUUGCACCCAGAAUUGGAGGAAGAUGUUCGAGAGGAAUGUGUGAAACUUGGCCUGUGGAUUCCGUAAAGGGAAAAUUUAGAGCUCUAUCGCCGUUUUGCCAAGAGUCAAGCACCUCCAGUAGAGGUAACCAGAACCAAUGCUGCCGUUCCUGAUGCAACAUCUGAAGUUUUGAGUGAUGAACAGCUCGCUUUGUUAGUCCACACGUUAUGGGUAUUGAGUGGGCUGAUGGAACUCCUAUGAGAUAUCAAUAUGAAGAUUUGUGUGAAAAAGAUUGAGGGCUUGUGGUUUUGUUGCUGCAGUGUAUGGUAGUAAUUCAAUUCGCAAUUAGGGGGUAGUUGAUGACUAUGGAAACAUGACUGUUGCAUUUACUGUGAGGCCAAACUCAAAGCUUGCAUGUUCUUCUCGAUUGUGGGUCGGGGGUCCUGGGAUACUGAUCUUGAUUGCUGAUUCAUGGAAUAAAUUCUCAGUUAAAUCAGAGUUUAGAACAUUUAAAAUUAGUCCAGUUGGAGCUGUGUGCUUAUCUGGUGUGGGUCUUUUUUUUCGUGGAUUGGACCGCGGGACAUAUUGCAUAGCAGUCGGCUAGUUCAGGUCUUUAAAAGGGAGAAAAUUUUGCAAGAUAGCAUUUUUGGUUGUCCAAGCAUAUAUAAGCAAGAAAUCCCAAUUACCAAGAGCUUCGUCCAUAUUCAAUGGUAUCGAUUCUGCCAUUAGACUAGCAUUCAGGAGCUCGCAUUUAGCUUGAUACGUGUUGAGCGAUUUUCUAAAUGGUAAUACCUAGUUGAAAAACAAGCAAAACAAAAUGAGCGAUAUUCUUAAUUAAGUAUUUGGACUUUACAAAGACGCAGAAAAACAAAAAAUAAAAAAAUGACUAAGUGUAACUCGUAUUGGGUUAAAAAUGCUUACAUUUUAAAUGGAACAAAUAGAAAAAAGAAAAUCCAAGACUGGAUGGGUUAGGUACCCACUAUAAAAAUAAUGACAUUUUAAAUGAAAAAAAAAAAAAAGAGAGGAAAACACAUAAACCCGACCCGACCCGAAUUUCCGAUGCAAGUCUAAUGUGUUUCGGGUCGGGUCGGGUCGGGUAACAUCAAAACCCGACCCGACCCAACCCGUUUGAUCCUGCCUAGCUUUGUAUAGGACCCAAAACCUAGAUAUGUAAGAAAUAUUGAUACUAUAUAUAUACAAAAUAUAUAUUAUGGAAUAGAAAGAAAUUCGAUAUAUAUUGUUAUUUUAAAAUUUUCAUUAUAUAUUAGAAUAAAAAUAUUAUUUAUAUUUAAUUUUCAUUAAUUUAAAAAGUUUGUUAUUUGAGAAAAAUAGUUUUUGUACCAUAAGUAUAAGAAAUUCUAUCUACCUUCCUCAUACUUUCUAUAGGAAAAUUUCAUCUUGACUAUGUUUUUAUAUAUCCAACUUUAUUCUAUCUUAAUACACUAAAUACGAUACAUUACACUAUCCUAUCUUGAUUUUUUAAUUAGGCUCAUUCAAUUAUCGGUCAAUCGUAAGAUUGAGCAUUCAGAACUAACUUUUCUACCGAGUGCAAUGGCCAUCUGAUUCUUGGGGUAGCUUCUACUAUAUAUAGCCCAGACUUGAGUCUCUCUUCGCUUGGAGCGAAAAAGGUGUAAGUCCUCUGGCUUGGCCACAGCGGAUGAUGGAUAUCUUGGCCACAGGGUCAUAUUCAUUAUUCAGGCAUCAGUGCACCUACUAAAGCAUGCUCAGCCACUUGCAAAAUUCUCAUCAUACGGUCAACAGCCAUAGCUACAUUACACCGGACGUAUAUACCAUGCAUGAUAAGCAACCAACUUCUUCUUUUCAGAUGAGACAACGGCAUUUUUCUUCUCUGGUCCGGCCAUGAUUCUCUCCAGAACAUUGGAUAUCUCACGUUUAGCCACGUCUCCAGUUCACAUGUGCUCUGGCGUUUAGCCCCGUCUCCAGACGAAGCAUCUAAGCUAACCAGAGGCUGCCACCUCCAACUUCCUGGGAUCGUAGAUGAUAUCCAAACAGGAGUCUCCAGGUGGGCAUCCCUACCCGAGUCAACCUGAUGAGGAACUUCCAAGUAUCAUUGACUAUCCACAAACAUAUGUACCUGUAUAUUAUGAAAACCAUAUACAAUAUGAAGCAUAAGAAGAAAGACGGUCUUGUAUGGCAUCCGCCAUAUAAGAGAAGAUAAAUACGACUUAAAAGCAGCAAACAUGCAAUAUGACUUUGCCAUCACCUGUCUUCCUUGAUCAAUAUCACUACAUAUCUUUGGAGCAAAAAAUAUGGUAUUGGAUGUCGAAACCUUAUUCUCAUUAGAUGAAGAAGACCCAUCCCAAAUAAGUUAUAGUCAACCUGCCAUUAAUUAACCUCAAGUGCAUCAAGAAACACACAUAUGAAAGAUAGCAAGUCUGGGCAUGAGGGCACUAAUGACCCAUCCUUGCAAACUCACCCACUAUAGAACCAGAGAAAGGCAAAUUUGGAUAAGAUAGAAAGACAAACUGAUGUCGAGCAGAUAGGGAAUAUGCGAUUCAUGCGGCUGCAAACUUCUGUCAAAUACUGCCCCUCCCUAGAAAAUGAUGUUGGACCAUGAAUAAAAAAGAAAUAGACAAACAAGAUGACUAUAGGCACGUGUAUUGCAUGACACAUUUUUUUUUUGUCAAAACAUAUAUAUUUAUUACAAGCUUUUUUUACAAGAAAACCUUCCUCAUAGAAGAUAACCUUUUUGGAACAAAUCCAAAUACCAUCCCAAUUUUCAUGCACAUACCAAUUUUCAUCCACUACUUUUAAAACCACCAAUUCAAGAGUGUUGUUAAUAUUGAGAUGGGGGAGGGGGAGGGAGAGAGAGAGAGAGAGAGACUGGCAAUAGAGGUUUAAGACAGCUAGAGCGCAGCCAAAGAUGGCAACUGGUGGCUGUGAAGCCUUUGAGUGGUGUGAUUGGUGGAGAUGAUUAGGUUCGGGUUUAGAAUUUGGAAAUGAUUUUGGGAUCUUUUCUAAAGUUUGUUGAAGGAAGGGCAAUUUGGUCUUUGGACUAUGCAGUUUGGGCCUAAGAUGCAAUUUGCGAAUUUCAAAAUUCAAGUAUGUAAAGUGAUUUUUGCGUGAAAUCUUAGCCUGGUAUUCAGAAGUUUGCCUUUUUUUUUUUACCAAAACUAAUAUCUCAAUUUACAAGGUUUUCUUUCGAGAAAACUUCCUUGCAUCUCAGAAAAUGUUCAACAGAACAAACUCCAAUGGCCGCAUUAAAUGACUAGUGGACUUCCACUAAUACAUUUAUAUUACUCUGUCAAAGAACAAAAUAUAUGCUAAUUUUCUCAGGCCUCUCAAUAAAUCAAAACUUAAUUGCCAAAUUUUCGCCCAUAUAUUUCUGGGAUGCCCCAAAUAAUAUAUGAAUAGCAAAUGCUUUCUUUUUAUCAUAAAACAAAAAUUUAGUUAUCAGGCAUGCACACUCCAGAUCGAAACAAUGAAUACACUUGAAGGCAUGCAAUUGAAGAAGCCAAAGAUGACAAGUACCAAAUCUAGAGCAAAAUGGUGAAAACUCUUUAGUAUUCCAAAGCAAGACCAAUUCCAAUGAGGCACUAUUGAUAGAGAAAGAAGAAUACCAAAAGAAGCUUGGCAGCACGUGAGACAUCAUGUGGAUGAUAGCUAAAGCUUCAGUCAAGGUGCCACAAAGAUGUUGCUAUGGAAUAUUCAGGCAGAAAAAUAUAGAUACACAAGCUGUCAUUUAUGGAUACAGGUAUAUCUUGACAAACAGCUCUUCAGAUGCAUGAUAACCAUAAAAUCUCCUUGCUCGUACAAGGCUGCAACCAUGCACGUGUUGCCGUUUUACGCCAGUAUUGCCUUUGAGCUGCAGUAAAUCACAAAACAAUCCUUUCAGAUACAUACUAGCAAGUGGAUCGCACAAUAAGUUAAAGCCAGGACUUAAUACUUUUGAAGAAUGACAAAUUAUACCUUCAACGCUUUCUCCAUGGCUAGAGAGACCCCCUGUGCAAUUCAACAGUGACCAAUUAAUUCCAUGCUAGUAGCAGAACAGUAAGAGACUAGUUUAAAAAGGGACAUGAAUUCGAAAUAUAUAAAAGCACGAAUAAUUCAAACAAAUUGAGAUAAAGUCUACAGCAACGUUAUAUUACGAGGACAUUGACAAAAACCGGUCAAGUAAAACCACAGCCAUUUUGCCAAAAGAACAAAUCACCCUGAAAACACACAAGCUACAUGCUAGAGGUAUUGUGAACUGAGAGAAACGUUGAUUAAUUUCUUCAAACCAGGAUAUGCACAAAGCAGCCCAUGCAUCUGUAACACGCACAAGUACCUUCAGAUGUUGGAUGGAUAGGUAUAUCUGUACAUGGUACAUACAAAUAGGGUAAAGCCUACAAGAAAAAAAAAAACAUGAUUUAGAACCAGUAUGAAAAAAAUGUACAAGAUAUUGCUGUCUCAUAAGCUAUGCCAUGGACAAGCAUCAUGUACUUUUCACAAUAGAUUGCUUGGAGCCACGUAAGCUCCUCAUUUGCUAUUUAGACAUUCAACUAGUGUCCAGCCAGUCAAAGAAAGUAGACUGUUGCCAAUAUGGUGCCUCUUGCGAGCAGAAAGGGAAAGAAACUUUCUGCAUCCUGAAAUUGCCUUUUAUCUUGAAGCAAUACCUCAACUCAAGUCUGUAAACCCAUGCUGGUUUAAAUUCUUCAUCGACAGAAAGGAAGUUACUUUCAUUGCUCCACAGCUCAAGGGGGGUAAAGCAAGUACUUGGAACAAUUAAAAAACUACAAAUAAACAAGGACUACACUCACCUUAUGCACAUGUAAGCAAGUUUUUGACCAGCAGGAGUUGAACCAUCUACUCUUAUUACAGGAACCUCAUUCACUUUUUCACCUUCAUCAAUCAAUCAUGAACAAGAUUAUGAACAUACAAAAGUAAAUAUUUGUAGCUAAAUUUCUAGCUACUGUAUAGUAAAUGUAACUGUUAUUUUUGCAGGUUAAAGGUCAAAUCCUCGCACAGAAUUUUAAAGAUUGACAUGGCACUACGCCACAUAAAAACUGUAAGUGCACCUUCUUCUCUUUGCAUCAGCAACAAAAAAGCAAAUUUCAAAUACGUCAUCAUCAAGACAACUACGCUCUCCAAACAAAAAGUAAUCUUCAGUCUAGGGAAGAAGACGGUGAGUUGAACAAUGCCCACCAAAUAUUAAGAAAAAUAUUCAAUACUCUCUGGAUUUUCUAAGCAACCAAACCAAUCAUGUAAUAAAUUAUGAAGACACCAAUGUGCUGAUUCCAUGACUCUGUGCUACAAUUUUAAUCAAUCUUUACGUAUAUCCAUGCCAAGCAAUUACUUAACAUCAAUCCAGCAGCCCCAACAAGAAGUCCGAAUAAGACAUCCACGGACAAACUGAUAAGUUCUUCAUAACAGAACACUAAGCCAAACAUAAUCCUUGCACUCAUAAGAAAGCAAACAGACUUUUGUCUGCAAUGCAGUAACUGAUUAAGUCCUACUAUAGCAAACAAAAUUAACAGCUUCCAGAUUCAAACCACAAGCUUCUCUGGCAUUUCCUACUCACCACUAGAUUCCAUAAUCAAAGAAGCGAACAUAAAAAUUAUGCUUCGAAAGAUGAGAGCAGAUUUUCAUUCUUUUUUUUACCGAAGACGCUUUACAUACAUUUUAUUACAAUAAAAACAUAGAAUAACUUCAAAAGCAUCGCUGUUCCUAGGAGAAGACAACAUCAAGACCCAUUCUAAGACUCCAAUUAAGCCACAGCUCCAGGAAGCAGCAAGACCCAACAACAUUACUGCGUGGCAACUACCUAUUACCAUCACGGGCACAGUAAAAAAACGAGUCUUUCCAUCUGUUUUCGUGCUUCCCCUAAUGCCCAUAUUCCACAGUCUCAUUCUUUUCUACUAAAGACACGUUAGAUACAAAUUAUUACUAUGAAAACAUAGAAUAACUUCAAAAGCACCGCUGUUCCUAGGAGAAGACAACGUCAAGACCCAUUCUAAGACACCAAUUCAGCCACAGCUCCAUGAAACGGCGAGACCCAACAAAGUUCCCACCCGCGGCUACCUGUUGGGUAUAACGGAUCCCCAAAAACCGGAUUCGACACUAAAUCGAACCCCUAAACCAAUGCGGAAGACGAGCCCGAGAAAAACAACACGUAUCACCGAUCCUAAAGCACACCACGGAUUCGAGCGUACCUUUUAAGCCACAGAUUAAACACCGACGCCGAUAGAGGAAGAGAAACUUGGCCCUGCUCGAUCCGAUGAAACAAAUUCGCCUUUGCGCUUCACCGUUUUCUUUUUGGGAGAGAACAAGAGAGAGAGAGCGUGAGAGGAAAAAGACGUACGUUCGUUUUGUUCCAACAAGUGUCUUCUCUCUCUCUCUCCUCCCUUUUAUACGUCCCUCCAUCCACGGGCCCUAUUCCCGUGGGCCGGGCUUUUUGGGUCCAACUUGGGCGAAUGGGCCUUAAGCCCAUCGCUAAUAAAACCAUCAUCUUCCACUCGCACAUGGUGGGCCGAACAUGAUUCUCUUUACCUCUCUUCAACAUUCAUACCGGUGAAUAAUCCAUGCGACCAGCAUAUUUUGAGAGCUCGUUGCUAUACAUCUGUUAGAAAUAUAUAGCAGCUCAUAAUGGGCGUCAUGCUUUGAGUAGAUUUAAUAUGCAGUACCCUAAAUCGAUUGAUCACAUUAAUAUCUCUCUUGAUCUCUUUUAUACAAUGAUAUAUAUAUAUAUAUAUAUAUAUAUAUAUAUAUUGUAUUCACAAUUAUAAUUAUCACAAAGACAGUCAUAAUUGGUCGACCAGUGAAUACAAAACUACAAUUUGAUUCUGCAAAAUCGAUCUUCCUCUUUCCUUCAAACUCUCAAUUUCAGUUCAGCUUGCUUUUCUAGAAAUGUCCCAUUAGAUCGAAUCAACUCAUGACCAUUGGCAACAACCUAAGAUAGCAAACACUAAAUAGAAAUCUUGAGAAUAAGUAAGAGUCAUGAGGGGACUUAAAUUGAGGAACUCUUUUCCUCAAGAGUCUCACACGUCAUAAAAGUUGAGAUCAAACUUUUUGCCACUCUUAUUGGUCGUCUCAUGCAUAUAUAGUAUGAAAUACGUAUUACAGUAUUAACUCCUUUCUCAUGGAGCGUAUGUCUACAUUUUUCAAUACCGUACAGAUGAUAGUUCAGACAUACCCAAUGUCUAACUUGAGUUCACGUACCUACUCAUUCACAAAAUUCAACAGAACUCACAUCUGGCAUCUUAGACAGAUAAACUAAAAUAUGUGGGGUAUUUUACUUUCGGACAUCACAAGCAUUAUGUCCUCAUCUUAACACUUAGUUAAGGCGACAUGCGUAUUUUAAGCUUGAGCUCUCGAUUAUCACAUAGAUAAUAAGCUUAAAUACAGUCUCAUCUCUAUUUAUCACACAGUAAAUAGAGGCGAUUACCCGUGCGAGUGGGCUAAUCUUUUAUCUGUCCGACAUACUUCCUCAACUUAUAAUAAUACACUGAGUAUUAAGAUGCAUAAAGAUCAUACAAGAUUCAUAGGCAUUAAUCAAUGAAGAAACAAAAUUUCAUAUAUGUGAACAACUCAGGGAAAUUACAAUUCAGUACAUUAGACUCUACGCAAUCCUAGAGAUUUUACAUGACCACAAAACACAUCUCUAGGUAUUGGCUUUGUCAUAGGAUCUGCUACCAUUCUAUGCGUAGAUAUGUACUGUAAGUUCACAUCCUUUCAUGCAACUAUAUAUUUUACAAAGUUAUACUUGGUAUCUAUAUGUUUGGUCUUGCCAUGAUACUUUGGAUCUUUGGUAAUAAUUGAUUUGUAGCUUUCUCAAUAACACCUAAAUGAUUCAAGAAUCUCUUAAGCCAAACUCAUUCUUAUACCGCUGCUGUAAUGUCAUGAACUCAGCUUCCAUCGUGGAUAAGGCUAUGCACGUUUGUUUCUUACUACUCCAUGAUAUGGCGCCAUUGUUCAGUAAGAAAGCAAAUCCUGAGGUAGAUUUUCUUUCAUCUAAAUCUCCUCCCCAAUCAGCAUCUGAAUAGCCUUCAAGUCGUAGAUCAUUUCCUUGGUAAUUCAACUUGUAAUCAGCAGUUCCCUUCAGAUACCUCAGUAUUCUCUUAACGGCUUUCCAAUGUGCUAGAUCUGGAUUGGAUUGAUAUCUACUCACCAUUCCAACUGCAAAACAUAUGUCGAGUCUUGUACACAUCAUAGCGUACAUCAAGCUCCCAACAUCACUAGCAUAAAGAAAGUGUUUCAUUUGUUCCUUCUCUUGUGGAGUCUCUGGACACAGUUUAUGGCUCAAUCCUUCACCUUUUGCAAUAGGAGUGUCUAUGUGUUUACAAUCUUGCAUACGAAAUCGUUUAAGAACCUUAUUUAUAUAUGUUUCUUGUGAAAGAGACAACGAUCUCUUCAAAUCUUUACUCCAAGAAUGUAUGCAGCUUCACCCAUGUCCUUCAUCUCAAAGUUGGAAGACAACCAACUCUUGACAGUAUUAACAAACUCCAUAUUGCUUCCGGCAAUCAGUAUAUCAUCAACAUAUAAUGAUAUGAUCACAAAUUGAUCAUUGGAUCUUUUGAUAUAUACACAAUGAUCCUCAUCAAUCAUUAUAAAAUCAUAUGCCAUUAUGGCAUUAUGAAAACGUAUAUACCAUUGUCUCGAUGACUGCUUAAGGCCGUAUAUCGAUCUCAAAAGUCGACAUACCUUUUCUUCUUGGCCUUUCACUAUGAAACCAGCAGGUUGUUCCAUAUAUAUUUCUUCCUUUAAUUCUCCAUUGAGGAAAGCAGUCUUUACAUCCAUAUGAUGUAACUCAAGAUCCAUGCUAGCUACUAUUGCCAGAAUAAUGCGAAUCGAGGUAAAUCUCACUACAGGAGAAAAUGUAUCUUCAUAAUCAAUUCCUUCCUGUUGAUUAUACCCCUUCGCCACAAGGUGAGCCUUAUGCCUUUCUAUCGAGCCAUUAGCCUUUCGCUUUAUUUUGAGAACCCACUUGUUCCCAAUAGCUAUGCGUCCUUUUGGAAGAUCAACCAGUUCCCAGACUUGGUUUGAUUUCAUUGACUCCAUUUCCUCUUCCAUUGCAUGAAUCCAUUUUUCCUUACUAGGGCAAUUCAGAGCCUCAUUAAUAUUUCUUGGCUCAUCCUCAUCUUGUGGAGCAACCAUAAAAGUUUCCCCUUCAAUGCCAAAAUGUCGAUGGGGAAUACUUUGGCGACUUGUUCGCCGUAUGGGAGAUUGUACACUUUGCACAUCAUUCCCUAUCAUGCUCCCACUUGGAUUAGGUAAUGAUGAUGUCAUCUCAUCAUGUGGUUGCAAUUGAGAAUGAGUUGAAUUCAAUUCAUCACUUCUCAUAUUACUCCCACUUGGACGAACUCCACUAACAUCAUUAUCCUAAUCCAAGGUCUCAAAUAGGGAACAAUCUUGUGGAGCAACCAUAAAAGUUUCCCCUUCAAUGCCAAAAUGUCGAUGGGGAAUACUUUGGCGACUUGUUCGCCGUAUGGGAGAUUGUACACUUUGCACAUCAUUCCCUAUCAUGCUCCCACUUAGAUUAGGUAAUGAUGAUGUCAUCUCAUCAUGUGGUUGCAAUUGAGAAUGAGUUGAAUUCAAUUCAUCACUUCUCAUAUUACUCCCACUUGGACGAACUCCACUAACAUCAUUAUCCUAAUCCAAGGUCUCAAAUAGGGAACAAUCUUCCCCUACUUCGCCCUUCUUAGGAAAUUCAUCAUCUAAGAAUGUGACAUCUCGUGAUUCAAAUUCAGUUAUACUUCCAUUUUCCUGCUCACUUAUGAACACAUACUCUUUUGAGUGUUCUGAGUACCUUAUGAAAAUACUCUUCUUUCCUCUGGGACCCAAUUUCCCAAACUUAUGAGAGGACUCAUGUGUAUAGGCAGCACAACCCCAUGGCUUAAGAAAACUUAAGUCCGGUUUUCUACCUAUCCAUAACCCAUAUAGAGUGGAAGUAACUAAUUUGGAAGGCACAUGGUUAAGUAUAUACGCAGUAGUUAACAACGCAUCACUCCAAAAGGUAAUAGGUAAGUUAGCAUGCGCCAUCAUGGACCUAAACAUUUCCAGUAGGGUUCUGUUUCUUCUCUCUGUAACACCAUUUUGUUGAGGAGUAUAUGGAAUAGACAACUGUCUUUCUAUUCCUUUUUCAUCACAUAAUUUUCUAAACUCAUCAGAUAAAUAUUCUCGACCUCGAUCAGAUCUCAAUACUUUUAUUUUCUUGUCUAAUUGAUUCUCUACCAGGUUCAUAAACCUUUUGAAACAACUUAUUGCUUCAGAUUUAUGAGAAAUCAAAUAGACUUAUCCGAAUCGAGUAUAAUCAUCUAUAAAAGUGAUGAAAUAAACAGCCCCAUGCCUUCCUCUCACAUUCAUUAGACCACAGACAUCAGAAUGGAUUAAAUGCAGAGGAAAUUAAGCUCUUUUACCUUUUCCAAAUGGUUUCCUUAUCGUUUUCCCUUCUAGGCAAUGCUUAUAUAUGGGCAAAUCAACUUUUUCAAUAUUGCCCAACAAGCCCUCUUUGGCUAGUCUAUUCAUACGCUGUUGGCUAAUGUGACCAAGUCUAGCAUGCCACACAUUCACAUCAUUAUCAUAUGUAUUAGGAGACGUGAGAAGGGAAUAACAAACAUUUGCAUUAACAUAAUCAAUAUCUAAUACAAUGAAACCAUCCAGAAAAUAACCACAACCAUAGUAAUUUGUAUCCAAAAACAAAUUGACACCUCUAUUAUAGAAGUUCAUAUUAAAACCUAAUUUAACCAACACUAAAACAGACAUUAAAUUCCGACAAAUCUCUAGAGCAUACAACACAUCAUGUAGGAACAAAGUGCGUCCACCACGCAUAUUCAGUUGGCAUGUGCCAAUUCCUUUCACUUCAGCUCUGGAGUUGUUUCCCACAUAGAUCCACUUAGUUCCAGUUGGUACUCGUCGAAAUUCCAUGAAGGAUCCUCUAUCCUUCGCUACAUGGUCUGUCGCUCCUAAAUCUACAGUCCACAAAGGAUUGGAUUCAGCUAAAAACACAGAACUCGACACAAAAGUAAAGUUCUGAAAAGUACAAGGGGUGCAUACCUUCUUUGGCUCACGACAGUCGCGAGCAUAGUGACCCUUCUUGUCAUAGUUGUAGCAUUUCACCCUUGCAAGCUUUUUCAUGCGAGGACGCUUUCCUCUUCCAUGUUGGUUAAACUUGGGUUUCUUCCCUGAAGGACCUUCUUCCUUACCUUUCCCUUUAUCAAGCCAGUUAGAACGUUUGCGCUUGGAGCUCAAAGCUCCAUUUGAGGUAGAACUAGCAUGAUAGAGUUCAGCAUCCGUCUUAGCCGCCAAGAGGCGGUCCUCUUCCAGCUCAAGAUGGCGCACUGCAUCCUCAAAAGUUUUGAUAUUUUCAUUAUGGGUCAGGUGCACCUUCAUAUGCUCCCAACUCUGAGGCAAGGAACGAAUCACUGCUUGCACGCCGUGACUGAUGGUGGGCCCACGUGUAAUACGUUUGGCAAAAUGAAUGGAUUAAUUUUUUGCUAAAUUGACAUCAGACUUGACCAUGAGGCUUCUUAUAGGAGUCAAACCUAAUAGUGAGCUGUUUUAGUCUGGUCACCGAAGUAUGACCAAAUCUAGCUGCCAAUGCCUCCCACAUUUCCUUGGCAUUGUCAAAACGCCUAAACUCUCGAAUGACGUCAUUUUCCAUGCUGCUCAGCAACGUGAUGCGAGCAAGAGAGUUCUUUCUUUUNNNNNNNNNNNNNNNNNNNNNNNNNNNNNNNNNNNNNNNNNNNNNNNNNNNNNNNNNNNNNNNNNNNNNNNNNNNNNNNNNNNNNNNNNNNNNNNNNNNNNNNNNNNNNNNNNNGAUUUUCAUGUGCCAUAUUUCAUAGUUGUCACCAUUGAGCUUUUCACCUUUGUUCAGCUCGGCAACUAUGCUCUUUGUGGCUGAAGCCAUUGAUCUGAACACAUCAGACAUAUAUGCACGAAUUAUUAAUGCCUAUCAUUUAUGCAUCUCUAUUUGCAUAGACCCAUCAUAUUAAUGAAUAAUUUCAAGUAAGACUUCAGAAUCAAAAGGUCACUAAGUUUCCAAUCAUCCUCCAAAAUCCUAAUUUAAAACUAUCAUUAAUAUAAUUGUCUUAUGCAAAAUAAAUUCUAUGAAGUUACAAAAACUUCUAUAACUACCCACAGCUAAUUACCCACAGCAACCAGCAAUAACAGAAAGCAACAGAUAAUUGACAUCAAAUAAAACAAUAAUGCUUUCAACUAAUACAACCAAGAUAUUGGUUGUUAUAUCAAUAACAAUCAGGUAGUAAACAUUACAUAAUAUGUCCACAAAGCACACUUAACAAAAAUCAGCCAAUACAACUAACACAAAGUCAGCACACGAACUGGGAAAGAUCCUCUUUUGUUCAAUUUCUUGAUCUUUUCCCUUGUAAUAAUCCAGUAAUAUUAAUUUACAAAAUCCAUUAUAAUUUUCUUAUAAGAAGCAGAUCCGUUGACAUCCCAUAUGCGAUUCAACACAUCUUGCCAUUUAGGUGGAAGAGUGUUCAUGAAGAAUCGCACAAUUUCUAACUGUGGCAUAGGAUGACCAUUCCAUAUGACAUUUUGAAUUUUCCCGUUGACUUCAAGGACGUGAUCAAUUAAGUCACCACUCUCCCAUCGAUGAUCAGUCAGCUCAGCUAUCAACUUAGACAGCCUUUCCUUUUGUUCAUCGGUAAUUGUACGAAUAGGUGUGCGCAACCUGAGGGGAGGCAUUUUUCCUGCAACAAAUGCAGAAAUGUUCCUGCAACAAAUGCAGAAUAAAUAAGGGAUCACAAAUAAUCCACAUAGACUUAAUUGAAAAAAGAAACACAUUCUUUUCCCUCUUUUUUUUUUUUCAACGGUCAACGGUCGGGUCGUCGGUCGUCGGACCGGUCGGACCGGACAGACCGGUCGGACCGGUUGUGCCGGUCGGGCCGGUUCAGGCGAAUCGAUCGCACGUGCUGCGCGCGUGCGCAGCUGAUGUCACGCAUACAUCAGCUGGCGCGCGUGUGCCGGGCGUUCGCGGUUCGGGUCGGGUCGCCUCGCCGGUCGGGUCGCCGGCCGGUGAUCGCCCGGCCAAUUGUCGUCGUUGCUGACGUCAUCGAUGAUGUCACCCCAGCAGCUACUGACCGUUGGGUGACGUCAUGCUGACGUUAGCACGCGUCGGUCUGCCAACCGGCGUGUGUCGGUUCGCCUCCGACGUUGCGCACGUGCUGGUUCACAGAUCGGCGCGUGGCGCCCACGCGUAAUGGCUUCUGGCCACGCGUGUGGGCGCGUGCGGCGUCAUCCGGCGGUGCACGACAUGUCGCCGGACUCGUCUAGACGAGCCCUUUCACCUUAUGCCAUCAUAAUUCGAUUUCGACUUACAGAAAGUCGAGAAAACGGACGAACAUCGUUCGGGUGUCGGGAUUUUGCGCCCCGAUCCGUGUCGGCCGAAUUACUUCGCGAAAAAAAAUCAGAAAACACGAAAAAGGGUCGGGAAGACAUGAACUAGGGCUCUGAUACCAAUGUUGGGUAUAAUGGAUCACCAAAAACCGGAUUCGACACUAAAUCGAACCCCUAAACCAAUGCGGAAGACGAGCCUGGGAAAAACAACACGUAUCACCGAUCCUAAAGUACACCACGGAUUCGAGCGUGCCUUUUAAGCCAUAGAUUAAACACCGACGCUGAUAGAGGAAGAGAAACUUGGCCCUAUUCGAUCCGAUAAAGCAAAUUCGCCUUUGCGCUUCAUUGUUUUCUUUUUGGGAGAGAACGAGAGAGAGAGCAUGAGAGGAAAAAGACGUACGUUCGUUUUGUUCCAACAUGUCUUCUCUCUCUCUCCUCCCUUUUAUACGUCCCUCCACCCACGGGCCCUAUUCCCGUGGGCCGGGCUUUUUGGGUCCAAUUUGGGCGGACGGGCCUUAAGCCCAUCGCUAAUAAAACCAUCACUACCUAUAACCAUCGUGGGCACAGAAAAAGAACGAGUCUUUUCCAUCUGUUUUCCCGCUUCCCCUCUGGGAGAAGACAAUAUCAAGACCCAUUCUAAGACACCAAUUCAGCCACAGCUCCAUGAAAUGGCAAGGCCCAACAACGUUCCCACGCCGCGACUAUACAUAACCGUUACGGGCACAGUUAAAAAACGAGUCCUUUCCAUUCUUCUCCAAGCUUUUUCUAAUUUUUUACCUCUCGCUUGCUCUCGUGCAGUGCAGUAACGGAACCCCGGAACAGGAAAAUGGAUCGAGAAAACUCUUUGGGCCGAUGAAUCAUUAUAAGUUACCUCGGAACAAUUAUUUUACUACUGUCAAAUAUAAUGAUAGAUUCCGACCAAAAGAAAAUUUUAAUGAUGGAUUCGGUCAAAAAAAUAUUUGAUGAUAGAAUAAAAAUUGGCUUUAAUCUAUCUUAUUAAUUGGUUUUAUAUACCAAGUAAAUGCUAACAACAAUGUUCAAUUAGAGAUAUUAGUUAUUAAUAACUCAGCAACCAAAUUACAAUUUUAUAACUUUCAAAUAGAUUAAAGAAAUAAGAGUAUUGGAAAUAUUAAAAUUUUCAAAAAGCACAAUUAAAUUAGAAAAUUUAUCAUAAAUGUAGAAUUGAGUUUUAAAAUUUUUAAAAAAUACAAUCAAGUCUUAAAAUGAAUUAAUGACUUUAAUAUGAAUUAAGAUUUGUGUAUCAAUCAAAUCAAAACUAGUUCAUAAAUUAAUUAAAGAAAAAUUGUGUAUCGCUUGAAUUAGGAUCUGUAAUUUCAUAAAAGAAUUAAUGACUUUAGCAUGUUGACAACUUGUACGACUAAAUAUUUUUAAAUUAUUAAAACGAACAAUUAUUUUGGAACAAUCAAACAAACCCCAGUAUUUUUUUAUGAAAAUUUCGGUACAAACAUGUCACAAGCCAGGUACGUCGCUGAUAUUUUUUUCAACAAAUUGUUACUAAACAAUAUUUUUGAACUUACUGAUAUGGAACGAUCAGUGGUCCUCACUUUACCAAAAAAAAAACAAUCAGUGGUCCUCAUGUUCUAUCUCUUGCUUCCAUGGAGGUUCUCGGAAAAGACAUUUUCUUAUCGGCUUUCGCUGUUCCGACAGCAACUCACCACCACUUUCGAGAAGAUAAUAAUUUAGUUGGACCUAAGCGUGGCAGGGGGGAAAAGCUAGUAUCUGUCAGCUUGCGUGCUGCUACGACAGGGCAUGAUUGGUUCUAUUGUAUUAUUUCGCAAGAGAAGUCAUCUGCGAGUUCUUUCUCUUUGCGCCUCUCUCUCUACCCUCCCUCUCUCUCUCCGACGAACAAGAUCGCGACCUCCCUCCCUCUCUGCCCUCCCUCUUUCCAAUCGGCAAACCACCGCACGGGACCGGCGAAUCACCGCGCCGCCCCUCCGGCUCCAGAUCCGGCCCCGACUCGUCCGUCCCUUGCUCUUUCUCUCCUCUGGCGUUUCUGUCUGCCCUCCCUCUCUUCAACGGUGAACCAGCGCGUGACCGGUGAACUAGUAUUUUCUCCUUGCGGAGAAGCAACGAAAAUAUCUUUGAAGUCUACAGCGAGGUAGUCUUACCAAUUUCGAGGAAGGAAGGUUUGUUUCGGUGGUCUUGGUCAAGAAGGUGAGGGUAAAAAAGCAGCACAAUUGCCGCGUGAAAAGACGAGCAAUCUUGUCGUGCCAUCCUCUCCACGGGAUUGCGCGUCUCCUUCGGGGCAAGAGGUUCGAAGUAAAAGCUUUAUUUAAAGUCCCGAGUGCUCGUGACCUAGUAGCAGAAACGCCAAUCACCGUAAGUCACUUGAGACGCUCGUCUUUCGCUUUGAGAUAUCUGGUUUUGAUAGCUCUAGAUUGAGGCGUGAAGGUGAUCUCAUAAUUGUGCUGCUUUUGAGGCUCGGACGCGACUUGAUGUGCUUUAAGGUGACUCCUUUUUAGACAUUAAAGUUCAUCCGAGUAAUUCCGGCUCUGCAUCACUCCUCCAGAUGAGCCGGAUAGUCUAUUACCUUUUGAUAGAAGAAAAUAAAAACAUUUGAUUAUUACUCAUUGCAUGCCAUCUAACAUCCUUAAAAGCAUGCACAAUAUAAUAUGUGACAUUCCAUCGACUUUUUCAAAAUCACGGUCGUCACAGUUAUUGCAGAUUUUUCUUACUACCUUCCCCUUAUUCAAACUGAUCAGUAUGAGCCCCUCUCUUGCAAAACGAUUCAAGGCUAUCAUCUACAGUCCUCACUCACUUUCUUUGUUCAUUUCCCUCGUAAAAGUUCUCGGCGAGGCUUGUUUAGGGUCUUCUCUCUCCGAACUCGCACCUCUCUUUGCAUCUCAGCGUGCAGAAGGUAAUCGCUUUUUCAUCUCUUAUUAGCGUGUCAUUUCUGUUGAUUUGUUGCGGCUGAACUAGCGUGUUUUGGGCUCUCUUUGUCUGAUGUGGGUGGCUGUUAACUUGGUGUGUCACCGGCUCAUAAUUGACUUCCGUAGAAAAGGGAAGCCUUUGCUUUCAGACCUUAGAUGUGACUAAUCAUGUGGCCUCUUGUCUCAUCGUUCGUUUGCAUCGUAACUUAGUGUCGAUCCUUUGUCGAGCUAGAAUGAGUUGGAAUGCGAGACGCGCUAGAUUCUAUUGCGCGCAAAAUUGACAGUAUUCGCCUCAAGCCAAGGACCGUCUUUUUACGGAUUGUGAGGUUUCUUUGUCCCUGAAGGUCUAAGGUCAAUUAAAUAAAAAAUGAAUUUACAAAAGAAAAAGUAGUAGGCCAGUUUACGGCAAGUUCCAAGAUCAGGGGAUUUCGAUUUUCAAUUCCGAAAAUUGAGAACAUGCUCUGAUAGGUAGGUUUCAGGGUUAUGGUCUGGAAUCAAUCAAUCACCCUUAAAAGCAAGUACUCUCUUAAUCAGAUUUUAUUCACAAUUUUUCCUUUGAUGAUUAUAGGACAUUCUAGAAGAAUAGUUUGUUGUCUUCCUUGAAUUAUUGGACAAGAUAAUCCUAAAAAGUAUAUUGCCUUUCACCUCUAACUCAUUUUCUUCCUUCAAAGUUUUGAAAAUCCUGAAAAAAAGGGUAAAAAAUGGUUGAAUGAGUAAUGAAGAGAAUAGUUCAGUGAUAAAAUGUCGAUCGAUUAUUCAAAUUUCAAAGUUUGAAGAGAAUAGCUCAGUGAUGUCAUAUUGGGUUAAAGUAGAUUCAUUUUGCAUGACAUUGCUAAUAUGUAAGGUCAACGGGGAACAAAUAAAAGAGAAAUAGCAAAGACCUUUUGUUCAUCUCUAUCUCAUUUCCAAAUUCAUUUAGAAUAUGACAAUUUGAAAUUAAAAUGUAAGAUCACAUUCCUAAUCACUAACAAGGCCCUUUCUUCAUAUCUUCCACACAUUUCCAAUUUCGUUUGAACUCAUUUAUCAGCUUUUAAAUGAUUUAUCAAACUAUGAUUUUUAAUAAUCAAACAAAAACAGGACCUUUGCUUAUUUAUUUUAAUGAAUGCAACUUGCUUGUACACAGAUUCUAGCUUUUUAUAGCCCAAGUAAGAAUUUAACAUCGUGAGCGGACCAAGCCAACAUCUUUCGACUUGACUAGAGGGUGAGAUACAAAAGAAGAUAAGGCAAGGACUAAAAGCAUCUGAAACUGCUUCUGUUCAAUCGAUUACAAAUUUAAUUAAAGAUUUUGAAAAAGUCUGUUCUUGCUUGGUAAAAAUAUUUUGGUGGGUCAAGACUUAUGGAUGAUUAUGUAUUUUUUUUUAAAUAAUCGUGUUUAAGCAUAAUUUUCGAGAGUUGGCUGGGGCAGGGUGUAGGGAAUAACGGAUCCCCGAAAACCGGAUUCGACACUAAAUCGAACUCCUAAAUCAAAUGCGGAAGACGAAGCCCGGGAAAACACGUAUCACCGAUCGUAAAGCACACCACGGAUUCGAGCGUACCUUGUUAGCCACAGAUUAAACACCAAUGCUGAAGAAGAGGAAGAAAUUCUGAUCCGAUGAUGUCAAUCGAAGGGACGACAGUGCCGUUUGCCUUACUGUCCUUUUUGGAGAGAGAGAGCGCGCGCGGGAGAGGGGAGAACGUACGUAACUUCUGUUUCCAACAGAUGCGUCCUCUCUAUCUCUCUCAUCCCUUUUAUACGUUCCCCCAUCCACGGGCCCUAUUCCCAUGGGCCGGGCCCUUUUGGGCCCAACUUGAGCGGAUGGGCCUUAAGCCCAUCUCAUAAAUCCAUCAUCUCCCACUCGCACAUGGUGGUCCAAAACCAACAUGGGCGGACAGGCCCUACCUAGCCCCAUCAGAGAAUAAUCCAUCAUAGACUCUUACUUAACAUGGUGGGCCGAACAGAAUCCUCUUUACCUCUCUUCAACAUUCAUACCGGUGAAUAAUCCGUGCGACCAGCAUACUUUGAGAGCUCAUUGCCAUACAUCUGUUAGGAAUAUAUAGCAGCUCAUAAUGGGCAUCACACUCCGAGUAGAUUUAGUAUGCAGUACCCUAGAUCGAUCGAUCACAUUUAUAUCUCUCUUGAUCUCUUUUAAACAAUGAUAUAUAUAUUGUAUUCACAAUUAUGAUUAUCAGAAAGACAGUCAUAAUUAGUUAACCGGUGAAUACAAAACUUCAAUGUGAUUCUCCAAAAUCGAUCUUCCUCUUUCCUUCAAACUCUCAAUUUCAGUCCAGCUUGCUUUUCUAGAAAUCCCCCAUUAGAUCGAAUCACUCAUGACCAUUGGCAACAUCCUAAGAUAGCAAACACUAAAUAGAAAUCUUGAGAAUAAGUAAGAGUCAUGAGGGGACUAAGAAAUUGAGAUCACACGACAUAAAAGUUGAGAUCAAACUUUUGCCAUUCUUAUUGGUCGUCUCAUGCAUACGUAGUAUGAAAUACGUAUUACGGUAUUAACUCCUUUCCCAUGGAGCGUAUGUCUACAUCUUCAAUAUCGUACAGAUGAUAGUUCAGACAUACCCAAUGUCUAACUUGAGUUCACGUAUCUACUCAUUCACAAAAUUCAUCAAAACUCACAUCUGGCAUCUUAGACAGAUAAAGUAAAACAUGUGGGGUAUUUUUACUUUCGGACAUAGUAAGUAUUAUGUCCUCAUCUUAACACUCAGUUAAGGCGACAUACGUGUUUUAAGCUUGAGCUCUCGAUUAUCACCUAGAUAAUAAGCUUAAAAACAGUCUCAUCUCUAUUUAUCACACAGUAAAUAGAGGCGAUUACCCGUGUGAGUGGGCUAAUCUUAUAUCUGUCCGACAUACUUCUCAACUUAAAGUAAUGCACUAAGCAUUAAGAUGCACAAAGAUCACACAUAGAUUCAUAGGCAUUAAUGAUGAAAACACAUGUUCAUCAAAUGUGAACACUUAGGGAAAUUACAAUAUUCAGUACAUCGGCCUCUACGCAAUCCUAGAGAUUUCACAUAGCCAGAAAACACAUCUCUAGGUAUUGACUUUGUCAUAGGAUCUGCUACCAAUCUUAUGCGUAGUAUGUACUAUUAGUUCACAUCAUUUUGUGUAACCAUAUUUUUAACAAAUUUAUACUUGGUAUCUACAUGUUUGGUCUUGCCUUGAUAUUUUGGAUCUUUGGUGUACGCUUUUGCUACUUGGCUAUCAUCGUUAACCAAUAACGAAUCUGCAGCACUUCCAAUAACACCUAAAUGAUCCAAAAAUCUCUUAAGCCAAACACCUUCUUAUACUGCUGCUGAUAAUGCCACGAACUCAGUUUCCAUCGUGGACAAGGCUAUACACAUUUGUUUCUUACUGCUCCAACAUAUGGUGUCAUUAUUCGGUAAGAAAACAAACCCAGAGAUAGAUUUUCUUUCAUCUAAAUCUCCUCCCCAAUCAGUAUUAGAAUAGCCUUUGAGCUGCAGAUCCUUUCCUUAAUAACUCAACAUAUAAUCAGCAGUCCCCUUUAGAUACCUUAGUAUUCUCUUAACGGCUUUCCAUUGUGCUGGACCUGGAUUGGAUUGGUAUCUACUCACCAUUCCAACUACAAAACAUAUGCCAGGUCUUGUACACAUCAUAGCGUACAUCAAGCUCCCAACAGCACUAGCAUAAGGAACAUGUUUCAUUUGUUCCUUCUCUUGUGGAGUCCUUGGACACAGUCUAUGGCUCAAUCCUUCACCCUUUGCAAUAGGAGUGUCUAUGGGUUUACAAUCUCAAAAUCUUAACUCCAAGAAUGUAUUCAACAUCACCCAUGUCUUUCAUCUCAUAGUUGGAAGACAAUCAACUCUUGACAGAAUUAACAAACUCCAUAUUGCUUCCGACAAUUAGUAUAUCAUCAACAUAUAAUGAUAUGAUCACAAAUUGAUCCUUGGAUCUUUUGAUAUAUACACAAUGAUCCUCAUCUAUCAUUGUAAAAUCAUAUGCCAUUAUGACAUUAUGAAAAAACGUAUAUAUAUCAUUGUCUUGACGACUGCUGAAGGCUAUAUAUCGACUUCAAAAGUCAACAUACAUUUUCUUCUUGGCCUUUCACUAUGAAACCAGCGGGUUGUUAUAUAUAUAUAUAUAUAUAUAUAUAUAUAUAUAUAUAUAUAUAUAUAUAUAUCUUCCUCCCAAUUCUCCAUUGAGGAAAACAGUCUUUUCAUCCAUCUGAUGUAACUCAAGAUCCAGACUAACCACUUUUGCCAGAAUAAUGUGAAUUGAGGUAAAUCUCACUACAGGAGAAAAUGUAUCCUCAUAAUCAAUUCCUUCCUGUUGAUCAUACCCCUUCGCCACAAGGUGAGCCUUAUGCCUUUCUAUCGAGCCAUCAGCCUUUCGCUUUAUUUUGAGAACCCAUUUGUUCCUAAUGGCUUUGUGUCCUUUUUGAAAAUCAACCAGUUCCCAGACUUGGUUUGAUUUCAUUGACUCCAUUUCCUCUUUCAUUACAUGAAUCCAUUUUUUCUUACUAGGGCAACUCAGAGCCUCAUUAAUAUUUCUUGGCUCAUCCUCAUCUUGUGGAGCAAUCAUAAAAGUUUCCCCUUCAAUGUCAAAACGUCGACCGGGAAUACUCUGGCGACUUGUUCGCCGUAUAGGAGAUUGUACACUUAGCACAUCAUUCCUAAUUAUGCUCCCACUCGGAUUAGAUAAUGACGAUGUCGUCUCAUCAUGUAGUUGCAAUUGAGAAUGAGUCGAAUUCAAUUCAUCACUUCUCAUAUUACUCCCACUUGGAUGAACUCCACUGACAUCAUUAUCUUGAUCCAAGGUUUCAAAUAAGAAGUAAUCUUCCUUUAUUUUGCCCUUCUUAGGAAAUUCAUCCACUAAGAAUGUGACAUCCCGUGAUUCAAAUUCAGUUAUACUCUCAUUUUCCUGCUCACCUAUGAACACAUACCCUUUCAAGUGUUCAAGAGUAUCUCAUGAAAAUACUAUUCUUUCCUUUUGGGACCCUAUUUUCCAAACUUGUGAGAGGAUUCAUGAGUACAGGCAGCACAACCCCAUGGCUUAAGAAAACUUAAGUCCGAUUUUCUACCUGUCCAUAACUCAUAUGGAGUGGAAAUAACUGAUUUGGAAGGCACCCGGUUAAGUACAUAGGCAGCAGUUAACAACGCAUCACACCAAAAAGUAAUAGGUAAGUUAGCAUGCGCCAUCAUGGACCUAACCAUUCCAGUAGGGUUCUGUUUCUUCUCUCCGCAACACCAUUUUGUUGAGGAGUAUAUGGAAUAGACAACUAUCUUUCUAUUCCUUUUUCAUCACUUAAUUUUCUGAACUCAUCAGAUAAAUAUUCUCGACCUCGAUCGGAUCUCAAUACUUUUAUUUUCUUGUCUAAUUGAUUUUCUGCAAGGUUCAUAAACCUUCUGAAACAACUUAUGCUUCAGAUUUAUGAGAAAUCAAAUAGACACAUCCGAAUGGAGUAUAAUCAUCUAUAAAAGUAAUGAAAUAAACAGCCCCAUGCCUUCCUCUCACAUUCAUUGAACCACAGACGUCAGAAUGAAUUAAAUGCAGAGGAAAUUCAGCUCUUUUACCUUUUCCAAAUGGUUUCCUUGUCGUUUUCCCUUCUAGGCAAUGCUUACAUAUGGGCAAAUCGACUUCUUCAAUGUUACCCAACAAGCCCUUUUUGGCUAGUCUUUUCAUAUGUUGCUGGCCCAUAUGACCAAGUCUAGCAUGCCACCAUAUUCAUAUCAUUAUCACAUGAAGCAGAAGACGUGAAACAAGAGAAUAACAAAUAUUGACAUCACCACAGUCAACAUUACAAUAAAACCAUCCAGAAAGUGACCACAACCAUAGUAGUUUGUAUCCAAAUACAAAUCUACACAUUUAUUACGGAAGUUCACACAAAAACCAAGCUUAACCAACAUCAAAACAGACACUUAAAUUUCGACGAAUCUCCGGAGCAUAUAGAUCAUCAUGUAGGAACAAGUUGCGUCCACCACGCAUGUUCAAUUGGCAGGUGCCAAUCUCUUUUAACUUCAUAUCUGGAGUUAUUUCCUACAUAGAUCCACUUAGUUCCAAUUGGUAUCGUCGGAAUUCCACGAAUGAUCCUCUAUCCUUCGCUACGUGGUCUGUCACUCCUGAAUCUACAGUCCACAAAGGAUUGGAUUCAGCCAAUAAUUCAGAACUUGAUACAUAAGCAAAGUUCUCAAAUGUACAAGAGGUGUAUACUUUUUUUAGCUCACGACAGUCGCGAGCAUAGUGACCUCUCUUGUCACAUUUGUAAUACCUCACCCUUGACAUUUUCUUUACUUGAGGACGUUUUCCUCUCUUGUGUUGGUUAACUCUUGAUUUCUUGCAAUAAGAACUUGAUCCUUUGUAUGCCCACAUAUUGAACGAAUCAAUACGCUUGCACUUAGAGCACAAAGCCCUUUCUGAGCUAGGACCAGCAUAGAAAAUAUCUAUUUUCGGCUCAAAUGCCGUUAGGCGGUCCUCAACUAGCUCAAGGUGGCGCACAACAUUUAUAAGAUCUUCCAUAAUAUGGUCAAGAGCUUCUAGUGCUUCUUGCUUUUCCAGCACAUAUUGAAUCCUCAUAUUUAAUAUUUCACAAUUGUUGCCGUUCAUAUCAGCAAUUACGUUCUUAAUUGCUGAAACCAUCGAUCUGAACACAUCAGACAUACAUGCACGAAUAAUUAAUGCCUAUCAUUUAUGCAUCCCUAUUUGCACAGACUCAUCAUAUUAAUAAAUAAUUUCAAGUAAGGUUUCAGAAUUAAAAGGUCACUACGUUUCCAAUCAUCCUCCAAAAUCCUAACUCAAAAUUAUUAUUAAUAUAAUUGUCUUAUGCAAAUACAUUCUAUGAAGUUACAAAAACUUCUAUAGCUACCCACAGCUAACUACCCACAGCAAUCAGCAGUAACAGAAAGCAAAUAAUAAUUUAUAUUCAACAGAAUAAUCAUACUUUCAACAUAAUACAACUAACAUAUUACACUAAGCAAUAUAUACAGAGGAAACAUAUCAUCAUGAAAAGAGAUAUUUACAUACAUAAAACAUCUCAUAAUUAAUCUAGGAAAUAAUUAGGGAAUGUCCCUUCUAAUCUAUCAGUCAUAACAUCUGAGAAAACUGAAGGCACAUUUGCCAACCAUGGAAAAAACUUUUGGAGAGCUUUCAUGUCGCCACCAAGGCGCAUUUACUCUGUGCCCUGUGACGCUUAAACUAAGGGUUGAGGUUUUGGUCAACUCAAUCCUAUAGUAUUCUCUUACAAAAGCUUCCACUAGCCUCCUAUAACCCGAGACCACGUUGACCUCCCAUAACCGAUCUAACACUGCUUGCCAUUCAGAUGGAAUAGUGUUCAUCAAAGCCAGCACAUUUUCAAAAUCCGGCAUAAGAUAACCAUUCCAGAUGAUUUCCUGUAUCAUCUAAUUAACCCUGACCACAUGUGAUACUAAAUCACCGUCAUGCCACCGAUAAUUAGCUAAAUCUGACAUCAGCCUUUUAAGCCUUGCAUUUCCCUCAUCCGUUCUCGGGAUUGCAGGUAUCCGUGCAUGACGCAUCAUAGUUCAUGCAACAAAUGCAGAACUAAAAAUGGAUCACUUAUAAUCCAUAAUUUUACAUAAGGAAAAUACAUAAUUUUUCAUAAUUCAUGCAACACAUGCAUAAUAAAAAAAAAUGGGUUACAUAUAAACCACAUAGGCAUAUAUGAAAAAGAAACAAAUUCCUUUUUUUCUUUUUUUUUCUUUUUUUUUUCCGAGUCAACGGUCAACGGUCGUCAACGGUCAACGGGUCGCCGGUCGUCGGACCGGUCGCGCCGGUUGGGCCGCCGGGUCGGUUCGCGCAGACCGCCCGCACGUGCCGCGCGCGUGCGCUGGCUGACGUCACGCAGACGUCAUCCGGCACGUGCCGCACGCGUGACGGGGUCCGCGAGUCGCCGGUCGGGUCGGGUCGAGUCGCCGGCCGGUCACCGGCCGGCCACUGUCGUCGUGCUGACGUCAUCAAUGACGUCACCCCAGCGGUUAUUUACCAUUGGAUGACGUCAUGCUGACGUCAGCACGCGUCGGUCCGUGGACCGGCGUGUGCCGGUUCGCCGGCCGCCGGCGCGCAUGUGCCAGUUCGUCGCCGGCGCGUGUGGCGCACGCGCUAGCCGAUGCCAGCACUUGGGGCGCAUCACGCCCACGCGCAGCGGCUUCUGGCCGCGCGUGUGGGCGCGUGCAGCGUCUCCCAGUGGCGCGCGACAUGUCACCGGAAUCGUCUCGACGUCCUCUUUCACCCAAUGCCUUCAUAUUUCGAUUUCGACUUACGAAAACUCGGAAAAAUGGCCGAACAGCGCUCGGGUGUCGGGAUUUGUCGCCCGAUCCUUACGGCCGAAUUGCUUUUGCGAAAAAAUCAAUCAAAACAACAGCAAUCAGGUCGGGAAAACGUGAACUAGGGCUCUGAUACCAAUGUAGGGAAUAACGGAUCCCCGAAAACCGGAUUCGACACUAAAUCGAACCCCUAAAUCAAAUGCGGAAGAUGAAACCCGGGAAAACACGUAUCACCGAUCGUAAAGCACACCACGGAUUCGAGCGUACCUUGUUAGCCACAAAUUAAACACCAAUGCUGAAGAAGAGGAAGAAAUUCUGAUUCGAUGAUGUCAAUCGAAGGGAAGACAGUGCCGUUUGCCUUACUGUCCUUUUUGGAGAGAGAGAGUGUGCGCGAGAGAGGGGAGAACGUACGUAACUUCUGUUUCCAACAGAUGCGUCCUCUCUCUCUCUCUCAUCCCUUUUAUACGUUCCCCCAUCCACGGGCCCUAUUCCCAUGGGCCGGGCCCUUUUGGGCCCAACUUGAGCGGAUGGGCCUUAAGCCCAUCUCAUAAAUCCAUCACAGGGCACCCUUAGCCCCUCAUUAAAUCCACCCAUAUUGUGAGACUAAACAAGGAGAAAACUCAGGAGGGCAUUGGGAAUAUAUACUGCUGGGAGAGUUGAUUACUUAAUCAGUGGAGGUUAGGGAAAUGAAGAAAAUAAGAAAAAUAGAAACCAACCAUUAGUAAUGAGGGCGAGGAUAUGGACAUGGAUGACCCAUUUAGCGAGAAUGGUUCGGGAAGGCCUACCAUUGCUGGGGGAGAGCUCACUCUCAAUUUAUUUUUAUUUUUUUAGUUGGGUCAAAAGCUAACUCUCAUCCAUCCGUGGGUAGUUGCAUCGGUUGAGAGUCCUUCCCUCAUAGCUGAGGUCGAGAAUUAGAAACCCGCAGUUGCUAGCGAUUUAAGUGGGGGCUUUGGUGGUGGAUUGCUGGGCUAGUCUCGCUCGAGGUAUAGGGGCCCGGCUCUCGAGAGCCGUUCAGGCACGAGGGGUCCAUGGUGGAGUCAUCGGUUACCAAAAACAAAAACUAAUUCUCAUUGAGAUAGCGCGAGCAAAAAUGCUUAGAGAAAAAGAGUUUGCCCAUUUUGGCUGUUCACUUUUCUAAUUUUUAAAUGACAAUUUUUUAUUUAACGACUCACAAAUUUGAUUGCUAUUUCCUUUUGAUUGUUUCCUUUUCAAUUGAUUACGAAGAUUUGAUAUUAGAUUUUAUGAAUAUGAAUAAUCAACACUUUGAUGAACGCAGAGAUCAACGUAUAUGCAUGUACUUUCAAAUAGAUGAUUACAUAAAACCACUGGUCAAAGGCAUGAUUGGAGCAAAUAUGGAGAUUUCCUGGAGGCGAUUGCAUAUGACCUUAAUAAAUCUGAACCUUUGUUAUUAUUGAGUCUCAUGUGAAAACCACAUAAUAUAAGAGUUGAGAUUCAUUAGGGGAUAUGCAUUUGAGAAUGCCUAAUGAAAUAUAGGCAUCAACACGUUAGCUUUAGUUAAUUUUACAUGUUUAAUUUGUAACCAACCAAUAAGAGACACAAUUAAUGAAAAUCUCCUCGAUUAGGAAAGUCCAUGCAUCAAGAGGAUGAGGUCCAUGUAAGAGAGAAGAUGUGCAUUACACUGCUCCAACACAACAACUUGUAAUAUUGGAUUAAUCAAUAUACACCCCCUAAGAAAACUCAUUCAGUAAAUAUUGUGUACAUUCGGAAAUCAGAUGCUUUUCUAUCUAGCCUUUUCACUUGAUUAUCUACAUCUUUUAGUGGAGCAGGAAAGCAUCUUCUCUUCAUUAAAAAUUUUAGUGUUAGUAAUCGUUCAUAAUGCAUGUGCUCUUCACCAAAGAUUAGGAGCCUUGACUAUGGAGCACGCAUGUAGAGAUGAAAAUUAGCCAUUUUCUUCUUGUCCAUGAGUGGACACAACCCAAUGAUGUUGCCUUGACGAGGGGGCGCGGUCCAUUGGAAAGAAAAGAUGCCCGCCUAAGUCAAUAACUUUUACUAUUUAAUUAGUCAACAGACUGACUUGAUCAUUAAACAUUUCGGAUUCGAAAUCGUUCAGAAAUCAUAUGCUCUCCUCCCAAAAAGCACGUGCUCUGCCUUUUCGUUUGCUUAUCUAAUUCUUCUUGUGCAGCAGGUUGGCAUCCUCUCUUCAUUUUUCUAUAUAAGAUUUCUAUGGGGAAAGGGCAAAGUCUGAGCAAAAUAAAAAGAAAUAGAGCGCAAAAAAAAGGAGCACUGAGGGAGGAAAUCGAGAAUGAUUGCUGAGAAAGAGAUCACUAAUGGAGCAUAUGCUUCUUCGUCCUUACCUUCGAUACUCACAGGAGGAGGUAGCGAUCAAUACGAUGUGUUCUUGAACUUUAGAGGCUCUGACACUCGUAACGGAUUCACUGAUCACCUCUACCGCAGUCUAAUCAGUGUAGGGACGGUACCAAUUUCUGUGUUCAGGGACGAUAAUAGCCUUGCAAUUGGCAAGGAUUUUAAUUCAGAGAUUCUCAAUGCCAUCACGCGAUCUAAGAUUUUGAUCCCCAUCAUCUCUGAAAAUUAUGCUUCGAGCAAAUGGUGCCUCCGUGAGCUAUGCAUCAUGGACUGCCAGAAGAGCAUGUCGCACAUAGUGUUGCCCAUUUUUUACAAAGUGCUCCCAUCGGAUGUGCGGCAUCAAAAUGGAAAUUUUGGGGAGGCCUUCCGUUCGUGUAAGAAGCGUUUUGAUAAGGAGGACAUUCAAGAAGGUCAACGAGCCCUUACAGAAGUGAGUAACUUGAAUGAAUGGGAAUCUGAGAAAUUUGCUAAAGGUACUUAUCUUCUGCCUGCACUCUUUUUAUUUUUUCUUUUAUAAUUCCCCUAAGUAUUGUUAUUUAGUGAAACUAAUGUCAUAUGGAUGAAUUGCUUCCACUACAAGCUUACAAAACAUCCCAAAAUGUCCUAGUGAAUAACCAUAAUGGCCCAAGGAUUACAAAUACUUGUACUCGCUAAGAUUUCCCCUGAAAACUACACUAACAACGUUUAAAACCUUAGGAUCCCUUAUUCAGUCUUCCAAAGCUUGGUAACUGCUGGAUAAAUCGACCUCCUCUUGCUUCACACAGAUCAUGUCUAGGUUCAAGACUUGCUGUUGCCAAUAACUUUCAUUGAUAGGCGAUCUGUAAGUUAAUUAUAAGUCCUCCAUUUAGGCCCGUGGGAUACGCUGGCCUUAGAGGGAGAACAUCUUCUUCUCCUAAACUUUUUGUAACCAAAAUUAUUGACCUCCUAUUUUCAACUAGGAGCGACCAUAAUUCUCAUAACAAACAUUUUACUUCUAAAGAAUCUUAAUUUGCUACGUGCACCACUUUAUCUUAUUUCAAUAAGAUCUAUCUAUAAGAAGAAAAAGAAGGGGAAAAAUGAGAUGACCGCUACACCAUCAUCCUAUAUUGUCAUUCGUAAAACCAAAACAUUUUGCAUGUUAAUUGGUUGCAUCCAUCAUUUACAUAUAUGUCAGUGUCUUUUGAUGAGAUUACGCAAGAGUAUGAAGUUAUGAUGAGUUUUUUUGUUUAACAGGCAGGAAGGAAAAUUAGUGGAAGAAGUUACCAAAAUGAUUCUAAGCAAGGUGAGAUGUCAAUCUCAGCUUGAUGUUCCAAAGCACCUAGUUGGGGUUGACGAUCAUGUCAACAAAAUUAGGAAUUGGGUAGACAUUCCUGCCAAUCAUGCUCGAAUGAUAGGAAUAUAUGGCAUGGGUGGGAUCGGUAAAACGACUCUUGCUAAGGUCAUCUAUAACGAGCUAUCAAAUAUCUUUGUGGAUUGUAGUUUCCUUCCAAAUAUACGAGAAACAGCUAACAACAAUGGUAUUCCUUAUCUACAAAAUUUGCUAAUUAAGGAAAUACUACAAAUUGAAAAUGCUGUUUGUAAAGUUGAUGAUGGAAUUAAUUUGAUCAAAUCUAGAUUUAAAGGAAAAAUGGUUCUCAUUCUUUUGGAUGAUAUUGAUCACCAAAAUCAGCUAGAUGCUUUAGCUAGAGAACGUGAUUGGUUUACUGCAGAAAGUAUCAUCAUUGUUACAACUAGAUACAAAUCUGUACUUGAUCAGUCUGAGUUCAAGGUGGGCUACAAGUAUGAAUUGAAUGAAUUAGAUGAGGUGCAUUCUUUGCUUUUAUUUAGAAGACAUGCAUUUCGCAUGGGCCAUUGUUCGGAGGAUUUUGAGGGUGUCUCUCAUGAAAUCUUAUCUACCUUGGGUGGGCUUCCCCUAGCUAUCAAGGUCAUAGGUUCAUACUUAUAUGGAAAAAUAGAUAAAAAGAUAUGGCAAGAUAUAUUGGAGAAACUAAGAAUCGAACCAGAUAGAGAUGUCCAAAAGACAUUGAAGAUAAGUUAUGAUGCUUUGGAACCUACACAAAAGGAGAUUUUUCUGGAUAUUGCUUGCUUUUUUAUCGGCGAAAACAGCAAAUAUGCUGUUUACAUGUGGGAGGACUGUAAACUUUUUCCAUAUCUUGGAAUUGAAGAGUUGAGGCUGAGGUGUUUAGUAAAAAUUGGAGAUUGUGCUGAGUUUAGGAUGCAUGACCAAUUGAGAGAUCUCGGAAGGAGCAUCUUUCGCCAAGGACAACCGCCUGAGAGAUGUCUGAAGCCAUGGCUUAAUAUGCAAAUGGAGGUAACAUAUGGCGCUCUCUCUCUCUCUCUCUCUCUCUCUCUCUCUCUCUCUCUCUCUCUCUCUCUCUCUCUCUCUCUCUCUCUCUCUCUCUCUCUUCUCUCUCUCUCUCUCUCUCUCUCUCUCUCUCUCUCUCUCAUAACUCCAUAAAUUUAAUGUGAUACAUUUUAGCCUUUUAUCUAGUACAACCAGAUGGAAAAAAUAUAUUCACACACCCAUUUAUGUCCCCCUUAGAUAAAUUGUGAUAAUAAUUGGAUUAUAAGUGUCCCAAGGAUGAAAAAGUUACAUUAUUUGAUCCAAGUUCAUUGAUAUAAAUUACAUCCGUCAAAAACUUAAUUUUGCAAUCAAUUUAAGAUUCUUUAACUAGGAUUCUACACUAAAAAUCUUGUUCACUAAAAGCAUGUAAUUUUAUAUCUACUUGAAACUAUUGAUAAUUUGAAAGAUUACAAUAAUUUAAUUAAGAUGAAGCAUAUACAUCAUAAAUCAGAUAAAUGAAGAUGUUGUGAAUUUUCAUUCAAAACGGUAAUGUACAACAUAAGCUGAUUAUAAUAACUAAUAAUUAACCAAAUUAGUUGCCCUAAAGAAAAAUUUCACUCAUCAUAGGUGCUUGCUUUCUAGUACGGUCGAAUGUAUUGGGGUGCUCUUAUGAAUUAGGAAAUCAAUGUUUGAUAAACUUAUUUAUUUAUUUUUUUUCCAUUUUGAUUUUGAAGAUACCCCUUCCCCCCACGAGGUAUAUCUAUCUCUUCUCAUUCUUCUUGUGUCUCAAUAGCUAUGAUGGCAAAAUUCACCUUAAGAAUCUUAUAGGGAAGAUCCUUGCAAUGUUUUUAAGGUCAGAUCACGUUGACCUUGUUCAUCUCAUGGAUUUAGGUGUGUGAUAAAGAGUGGAUUUUCUUAUUUUCCUUUCUUUGACUCUUUCAUUUCUCGUUGUCUGUUCCUUCGCUUUUCUUAAUAAACAUUUCUUUCCUCUCCAACUUGUUUUAUAUUAUUUAUAUUUUUUGGUACAAUGCCCUUUUGUGCCAAAAACCCUCGACAAACUCGACAAUUUAGAGGAAAUGUCAUGCUAGUUAUUAUAUCGAUACCUUUUUCUUUACUAAAUAACAUUUUCAGUAUUUUGUCAAUUUUAAAAGUAAGUUUAAUUUUUACUUAGAUUGUCAAUGUUCAUGUCGUUUCAUUAUUUUAUAUUUUCCAUUUAGAGAAGCGUGGUAGGUUCAUAACUGAUCAAUUGGGGGGGGGGGGAAUUAACCUUUGCAAUUAACCAAGAGAUGUUGGGAAAGGAAAAAGCUUUAUUUUCUCGAUUUAAUUUGAAUUAGUUCGUUCAUGUCAUUAUAAACAGCACAUUCUUUUGUUGAGUCAAUAACUAUUCUUAAGAGAAAUAACAUUGACUGAGUUUUUCACUAGUUAAUACAUAAAGUACGGAUAAUGACACACGAGUCAAACCAUAAAAUUAAGCCCAACCUAAAAAAAGAGAAAAAAGAAUUCUAUCUUUGGUUUGAUAGUGUUUGUGGAAGUUCAUAUUUCACUAAACAAAUUUGUCUUUUGGCUAUUUAGUUUAUUCACAAUAUUUCCAAGAAACUACGAAAAAAUGCACUUUCAAGUUAUGUUGAUCGGUCGAUAAUUUUUUUUUUUUAAUGUUUACUUAUAUCUCCUGCCCUAUUGUAUCUUUGCACUUGGCGUAUAAAUAGUAUUACACCAAAAACAAAAACAAAAAAAAAAAACAAGGUACUGCUUUUCAUUUGGAGCAGAUACCGUUGUCACAAAAGUUCAUGUGAAAGAUGAAAGGUGUCGAGUGUUGUGAAAUAUGGAUCAACUAGUCGUGAGCCCAUACCAUGCAUAUACACAAAAUUGACAUGAAUAAAUUUAUCAUGAAAAUAUAACUAUAAUAUCCUUAUCUCUAUUGGAAAAGCACAUAUAGAUAGCAAAUCAUGUUCUUUGGAAAGACAGUUAUAAUUUAUAAGUGGAUAGUUCUUAAUCUUUCAUUAUAGUAAUUCAACUUUAAAAAAAAAAAAAAAAGUCUCUCAUUAUGGUAAAAAUUCAAGCGGGAAACCGCAUUUGAAAGACAUUCCUUUUUUUUUUUCCCCAAUAACAAUGGACGUACUUCUCUUGGAUGGAGUGCACAAAAAAAAAGUUAAAUGCGCUAAAAAUCGAAUUAUAAGGAAUUUAAAAAGAUAUUAAAUGAAAUUGCAUGAAAUGGAAGUGCGAUCAAAGGAAAAUUACGAGGAAAGUAAAAGAUGAACUUUGUUGUGCCAUGCCUGUCUGAUCUUACCUCUGAAUACCUCUUUUAUACCAAUGCCUCGUGUCGACCAUUCUGUUUCUAGGCCAUUCGCAUGUAACUUCCACAUGCAUCAUAUGUCACAUGCAUCAGUUGUUUCCUGCGUUACUUGCCACAUACAACCUAUGACACCUAGUCCUAUACUACUCUUUUCAAGGAAGAGAUUUCUCUAUUAUUCUCUCAACCUAAAUUUUCUCAAAAUCAAGUUCAUUAUAAAUCAUAUUUAUUUAAAUGAAUCCAUGGGCCAUUUUCAAGAAUUGACUCUCAAAAGGGGAAACCUCCAUCAUUAAUCGCAAUUGCUCGCUGUCUAAACAGAGUUAAUCAUAUAUAUAUAUAAACAUGUGUUUUGCUUUUCUUCUAAGAGGGAAUUGCUCAUCAUUUGAAACAUCAAUUGGUGUCACCUGCUCAAUCCAAUAUAAAUGGUGUGCAUAGCGUGGAUCAUGUCUAGUCUAUAUAUGAUAUAACAUGAUACUAUAAUUAUAGAAAUGAGAUUGGUGUCACUUUAGGUCCCUUCCAAUUUUACUAUUAUUGAAGGAUUAGGAAGGAUUCUACUACAAAUAAAAAGUAUGGCAGAGGAGUGAAGUCUCACUUUGGUAGAAUGCUCCUUCUCUAACCAACACAUCCCCGACCGUUAACGGUUAUAUAAUAUUCUCCUCAUCAACAUGUCGUACCAUCCCCAAUUUUUAUCACCAUUCUCUUCUUAUUUUUAAGAGUUUUGAGUUACAAAGUUCACAUAAAAAUAAGCAUAAUGUUAACAUAACAUGCACAUAGCAUGUGUAUAGAUUACCGUGGACAUUAAGCAAAGUCCAUUUGCAAAAAUAGUACCACUUCUAGGUCGAAUUUUGCUUUUACAUUUUACAAAUGCAUUUUCUUGAAUAGGUCGAGUGAGGGGCACUAUUGGCUUGAAAUUACUUUGCUCUAGAAGUGCAUGUUAACAGAUGGGUACUAAUUUCUAAUUUCUAAUUAACCUCUUGAGAAGUAUGCCCAUGCUAAAAACAAAUGUCAAUAUUUACAUCAACAUACCUCUAGAAAACCUAUUUGAUAAAAGUGGGUACUAACGGCUACAUAAGUUCCAUAAUGGUGAAAUACUCCAUUUACUCAUUGCCAGGUGGGACACCAGCUUAAUUAAGUCCGACUGGACGGUUCAAACAGGAAAUUAUUUACACUUGAUAUUGCUAGUAUGAGUACCUAGAGGGGGGUGAAUAGGUUUAUAAAAAUUUUCUUGAAGAUUGCACAAUACUUAGACAGAUGAAGGAUUAAAAAAUCAAUCGUAAGACUGAGUAAAGGAAAGAGAGAAUUGAACACGCGGUUUAUAGUGGUUCGGCUUGAUGCAAGCCUACAUCCACUCUUCUUCACUGACAGCCGAUUGGCUGGAUUCCACUAUGAACAAAGAGAUGUUACAGUGUUGAUCUUCCUUGAUUUCUCGAUGUAGAUGAUCUACUAUACUCGCUCAAGGUAUCACCAAGUAUAAACACUCUCUAUGUAUACAAUUUCGCUCGAACUGUAUCGACUAACAAUCAAGGUUCUUCAGACUCUGGAAUUUUUCUAUCAAUCACACACUUAAAACAACUAAAACGACUUCCUUUUAUACUUCUUUAUGCCAUCAUAGCCGUUGGCACUUACCAAAGGAAUUCCUCCAAUCUACCCGUUGGACGGAAUCAAUUAAGAAGAUCAUCCGAGCUAUUUAAGGAAUCUGAUGAUAGCCCAUCAAUCCUGAUAGCCCAUCAAUCCUUUUCGCCCAUACAAUCAGGAUUUUGGUUUUCAAGAAUAGAACAUUCCAAGAAUGUUUCGUCGACCAUCGGAUCUUCAAUUGUUCUUAGAUAAGAAUAACAGAAUCCGAAGUGAUUAUCCAACCAAGAGAUCUUUUCCAGAGGAUUGGAUCGAAUCCCCAACCAUAUACUUCGGCUUCGGAUAUCCUUCGCCACUGGAUUAGAAAGACUGUCAGUGAGAAUAAUCUUGAGUCUUGAGUCUUGAGUCUUGAGUCUUGAGACUUGAGAUUACAAAGUCUUGAGACUUUAAACUAUCGAUAUCCAGACUAGAUUGAUAGAAAUGUUUUGUCAGCUUCAAAAUAUUCUGGAAAGAUUUCUCCAACAAUCUCCCCCUUUUUGAUGGUGACAAAACUUUCUUGUAGAUUUGAACAACUUUGACCUGUAAAAACAUUUCUCAAGCAAUAUGGCUAACUCAUAAAGAUUAAUAAACAACCAGACUCUGCAUCCACAGCAAAUUGGUUAGUCUUUCAUGAGUAAUACCAUAUAACAGUACUUGAUAUAAAUGCAACCAGUCAAGCAUCAAAAUCCACAGCCAAUUCAGUCUCACACCNNNNNNNNNNNNNNNNNNNNNNNNNNNNNNNNNNNNNNNNNNNNNNNNNNNNNNNNNNNNNNNNNNNNNNNNNNNNNNNNNNNNNNNNNNNNNNNNNNNNNNNNNNNNNNNNNNNNNNNNNNNNNNNNNNNNNNNNNNNNNNNNNNNNNNNNNNNNNNNNNNNNNNNNNNNNNNNNNNNNNNNNNNNNNNNNNNNNNNNNNNNNNNNNNNNNNNNNNNNNNNNNNNNNNNNNNNNNNNNNNNNNNNNNNNNNNNNNNNNNNNNNNNNNNNNNNNNNNNNNNNNNNNNNNNNNNNNNNNNNNNNNNNNNNNNNNNNNNNNNNNNNNNNNNNNNNNNNNNNNNNNNNNNNNNNNNNNNNNNNNNNNNNNNNNNNNNNNNNNNNNNNNNNNNNNNNNNNNNNNNNNNNNNNNNNNNNNNNNNNNNNNNNNNNNNNNNNNNNNNNNNNNNNNNNNNNNNNNNNNNNNNNNNNNNNNNNNNNNNNNNNNNNNNNNNNNNNNNNNNNNNNNNNNNNNNNNNNNNNNNNNNNNNNNNNNNNNNNNNNNNNNNNNNNNNNNNNNNNNNNNNNNNNNNNNNNNNNNNNNNNNNNNNNNNNNNNNNNNNNNNNNNNNNNNNNNNNNNNNNNNNNNNNNNNNNNNNNNNNNNNNNNNNNNNNNNNNNNNNNNNNNNNNNNNNNNNNNNNNNNNNNNNNNNNNNNNNNNNNNNNUUCUUUCUCCUUCUCUCUCUGCUCUUCUUCUUCUCUUUGGUUCUUCUGAAGUUCUGUCGGUUGAGACACAGAACGUCUGGUUCUUGUCAAUGCUUGGAUAGUAGGAUCUUCAUCCUCUUCAUCUUCAUCCUCCAGGAUGAGAGAUCUUUUCUUCUUUUUCGAUGGGGCUCCAAUGGCCUCCUUUCCUUUUCUCUUUGAAACAGUCUGAACAGGAGAUUUUACUCUGAAUUUCUCCAUUGCCUUGGAAAGUUCUUGCAGACGCAUCUUCGUUAACAUCUUCAAUCCUACCACCAUCUUAUCACACGGUUGAACACAAAGUGUUUGUGGCGGUUCAAUAUUCAUGUGUCUGAAGAUCUUGGUCACCAAACCAGGAUAAGGCAAUUGUCCUUUGUCUUUCGACAUUGCUCUGUACAUAUGGAAGAGAAUAGUGUGCGGGAGAGAGAACUUCCGUCCUGAGUUGAUCGCGUACAUCAACUUUGCUUCAGAAAGAGACACGGAAGUCUUUGACGUAGACUUCGGUUUGAGACAGUUGAUUACUAUCUUAUGAAGCACAAUGUUGAUGGCAUUCAUCCUGGAAUAGGUAACUUUCUUCUCUGCGUUCCUAUCUUUGACAAGUUCCAGAGUAGUACGAGUAGGUGAGACUUUGAUUGGUAGAUAACGUCCUCGUUCAACUCCAACUAUGUCCGCCAACAUAUUCACAUCUACCACGUAGACUUGGUCUCGUACACUGAAUGAAAUUCUAUUCGCAUCCAGAAAGCUAAGAUUUGAAUAGAAAUAAGCGGUCAGAUGAGCAUACCCGUCAGUAGAGUCAGAGCAAAAAUUCUUAAGUUGAAAUAAAUUCAACUUUUCUCUUAAGUUUAUGUUGAUGGCGUCCAGGAAGUCAAAAUCGACACUUCUAGGGUUUAUCACCCCUCUUUUCAACAGCCUGAAAUACACUUUUUCCUGAUCCUUGGAUUUGAACAAAUCCAUCCGAUUUCCUUUCACCUUUGCUGCCACUCCCAUUUUCGGUUGAAAUUCAUGGAACAUUCUGUCAUCAUCGUUCCCUUCAAUUAAAUUUUGUCCUGGCAUACGAGGAUCACUUGGAAUGUUUGCACGUGCGUCCUCUACUUUUCCUUUCGGGGCAAUUCCCAAAUCCUCCAUUUUCCUCAGAAAAAAAUACUCAUUCCCAUAAUUUUUGUCCUUAAGGAAGUCAUCUAUAUAUUGCAAUGGAGUACCGGUGCUUUUCAACGCACGAUAAAGUUUAUAGAUAAAGGAGGGUUUUUGGACUCUUACUGGGUCGGCAUCCUCGAUUAUCUCUUCUUCCAGAAGAUUACUUGCAUCUGUGGGGCAGGAGGCGUUGAAUGACGUGGAUGAGAGCGAAUCGGACUUUGUCGCUGACUUGUUAAGUCUUCUUCCUCAGUGAGGAUCGAAGUGAGUCCGGCCCCUUCCUCCAUUCUUUGGGGGCCCGCUGCUUGCGAUUCUUGAUGAUUUCCUCGAAGAAGACAUCUUUCUUUGUCGAUGGAAAAUUCCCUCCAGUCGCUUUUCCCAGNNNNNNNNNNNNNNNNNNNNNNNNNNNNNNNNNNNNNNNNNNNNNNNNNNNNNNNNNNNNNNNNNNNNNNNNNNNNNNNNNNNNNNNNNNNNNNNNNNNNUUUUAAGGUUUUGAGAUUGGGAAAGAAAAACUGUAUAUAUAUAACUCAGUUUUGAAAAGGGAAGUUCAAACGGUGCAAGGAAAGUGUAUGAACAUUUUUUUUUUUCAAAAUCAAUAACUGCCAAAAUUAUUUCUUUUUAAAAAGACAAGUCUUCAAAUUUCACACGGAUUAUAGAAUAACCGAAAGAUCGUACCUUUUAGAUAAAAUACAACUUACAGUCUAUAGCCACGAAUGUCUGAGUCUGAGGAUUUAAAGUCUGAAAGAUUAGAGUCUUAGAGUUAGUGAGUCUCUAGACUUUAACUUCUUCAAGCUUCAAAAUGUUGAGUCUUGAACGGAUGAAGUCGAAUUGAUUUUUCUCCAAAGGCUUUGUGAAUAUAUCCGCUAGUUGACUCUUUGAAUCAACAAAUUGAAUCGAGAUUUCUCCAUUUUGAAUAUGAUCUCUAAUGAAGUGAUGUCGAAUCUCAAUAUGCUUUGCUCUUGAAUGAAGGAUUGGAUUUUUGGUGAGAUUGAUCGCACUGGUGUUGUCACAUCUGAUUUCUGUGCAUGAGUCUUCAAUCCCAAAGUCUUGUAGCUGUUGUUUUAUCCAUAGAAUUUGCGAACAGCAGCUUCCAAGAGCUACAUACUCUGCUUCUGUCGUUGAGAGAGCUACAGUGCUUUGCUUCCUCGAAAACCAAGACACUGUCCUGUUUCCAAGCAGUUGACAAGUUCCAGAAGUGCUUUUUCUAUUGACUCUGCAACCGGCCAGAUCUGCAUCUGAGUAUCCUAGAAGAUUAAAGUCUCCCUUCUUGGGAUACCAGAGACCGAUGCUUGAAGAUGAGGCAACGUAUUUGAUAACACGUUUUACAACACUGAGAUGGGAUUCUCUAGGAUCUGAUUGAAACCUAGCACAAAUGCAAACACUCAACAAAAUAUCAGGUCUAGAAGCAGUAAGAUAAAGAAGUGAACUGAUCAUGCUCCUGUACAGCUUUUGAUCUACUUUCUUCCCUUCUUCAUCCUUGUCUAUCUUCUGAGAACAUGACAUUGGUAUGUCGGUCUUUUUGCACUUUUCCAAUCCAAACCUUUUGACAAGAUCAUUCGCAUAUUUUUCUUGAUAAAUAAAAGUUCCUUCCUUCAUUUGUUUCACUUGAAGUCCAAGAAAGAAUGUUAACUCUCCCAUCAUACUCAUUUCAAACUCAUCCUGCAUAGACUUAGAAAAUUUCUUGCAUAGACUUUCAUUUGGUGAUCCAAAAAUAAUAUCGUCCACAUAUAUUUGAACAAGUAAAAAACUUUUGUUUUCCUUUUUGAUAAACAAAGUAGUAUCUACUUUACCUUUGACAAAACCAUUCUGUAAUAAAAACUUACUUAGUCUGUCGUACCAAGCUCGAGGUGCUUGCUUUAAACCAUACAAGGCAUUUUUCAGUCUGAAGACUGAGUCUGGCUUCUUUGGGUCUUCAAACCUAGGUGGUUGUUCCACAUAAACUUCCUCAUGGAUGAAUCCAUUUAGGAAUGCACUUUUGACGUCCAUUUGGAAUAACCUGAAAUUUUUAUAACAAGCAAACGCAAGUAAUAGACGAAUAGCUUCUAACAUUGCUACUGGAGCGUAAGUCUCAUCAUAGUCUAUUCCUUCUUCUUGCGUAUAUCCUUUGGCCACGAGUCUUGCUUUGUUUCGUACGACUUUUCCUUCUUCAUUCAUCUUGUUCCUGAAUACCCAUUUGGUUCCAAUAACAGUUUUACCUUUUGGUUUAGAUGUCAAUUUCCAGACAUCAUUGAUGUUGAACUGUCUGAGUUCUUCUUGCAUAGCUUCGAUCCAACUUUCAUCAGAUAAAGCUUCUUCUAUGCUUUUUGGUUCAAUUUCAGAAAUGAGAGCCACAGCACUAGAUUCUUCACGCCUUUUUGAUCUGGUGCGGAUUCCUUCAUUGAUUUCACCAAUAAUGAGAUCUUUGGGAUGACUGGAUUUAUGCUUCCAGUUACUGGUUGAUCUGCCUGGUUGAUGAUCUCUUUCUUUAUUUGAAUCUUCAUGAGAUUCUUGAUGUUGGACUUCCAGAGACUGAGAUGCUUCUUGAGUUGUAAGCGUUGGAAGGUCUGGAGUGGGUUCAGACUCUUCAUACUGAGUCUGACUGGAUUCAUCUUGCAUUGAGUCUUGGAAUUUGACAUUCAUUGAUUCCUCCACCGACUGGCUUUUCUUGUUAUAGACUCUGUAGGCUUUGCUUGAUGUAGAAUAUCCAAGGAAGAUGCCUUCAUCUGAUCUUUCUUCAAACUUACCAACCCGAUCAUUUGCAUUUUUCAAAAUAAAGCAUUUGCAACCAAACACAUGAAAGUAUGAAACAAUAGGCUUCUUACCUUUGAACAAUUCAUAUGGGGUUUUCUCUAAAAUAGGUCUUAAAAAGACUCUAUUUAUAAUAUAGCAUGCUGUUAAAACAGCUUCAGCCCAAAAUCGUGAAGAAAUUUUGCUUUCAAUUAUAAGUGUUCUAGCCAUUUCUUGAAGAGAUCUAUUCUUUCUUUCCACAACUCCAUUUUGCUCUGGAGUAUAUGGAGAGGAAAACAUAUGAUUAAAACCAGAUUUAUCACAAAAUUUCGUAAAAUCUUGAUUUUCAAAUUCACUUCCAUGAUCUGUUCUUAUGCUUGAGAUUACACAUCCUUUUUCAUUUUGAACCUUUUUGGCAAAUUUUUCAAAAUACGAAAAGGUUUCUGAUUUACUUGCAAGGAAAUAUACCCAAGUAAAGCGGGAGUAAUCAUCCACAAUUACUAGGCAAUAUUUCUUACCUCCAAUGCUCUGGGUUCUGGUUGGUCCGAAAAGAUCCAUAUGAAGCAACUGUAGUGCAUGAUUAGUAGAGACAUGAUUUAUUGGCUUAAAUGAAUUUCUUACCUGCUUUCCCAGAAUGCAUGGAGUGCAUGAACCAGACUUUUGGUAUUGCAAUUUAGGUAGACCUCGAACAAGCUCCUUUGAUGAGAUUUUGGCUAAUUGUUUCAUAUUGACAUGGCCAAGCUUUCUGUGCCAUAAGACUGCUUCAUCUUGAAUUGAGAUUAGGCAUUGUGCUUCAUUUGGUUUUACAUCAAGGAGGUAGAUAUUUCCAUGCCUUCGACCCAUGAAAGACUGAGUUGAGUCUUUGCUAAUUCCAGAACAUAUGCCUUCUUGAAAGGAGAUCUUGAAACCAGUAUCACACAAUUGGCUAAUGCUUAGAAGAUUGUAGUUGAGUCCUUCCACUAGAGAGACAUUGCUUAUUGUGAGAUUUCCAAUUUUCACAGUUCCAAAUCCCACAAUGCUUCAUUUGCUGUUUCCUCCAAAUGAGACUUUUCCACCAUUCACUUGAACAAGCUUUAUGAAGCAAUUUGAGUCUCCUGUCAUGUGUUUUGAACAUCCGCUGUCAAGGUACCACUUAACUUUCUUUUUGACAGAAACCUGCAUUAAAAGAGAGUCUCAUGCUUUCUUUGGUACCCAAAUUUUCUUGGGUCCUUUGGCGUUAGUAGAAUGAGCAUUACUAGGCCAUACUUUUUUAACAGGCUUCCAAACCAUAGGACACUCUUUUUCAAAAUGAUCCUGACUGUUACACUUUGAACACCUUAGAGCAUUUCGACCUACAGACUUUACAAAGACUUUCUUGAAAUGAUUUUUGUAAGCCUCUUUUGACGGUUUUUUAUUAAUUCUUUCUUUUACUUUUGAAAAAUCAAUCAAAGGAAUUGUUUCUGCUGUCAUACCUAAACCAGACUUAUUGAAGUAAGGUCUUUGGACUGAAAGAACUUUUUCAAGUUUUUCAGACCCUAUUGAAAAUUUCUUUGAAAUAUUUGAUAAGUCAGUUUUUAAGAAAGCAUUUUCUUUUGAAAGUUUAUCUUCAUUCUCCUUAAGAGUAGAAACAUUCAAGCCUAAACUUUUCACUUUUUCUUCUAAAAUAUUUUCCUUUUGUUUUAAAACUGAGUUUUCCUUUUUAAGUUCGGAAAUCUUUUUGAGAGAAGUCUUAAGACUAAAACAUAGUUCACCAAUGUAUUUAGAGACUUUGACAGGGAUUUUAUAAUCACUUACCUCAAAUUCACUGUCUGAGUCUGAUCCAGAGUCUGAGUCUGAUUGUGCCAUCAGACAUAGAUUGGCAUAUUCCUCAUCACUAUCUUCACACUCUGUAUCGCUCCAAGUUUCGGCUUUGAGAGCUUUUCGAGACUUUUCAGCUUUUCCUCUCUUCUUCUUCAGGAGAGGACAAUUUGGUCUAAUGUGUCCCUUUUUCUUACAUUCGAAGCAAACUACAUCUUUGUUUGGUUCCUCAUUAUCAACAAACUUGGUUUGCUGUUUCUGAAGACUUUGUUUCCUUGAGUUGAACCUUCUUCCUUUUCUAUUCAGCUUUCUGAACUUUCUUAUCAUUAGAGCAAGCUCCUCAUUGUCCAAAUCUUCUUCAGAGUCUGUAUCAUCAGAAUCAUCGUUAGAUUUUAAUGCAAUGGAUUUCUUACCUCUUGGAUCUUCGUCUUCAUUAAUUCGUUCCACUUCGUAGGACUGAAGAGUUCCAAUCAGCUCGUCUACAGAUAAUGGCAUAAUUCUUUGCGUCUCUCUUAUUGAAGUCUUUAUAUGAUUCCAAUCCUUGGAGAGUCCACGCAGCAGUUUGUUCACCUUCAUAGGAUCAGAAAUUUUCUGUCCUUGAUUUUCAAGGCCAUUGACAAUAUCUGUAAAAAGGCUAAACAUGUCAGUUAUAGAUUCUCCUGGUUUCAUUUUGAAGGCUUCAUAUUGACCAAGGAGAACGUUAAUUCUGGUCUCCUUCACUCGGUCUGUCCCUUCAUAAGUGAUAUGUAAUCUGUCCCAGACUUCUUUUGCUGUGACACAAGAAGAUAUUCUGUUAUAUUCAGUUGGUGAUAAAGCACAAUAUAAAGAGUAAAUUGCUUUUGCAUCGAGUGCUUGUCUCUUGUUUAUCUCUUCUUGAGACAUUCCGCUGAUAUCAACAGUUUCUUUCCCUCUUUCGGAUACUGAUGCAGCAGUAGGAAUAAUUCCUCUUUCCACCACAUCCCAUUCCAGAGGAUCCUUUGACCGUAGAAAAGUUUUCAUCUUGUUUUUCCAGAUGUUGUAAUCCUUUCCAUCAAAGUAGGGUGGUCUGGUAUUGCUUUGCCCUUCCACCAGCCCUGGUGCUAGCAUACUAGCCAUGGAUCUUUUACUGUGAAGUAAAACACUUCAAAUAAAGUAAGAACACGGGCUCUGAUACCAAUUGAUAUUGCUAGUAUGAGUACCUAGAGGGGGGUGAAUAGGUUUAUAAAAAUUUUCUUGAAGAUUGCACAAUACUUAGACAGAUGAAGGAUUAAAAAAUCAAUCGUAAGACUGAGUAAAGGAAAGAGAGAAUUGAACACGCGGUUUAUAGUGGUUCGGCUUGAUGCAAGCCUACAUCCACUCUUCUUCACUGACAGCCGAUUGGCUGGAUUCCACUAUGAACAAAGAGAUGUUACAGUGUUGAUCUUCCUUGAUUUCUCGAUGUAGAUGAUCUACUACACUCGCUCAAGGUAUCACCAAGUAUAAACACUCUCUGUGUAUACAAUUUCGCUCGAACUGUAUCGACUAACAAUCAAGGUUCUUCAGACUCUGGAAUUUUUCUAUCAAUCACACACUUAAAACAACUAAAACGACUUCCUUUUAUACUCCUUUAUGCCAUCAUAGCCGUUGGCACUUACCAAAGGAAUUCCUCCAAUCUACCCGUUGGACGGAAUCAAUCAAGGAAGAUCAUCCGAGCUAUUUAAGGAAUCUGAUGAUAGCCCAUCAAUCCUGUUCGCCCAUACAAUCAGGAUCUUGGUUUCCAAGAAUAGAACAUUCCAAGAAUGUUUCGUCGAACAUUGGAUCUUCAAUUGAUCUUAGAUAAGAAUCAAAGAAUCCGAAAUGAUUAUCCAACCAAGGGAUCUUUUCCAGAGGAUAGGAUCGAAUCCUCAACCACAUACUUAGGCUUCGGAUUUCCUUCGUCACUGGAUUAGAAAGACUGUCAGUGAGAAUAGUCUUGAGUCUUGAGUCUUGAGUCUUGAGAUUACAAAGUCUUGAGACUUUAAACUGUCGAUAUCCAGACUAGACUGAUAGAAAUGUUUUGUCAGCUUCAAAAUAUACUGGAAAGAUUUCUCCAACAACACUUAAUAGUGCCAGGAAUCAAACUCAUAUCAUGAUACACAAAUGCACAUUCCUUGACCACUAAAUGAGCUGCGUGGGGUUGCCUCUCAAUUAUAUCAGCCAAAUCUUUCAGAAAACUAUCAAUUGUUCCUUAUAUUGCUUUUGGUAAAUCCUAAAGAACUUCUCGAUCAAAAAAAAAAUUCCUAAAGAACUUGAGCAUAGAAUAAAUUGAAAAGAAAAAAAUAACUCACUAGACAUGUCUCCUUAGUGCCUAACCGUGUGUGGCCAAGUGCCCGCUAUGAUCUAGAAUUGCACGCCCAACCGAGCAUGACUAGGUGCCCACUUUGAUCCAGAAUCGCACCGCUACGCUGUUCAAGCGAUUGAGUCUUGCUGGAGGCCCAACCACCGACCAGUAGCUUAGGCUACUUGCGAUCUCUGUUAUGGGCAUCUCAGUCUGUUCCUCUGAACAUUUACGCCAUGUCAAUGUGUAGAUUGAGUGGCGGCUUGAUUUAUUUGUGGUCAAUCUCAAGAUGCUAAUCCAAUAGAAAGCUUAAGAUUUAAAAUUUCGAUACUUGAACGUCAUCCAAUACUGUCAUUGAUCAGCUAAGCUUUUAGGGGAAAAAUAAUAAAGUAUUGUUGUUUAUGUCGAUCAAGCCGUCUAGGAUUUUGUCACCAUCUUCUUCCAAUUAAAUGAUCUCCUUUAGCAACAAAGUUUAAGCGGUACUUUUGACUUAUAAGAUGCGAAAAGAAAUGGUGCCAGUCUUGGGAAAUGGACAUAUGUAUCUACACUUUUCUCUUUAGGUAACAUAAGUAGAUUUUUCCAGAAAGUUUCGUGUGGCACAGUUUGCCAGAAGAUGUUGCCCAGCAUCGACAAACCUACUGUUCCAUAUGUUAAGACCUUAAUCUAACUAUAACAGCAUGUAAGGAAGUUAAUUAGUUCAUUUUUAGUUGGUCUAAAACCAGCUCUCUUCCAAUUUCCGUCAAAAUCUAAAAUAUUAUUCAAAUGCUAAAGGUGUAUUGCUAAAGAAUGAUUAAACACUUAAUAACAAUAGUUAACAAAUUGAAAAUAAGGUGCUUACUUAGCUAUUUAACAAGUGACCCACGGGUGCUCUUUAACAUUUGUAUGUUUUAAAAGGUUUCAUUUCCACUUUAAUAAAAAUCAAAGUACAUGCACUACAAAAUUCCGAAAAAAGCGAGAGGUAAGAAUUGAGGUGUUUCAUCUUGAAUUUUUUAAAGCAAGAAAAAGUGUUCUUUUUAUUUAAAAUAUUGUUUGAAUUUAAAAAUUUAUCAAAAUACUACAUGUGUGUGUUUAUCUGUCAACAUUUAUGUUGGCGAGGGGUAAAAAGAUGAUAAAUUGUGAAAGUAUGGGGUUUAGAAAAGCAAAAGUAAAAAAUUAGAAGUCGAUUCAGACACUCAAUUGAUUGAUUUGAUAUGCAGCGUUUCAAGAGUAGCUUCGAUUAUUGGUCCCAUGGCUGUUCCUCUACGUGCACAAGUGAACUGUUUAAAAACUUACCAAGCUCAAGGUUCCUUUCAUUUGCCGGACGACCAUAAGUGGAGACUUUGAUGAAUUGUUUCAUGAAUUAAGAUGGCUUCGAUGUUUAUACAUUGAACCCGAUAUAUUUUCUUCUGCAAUCAAUUUGCAUCUAUCUAAAUUAGUGGUGCUAGAAUUGUCACAAAACAAGCUUACAGAUGAUUGGGGAGGAUGGAGUUCGAUCAUGGUAAGAUGGAAAAAAAGACAUCUUCUAUGAUCUUUGCUUUGUUUUGUUUUAUCGAUUAAACUCCUUUUUGACAGCUUUUUUUCUUUUGUACAAGCGGCAAAGCAGCUAAAAGUUCUCAACCUUUCAUAUAGCCAGGAGUUAAGAUAUACUCCCAUCUCUCAACUUUCACGAAGUUGGAGAUUCUCAUAUUGUCCAAUUGUUACAAACUAAAACAAGUCGACCCUUCUAUUGGCAAACUCAAGAGCCUCAUUUCCUUGGACUUGUGUAGAUGUAGUAAUCUAAGAAAGCUACCAGAGGAAGUGAAGGAAUUGCAAGAACUAAAAGAACUCCUUUUAAUUUCUAUUGGCAUUACACAAAUUCCUAUGUCAGUAUGUUCUUUGAGGAAGCUAGAAAAAUUGUCUCUUAGAUCUUGUCAUUCAUUAGUUGAAAUCCCUCUCGCAAUUGGGAAUCUUUCGUCUCUCCAAUACCUUGACCUCAAUUACUGUUCAUCAUUGAGGAAAAUCUCACACUCGAUUGAGAAUCUUUCUUCUCUCAAACGACUUGAACUAGGUGGUUACACGUCAUUGAUAGAAAUCUCUAGCUCGAUUGGGAAUCUUUCUUCUCUUGCACGACUUAAACAAGGUGGUUGCACGUCAUUGAUAGAAAUCCCUAGCUCAAUUGGGAAUCUUUCUUCUCUCAAACAACUUGAACUAGGUGGUUGCACGUCAUUGACAGAAAUCCCUAGCUCAAUUAGGAAUCUUUCUUCUCUCGAACAACUUGAACUAGAUGGUUGCACGUCAUUGAUAGAAAUCCCUAACUCAAUUGGGAAUCUUUAUUCUCUCAAACGACUUAAACUAGGUGGUUUUAAACUAGGUGGCUGCACGUCAUUGACAGAAAUCCCUAGCUCAAUUGGGAUCUUUCUUCUCUCAAACGACUUCGUCUAAAGUUUUGCUUCUCAUUGACAGAAAUCCCUAACUCAAUUGGAAAUCUUUCUUCUCUUGAACAACUUGAUCUAGGGUGUUGCGAGUCAUUGACAGAAAUCCCUAGUUCAAUUGGAAAUCUUUCUUCUCUCGAACAACUUGAUCUAGGGAGUUGCAAGUCAUUGACAGAAAUCCCUAGCUCAAUUGGGGUCUUUCUUCUCUCAAACAACUUCAGCUAUGGGGUUGUGUGUCGUUGAGAGAAAUCCCUAGCUCAAUUGGGAAUCUUUCUUCUCUCAAAACACUUCAGCUAGGGUUUUGCUCCUCAUUAACAGAAAUCCCUAGCUCAAUUCAGAAUCUUUCUUCUCUUGAACAACUUGAUCUAAGGUGUUGCGAGUCACUAACAGAAAUCCCUAGUUUAAUUGGAAAUCUUUCUUCUCUCAAACAACUUGAUCUAGGGAGCUGCGAGUCAUUGACAGAAAUCCCUAGCUCAAUUGGGGAUCUUUCUUCUCUCAAACAACUUCAGCUAGGGGGUUGCAAGUCAUUGACAGAAAUCCCUAGCUCAAUUGGCGAUCUUUCUUCUCUCAAACAACUUCAGUUAGGGGGUUGCAAGUCGUUGAUAGAAAUCCCUAGCUCAAUUGGGAAUCUUUUUUCUCUAAAAAAACUUCAUCUAAAGAGUUGCGAGUUAUUGACAGAAAUCCCUAACUCAAUUGGGGAUCUUUUUUCUCUCGAACAACUUCAGCUAGGGGAUUGUGUCAUUGAGAGAAACCCCUAGCUCAAUUGAGAAUCUUUCUUCUCUCAAAUACCUUAACCUUUAUGGGUGUUGUUUACUAAAAGAAAGUCCUAACUCAAUUGGGGAUUUACCGAAUUUACAAAGCAUUGGGGAUUUUUUACCUUGAAUAGUUACCCAUUGCUAUUGGAUGGUUGAACAAACCGCCAAAGGCUAUUUCUUGAAUCUUGUGAUAGUCUAAAAGGGGGAAUUCGAAGAGAAAAUAAUGAUUUGUCUUUACUCGUGAUUCUCCAUAUCACUGGCACAUUGAUAUUUGACCCAUUAGAAAGCAUCUGGAAUCUUUCUUCUCUCUAAUGCCUUGACCAAGGGGGCUGUAAGGAGCUCGAUUGUUUCUAGAGCUUUCCUUUGGCUUAACAUAUCUUUAGGUCAAUUCCCUGAUUCCCAGGUUGCCAAAGCUUUCUUACAUAUUCCACCUGGAGGAACUUCAUUUUUAUGGAUACGAUCAACUUGCGUACUUCCCAGAGCUUUCCUCAAGACUCUUGAAACUUUGUGUUGACUCCUAUCCUAAGUUGAUAUUGCCUGAGCUUGAUGGAUUCAAGUACUUGGAAGAGUUGUCGAUAAAACACUACAAUUCCAUUGAAAGAAUGGAUCUCUCACAAUCGAAUCUUUUGAAAGGAUUGGGAAAUUGAAGAUUGCGAUAAUCUAGUUGAAAUUUAGGGCCAAGGUAAAUUGGAGUUCUUGGAGACAAUACAUACAUAUAGCUGCAAGUCCAUUAGAAGGUCGAUCCAUCCGAAAUUAUUAGGGCUUGAAACGAUUAAAUACUUGCUAUUGUGACAAUCUACCCAAAAUACAAGGUCUUGAUAAGGUGGAGUCGUUAGAGGUGUUCGAUGUCUGUAAUUGUGGUUCCAUCGAAAGAUUAUUUGACCUAUGAUGCUUUUGGAACUUGAAAGAGUUGAUUAUCAAUGGUUGUCAUAAUCUACGUGGUGUGGAGACUCAAUUCCCAGUCUUACAUAAUUGCAAGAGUGGGGACGUCGGUUCUAGAAGCUAACGUGAUGUUUUAGCCAAGAUCAAAAUUUAGAUCCAAUUGUGGUUCUUCAUACAUUAGAAGGGGUUGGUCAUCUGGUAAGAUUCUUCGUCCUUUAACAACUAGCAUGAGCGAAAAGUGUAAUACUUUUCUAACAGAUAUAUCUUUUAAGAAUUAUUUGCUCAACGCUUGGUAUCUAUUUGAUCUGGAUUUGCCUAAAUAUAUUUGCUGUUGAUUGCAUCAUGACAAUGUUUUUUCAGCUAAACUUCAAUUGGCGUGCAGUUUAUAAAUUGAGUUGCAGACAGGUAUACAAGAAUUACUUAGUGAUUUACAAGAAUUAACAACAUAGGUAUACAAGAAUUACUUAGUGAUUUACAAUUUCCCUCUUGGUAAACCCAAGAUGAGAAUUUUUCAUCAAGAGGUUGAUCUUCUGCAACUCAAUUUAUAAACUGCGCGCUAGAUCCUUUUUUCUCUUUCUCAAACUAGUAUUUUUCUUUAAAAAAUUCUUCGCCAUUUUGAACUCUUUUUGUGAGCAAUUUUAUAUGUCAGAUUUGACUAUCGAUAGUGAUGAUGGGAAAGCCUGUCCAUUGUUCAUUCGAGCAUGAAUUCUCAAUAAGGAAGAGAAACUGAGCUAAAAUAAAAAUCAGGGUUCAAUUUUUUUCUGGUACGUGAUUUAAAAAAGUAGAAAAUUAGUUUUGGCUAGCCUUUUUCAUCUAUGAUUGUAGGCAGGCUUUCCAUAAACAAUUAUGAGACUAUUGAAAUAUUAUCAAGUGAGAUAAAUUGGUGCUAGUUUUGUGACAGGUCCAGUUGGUCUAUGUAAUGAUCAAGACUUACUUUUGGACUUCAAUUCAAAGAACUGUAUAGAUGACAUUUUGCAUAAUUGGGACAAUUUUUUGCCUGCUCUGUAAAACAAGCUAGGCAAGGAGCUUAAGAUUUUGCCUAUUAUUUUGCAUCCCAUUUGAUCUUGAUGUCGCAUUUUAUCAAAUGAUUGAUCUGGGUUAGGCUAACUUGGCUGAGGCAAUUCAUAGUCCACACUAGAGAUUGAUCAAAUGAAGAAGAGGGAUUUUGCUGAGGUGUCAUCAACAACAGCUGAAUGCUAGCUUUUGUGUGACCUUGAAUAGGCUCAUGGGCCAACUGGAGUGUCCUAAGGAAGUUUCUUAUGCCUAUGAAGAUCAAAGCACUUGAUAUGGUUUCAUCAGCACAAAACUGAAUGAUUGUGAAUGUAUUAUUUUUCAGUUGAAUCUACUUUUUGUAUGCUCAUUAGGUUCUACUUCUAUUAAGCAAAUACAUACGUGCUGAUUUUUCUACAUGUUAACCAGAUGCAGAGUUCUUUGAUGCAAUGCACUCUAAUGGUAUCAUUCCCAAACCCAGUUAGGCUCUGCUGAUAGAGGUAUGCACUGCCAGUCCUGCCGUAACUGUGAAAGUGUGACUCGUGUACUUAUAUUUAAUUGAAUGGGUUGCGUGCUUGUUAGGUUCUACCUCUCUGUCAAUCAAAUAUGUAUGUGCUGAUUUUUCUGCAUGUUAUCCUGAUGCGGAGUUGUUUGAUGCGGUCUCGUUCUAAUAAUAUCACUUUCAAACCCAAUGAGGCUCUGCGGAUGGAGGUAUGUACUACCAGUUGUACCAUAAUAGAGCAACUUGUGUGCUUAUACUAUUUGAGCUGUGGAAUUUCACCAGAAAUCCGUGAACUAGGAUGCAUGAUGACAAUCUCCUCUUUUUCCGUCAGUUCAUAAUAUCUUUUGACUGUUGUGAUAAAGGUCUCUGAUACGACAGCUUAAAUCUCAUGUAUGCAUCAUUAAAUUUGUAAAGUUAAAUAUAGCCUCUUAGCAAACAAUUCCGUAUUGCUGAUUUCGCUAAUGGAUAUUGCAAAAUAACCAAGUAACAAGUACGCCUUUCUGUUCUAUAGUUUGGGCACUUUGCCUUUUCAGCAUCCGUUCUGUUCAUAAACACAAACAAGGGUGAUGGUGCUAAUUGCUGACUUCUCUUCUCUUAAGUCCGUUGUUUUCUAUUUCUUUGGCUGAUAAUGAAUUAUGUUGAUUGCGAUCCAACUGCGAAUUAAUCAGAGACCCCUGUAAUGUGUGGCAGAACUAAUGUCCCUAGAUUUUGGUGUUGAUAGAUGAGAUUCAUUGAAGAGGUCACUCGUAGAUCGCUAGAAUCUGGACCAAGUCAAAAUAAUCUUGUUUAUAUUGAUGGACUCUCAAGUCUAUGCUUACUAUUUUCAGCUAAUUUUAGGUUCUUCAUUCCAAAUACAUUUAAAAAUAGACAGAACUAAGGAUCCAUGUAGCCGUGCCUUUAUCUCUCUUCGAGAUGAUUGGAAAGUGUGACACAUUUUUACUCUCAUCCAUCUUGAGUAACACAUGCAUCACCCUCAUUUUCUGACCAUCUUUAGCAAGUGCCCUGGUGGAGACUAGUUAGAAGUCUUCUAAGGUUGAUUUGUUAGUGUUCGUAACUUUUGAUGAAAUAUCAUAAACAACCUGAAUUUAUCAUUCAUUCUUUUCCUGAAUCUAUCACGAAGUACAUAUGUUGCCUGUAGAAUUAUAAUUAUUUUCAAAAUUUCAUGUGACAACAGCUGAUUGGAAAAGCCAAUGAAUGUGAGACCCAAUUAUAGGGUUUACAUUUGAUGAUGCAGUUGAAAUUAUAAGAGACACACCUUCGGAUCGUCCAAAACUUAAUGACUUGCCUCGAAGGACACAACCAAGAGAAGGGAACAAAAUCUCACCAAGGAAUGAAAAAGGAGAAGGAGAAGGGGAAGGAGAAGAAGAUUGCCUCAACUAAGUUGACAACAAAAUUGUAGCUACCACUGCUGCCGGGACCUUCUCAUGUGGACUUCGGUGCCACCUCCUCUGUGGUUUAACUGGUACGAUGACUAAUUCAUGAAAUAUUUGAUAUAAUGCCAAAGUGCUAAUUUCCAAGUCCCCUUCAUUUAUUGAGUAGUAUAAGCUUGCACAAGUUCAAUUUCCUUGCUCUCGUACCAGCAGCAGCAUCACAAGGUCCGGUCUUCCAAUUCCUGCGGAAAUGUUCUUUUUUAUUCUUUGCAGGGUUUUGUAACGAUAAAUUGUUGAUACUCCCUGCAAUAACCGCCGACGAUCGUGGUGUACAUGGUCACAUCUAGCUCUCAGCCGGUGUCUUCCAAAUUCUUCAGCAAUCGAACGGCUUUUCCAGUAUUGCCGGUUCUGCACAAUCCCUCAUCAUGGCUUGGCACGUGGUUAUAUCUACCUCGAUUGUCUGGCCAACAUUUCAUCCGCUAAGCUCGUGGCUUUGGCGAUUCUACCCUCUCCAACGAGCCCAUUGAUCAAAGUGUCGAAAGCUUGCAGUUGUGGGUUCAAGUCCAAGUUUGACCAUUUUACACAAAACUGAGGACCCGAGAUCGGAUCUUUUCAAUUGGCAGAGGUAAUUCAUCAAAAUGUUGGGAAUAGAACUGUUGGGAGUCGUUCUUUUCGAACCCAUCUGCUCGAUCAUGUCAAUGGUGACGGGGUAAUGCUUCAUCUUGGCCCCAACCCCCAAGAGUUGGGCGAAACAUGGAGGUAAAGUCAAGAGGGUUUACUCGAAUCGUCCUCACCAAGAAGAAUAAAGCAUUGUCAGCUUCCACCAAUCCGCCAUUUCUGCAUUUCUUCACCACAAAGGUCACAAGUUCAGAUUGAUCCAUUGAAUCACUCACUCCAGCAGUGGAUGGCCAACCGUGCGAGCGACGUAAAAAAAAUGGUUCGAUGCAAAGAUGGGAUGAGAAGUGAGAGAUUUAGCAAGAUCGCCAGAUUCUCGAACAAGAUGAUGAAGAGCAGAAGUGCAAAUGGAUCGAUUCAUUCUUAUUAGUUUUGCCAAAUUUUCUCCUUCCGAGUUCAAGAAUCCACAAAUUGAUGUGAUGGCUUAUGGAGAGGAUGAUUAUUAGGCAAUUCAAUCACUGAAACUUUAGAUGUUUGAAAACAACAUAGUUUUCGGUUCAAUCAUUGAAAACUACUUGAUUGGCAAACUGAACAUUUCUAGAAAUACUCUGAUCGAUUCAUUCCCGUACUCACCACCUUGCUCAUGAAAUUUUACGGUCUGAUCUCACUUUCUAGCUAAAACAGCACUUUUCACUAUACGUUUUCAAUUAUUUUUAUAGAAGCCAUUGGUGAUGACCCAGGAAAAAGGAAAUGAAGCGGAACAUCAAGAAGGUGGUAUUUGCGCCAUUUUCCUUAUUUCCUAGUUAGUAAUGCAAUUGGAAGAGAAUGUCUUCAAAGUUCAGGCAUAAUUGAAGGAUUGCUGAGUAUUGCAGCUACCUGUGCUACUGGGACCAUCUCAUGUGGACUCCAAUGCCACCUCCUCUGUGGUAUACUGGCUAGUUCAUGAAAUAUUUGAUACAAUGCCAACGUGCUAAUUUCCAAGUCCGCUCUGUUUAUGCAACAGUAUAAGCUAGCGUAUGUUCAUUUUUCUCUCAUAUAAGCAGCAUCACAGAGUCUGGACUUCCAAUUCUUAAGGAGAUGAAGGUUUGUCUUUUUUUCUUUGCAGGGGUUUAUACCAAUAAAUUGUCGGUACUAGACACCAAGGAUCCAAGCAAUAACUGCCGAUGCUCUUUGCAAUAACUGCCAAUGAUCGUGGGGUACAUGAUCACAUCUGGCUCCCAGCCUUCGUCUUCCAAAUUCUUCAGCAAUCGAACGGCUUUCCUGGUAUGGCCGGUUCUUGACAAUCCCUCAUCAUGACUCGGCAUGUGGUUAUAUCUACCUUAUCAAAGUGUUAAAGCUCACAGUUGUUGGUUCUAGUGCAAGUUUGACUAUUUAACAUCAAAACUGAGAAACCGAGAUCGGACCUCUUCAAUCGGCGGAGGUGAUUCAUCAAAAUGCUGCGAGUAAAAACAUUGGGCGAAGUUCCUUCCAAACCCAUCCUCUCGGUCAUGUCAAUGGUGAUGGCGCAAUGACUAUUUUACUAAAGACACGUUAGAUAGAAAUUAUUACUAUGAAAACAGAGAAUAACUUCAAAAGCACCGCUGUUCCUAGGAGAAGACAACGUCAAGACCCAUUCUAAGACACCAAUUCAGCCACAGCUCCAUGAAACAGCAAGACCCAACACCGUUCCCACGCCGCGGCUAUCCAUAACCGUCGCGGGUACAGUUAAAAAACGACUCUUUUCCAUUCAUUUUCAUGUUUCCCCUCCUGCCCAUAUAUCCCACCGUCCGAACCGCCCGUACCUUGAAAGUUGCUGUAACAAACAUCGACGCCCGGGAUCGGGCGCGCCAUGUAGUAGUCGAUCGACACGAUCCGGACGCUGAAAAUCGCGGGGUCCUUUGCCGGACCCGACGCCGCUGUACUGCUGCGAACCUUCUUCCUCCGUCCGGAGGAGCGGCGGCUCCUCCAUCUGCGGAAACCUUCCCACGACCCUCGCCGGAGAAAAGCGCCGGAACCCAGGGCGCGGUUAGCCCGAAAGUCGAUCGCCGGCGAGAGCUCAGAGGCGCUGGCUGGUGGUAACCGACCGCGCGAAAGUCAAGAGCGUCUUCUCCAAGCUUUUUCCAAUUUCUUCCCUCUCGCUUGCUCUCGUGCAGUGCAGUAACGGAACGCCGGAACAGGAAAAUUGACUCCGAGAAAACUCUUCGGGCCGAUUUGAUUAUUAUAAGUUACCUCCGAAACGGUUAUUUUACUACUGUCAAAUAUAAUGAUAGAUUUCGACCAAAAAAGAUUUAACGAUAGAUUCGGCCAAAAAAUAUUUAAAGAAAACCAAUUUUUAAUCUAGAUACUAAGUAAUUGAUAUAACCAAUAUUUGACUAGAGCUAUUAGCAACUUAGCAACCAAACUAUGAUUUUAUGCCUUUCAAAUCAAUCAAAGGGAUAAGUGUAUUGGACAAAUUAAAAUUUGUUACGAAAAUGCAAUUAAGUUUUACGAUUUUUAAAAAGUGCAAUCAAAUUCUAAAACUUAUCAAGUUUUAAAAUAGGUUAAUGAUUUUAACAUGAAUUAAGAUUUGUGUAUCGCUCGAAUUAAACCUAGUUCAUAACUUAAUUAAAAAAAAAAUUGUGUGUCACACGAAUUAAGAUUUGUGACUUCAUGUAAGAAUUAAUGACAUUAACAUGUGGAUAUAAGUUUUACGAAUAAACAUCUAUAAAUUAUUAAAACAAUUGAUAAUUUUUUAACAAUCAAACAUACCCUAGUAUUUUUAUUUUAUUUUUAUAAAAGUGCGGGUACAAACAUGUCACGAGCCAAAUAAGUGGUGGAUCACCAUUUUAACUAAUCGAUUUAUAAAGUUAUUGAAAAAUACUUUUGAUCUUAUUCAUACGGAACAUCGGAAUUGUCUUGGUUACUUGGUCAAAAAACAGUUUCUUUUGAAAAACACUUUUUUUUCUAUUUUUGUUCUCAUGAGCAAUUUCUAAACAUUUAAAGGCAUUUGAUAACUAUACAAAAUUUAUGUUCCUAGAAAAGAAAUAUAUUCAAUAUGACCCCAAAUAUUUUUUAACUUAGAAUUUCUUUUAAUUUAUUAAUUAAUUUAUUAUUUUUUUCUUCUCCUUCCUCUAGUCGAUCAUCAAGGAGAGCCUCGCUGACCACUGAUGAGGUCCCCGAGCCUCUCAACCUUGCCCUAGCUACCUUGCUUGACCAUUGCAAGGUUGGCAUUGCCCACCUAGGUGAGGCCAACCUCACAGUGGUUAGGCAAGGUGGAGCCUCGCUAGGCCAUCGAGAGGCUUGUCGACCACUCCCAGCCACAGCAAGGCUCGAGAGGGGGUUGGGCAUGGUCUAGUCGGUCGCCAACCACUGUUUCUAGAGUUAUUCCUAAAAAUGAAAAAAUUUAUUUUUUAUUUCUAUUUCAAAUUCAUUUCCAAGAAAAAAAAAUUAUCAAAUGCGCUUUUGUUCUAUUUCUACUCAUUAGAGAAACAGAUGUUCCCAAAGCAUUGCCAAACAACACCUUGGUCAGCCACGAUGCUCCUAAAUUUCAAUGGCUUCUUCAAGAGGCUUCUUUAAAAACCGCAGUCACCGAAUUCAAAAGAUUCUAUCCACCCAUAAUUACAUCUACGAGUUCAGCUGAAAGUGUAUCAACACCUCAGACAAUUCACUAAAGCAUUAGUCAAUCCGCACACAAAUUACUCUGUAAAUACAUUAGUCAGUCCACGCAUAAGUAAAUCAUAUGCUCCAUUUCUUUGCAAAUGGCUAAACAUAUAUGUAGGUUGAUCACUUGAUCAGAGAAUUAUACAAGCACCACCACCCUUUUCCUCAUGGACACUGUAUUUUCACGUGAAAUGCAUAUUACAAGGGCAUUAUACAAUGGUGUAUCAACUGAGUGAUGGGGGAAACAAGUUAAUCGACAGUUGGAGUUGAACCAAGAAUGCAAAGAAACAGAGAAUGGCACACAUGGAGAAAUAGGUUCAAUUCCAGUCCCGGGCUUGAAGCUGCCUUCACCACACAUUUCAUCUUAUUAAAGCAGCCAUGAUGUUGCCUAACCAUUUCCUUUAGGCCAAGCCCACCUGUCUCUCCCACCUAAGGUCUUCUGAAAAUUCUGAGAGCGCAGCCCUUGGGUCACCAUCGGAGAUAGACAAGUAGUACUGAGCAGUCCCAUCAUCAACCUGCAUGCUCCUCCCAAGGGAGUCGAGUAUCCUCUUCUUCCCCUGUUCAGAGGUGGUCCUCUUCAACAAAGAACUUAUCUCCAUGUCUCGCACGCCUUCUGGACAGAGCACGGCGACUUCCCUCUUUGCAUGGUUAUCUCGCUCUAUGUAGCAUGUGGAAUCGAUAAGAAUGUCAUGGUUGCUUAUGGGGAUUAAUAAUCUCUCCCUCGAAUAUAUACCAUGGUCACUCAUCAUGUUGUUUAAGCGCUUUAUGUCCAUGACCUGAGUGUACCAAAAAAUUAUUCUUUUAAGCAUGUAAUAUUCGGUGUAGACAGGGACAAAAAGGACAUGUACAAAAAAAAAAAAAAAACUUUUAAGCAGGGAAGGAAAAAAAUUCAGGGAAGCCAUUCUAAAAGUAAGUCUCUACCAAUAGUUAUCAAAACAUUGAACUCAGAGAGAUCUGAGUUGACAAUCAUGGACCACAUGAUACAUCAUUAUUGACUCUUCAGGGAUCAUUAUGACCACAAAAAUGGAAAAGUUCCAUAAAAAGACAAGUUCAUUUCCUAAUUGCACAAACAAUUUAUGUUCUGGUCUCAAAAUUUGAGGGUCGCGUUCAACCAUUUCGAUAAAUCAAUACCACCAUUGCAAAAUUAUCUACCAUUUCUAUGUCGGUGUUAUUAAGUCAGAGGAACUAUCAUGACCAUCAAAAAAGUACAUCACUCAUCAUUUCAUACUGAUGACUUGCAAAAUCCAAGCAUCAUUUAGCCUAAUGUGUUUGGAUUAUCUAUUAAAGAUGCUCAAUAUCUGCUUGCCAAUCAAUCAUAUCUUUUUGCUAUUAGUAGCCAGAGAUGCUUCUUGCUUGGCAAACUUAACAAAACUCAGUCACAUCAAAAGAUUUCAAAACGUUUCACUUGAAGAGGAUCCUAUGCUCGCUAAGACAAAACAUUUGUGUUCAAGCCCCAACCUUCCUCCAUACCUCCAUAAGAAACGACAACAAUGACUUCUGAGUGUAACCAUUUCCUUUUCCUUUUCUUUAGGAUUUGCCAAAAGAUGAAGUUACUUCAAAAUUACAAAACUCGUAUAUCAAUUAGUCUGGCUUUCUCCAAUGGGAAUAAAUCCAUAAGAUUUGCAGAAGGAGAUUCCAUUGAGCAUCUAUCCUACCACCUAUUUGGUACAAUAUAGAACAACAGCGUAAAAUGGUCCAUAUAACUAACCCCACUCAAUGGGAUGAAUCAGUCAAUUACAUUGAAGUCAUUCAACCGCCAGCCUGCACAAAGAAGCUAUGAACAUCAUCAAAUGACAUAUAGAACAUCUAGCAUCUAGUCGACCUUUUUCUUCUCCUAGUAAACUCCACAAGCUAACCUUUAUCAACGAGGCCAGAGCCUAUUGAAUGGAGGUAUAAGAGAGCCAUACUCAAAAUUCUACAAAACUAUGUCCUUAGACAAUCUUGCACCAAUCAAGAGAGCUAUCCAACUUUGGCUGUUAUGGUGGUGGAGGUACGCCAGAAUGCUUCUUCAAGGAAGAAAGCCUCUGAAAAGACCUGACAAUGUUGCUAGCUAUAAAACAUUCCUCAACCCACAAGUCCUUGACCAUUCAAUGAUCUUAGUCACCAAAUAGUUGGUUCAUUCACCGAACUCACUAUUUUACUCCCCCUUUCGUUGGGAUUUGCCAUUUUAGCAAUCAAACUCAGGAUCACAAAGUACUUCACAUAUUAGGAAAAGCACCUAACCCAUCCCCACCCAUCCUCUCAGCGCCAAGGAAGUAACCAAAUAGACAGUCUAUGCUGGAGGAAGAAAACAAAUGGAUUCCAAGCCAUCAGCAGAGCCAAUCCACCAGAAAUUCCAUGAAAAUUCACAAUCAAGCUCCCAGCUUCCAUCCACUUCAUCAUCACUCAAACGGACCUACCUAUUUCUAACCCUGUCUGCCCAUGACUACACGCAGAGCAAACCAACAUGACUUCCAAAACAUCUGAAGGAUACUACCAGGAAACCUUCUUCGUAAAGUUUCAAAUGCUGCAGCUGGACACACCACUUUAGCUAACUUUUAAAUGAAAUAGCAGUCCAUUUGUUCUUCAGAAUCUGCCGAAAGUGAAUCUCCAUCGAAAAUGCAGCGCCAAAGCAUGUCAUUUGCUAACGUUUAAAGUAUACUGCGUGAGAAAAUCAUUUCGCCGCCAACAUAAUUCACAGUUUUGCUCCCAAUCAAUACAGCAAAAGGGACAGAAAAUCCAUUACCUGAACGGAGUACUUCACAGCGAGGCUCGCGACGCUAUCGCCGCGCUUAAUCCGGUGCGAGAUCGCGAACUUCCCCACGCCGUUAUCCCUCCAGAAGCUGCCCGAGCUCGGGACGCCGACCACCUCCUUCAACCUCCAGGGGGCUGCGAAGGCUCGGGUGACCAUGUCGCGAUCGGAGGCGACGGAGCUCCAGAUGCGGCAGACGCAGCUCGCGCGGGCCAGGUCCGGGACGGGGAGCUUCUCGAAGAUGAGCCGGAGGGUGUCGCGGCAGGCGAGGGCGGAGAAGUGGGAGUUCAUCGGCGAGAUGGUGGAAUCGUCGGCGGCGGAGGCGGGGGAUGACGGCGGCGGAGAGAGAUCGGGAGUCCGGGGUGGAUGCUCCCGGUCGUCGUCGUCGUCGUCGCCGCAGCAGCCCAUUGAGAGAGAGAGAGAGAUAGAGAGAGAGAUGGGAAUGUGUAUGGGGGUCGGUUUUGAUGGUUUUGGAUUUUCGGUUUUGAAUGGUGGAUUAGUAGAGGUGGCUGGAAUAUGGGUGAAUUGCGCUUUUGACCCCCUGUGUUAUGGAAUUUAUUACAAAUUGCCCCUGACUUUUCGAUUUUUCGCGAUCUCUCCCCUAAAAUUUGAAAUCGAUUGCAAUGUCAGGCUGGUGUGACUUCCAUUAGGGGUGUCAAAAACCGUCCCGAAAACCGAACCGAACCGAACCGAAAAAACCGAAUUUUUUCGGUUCGGUUUUCGGUUCUCAUUAAAAACCGAAAUUUUUUUAUCGGUUCGGUUUUUUAUCGGUUAACCGAACCAAACCGAACCGAUAAACCGAUAAAAUUCUAAAACCUUAUUUCGGUUCGGUUACUUCUUCCUCGACGAUUCCCCUCUCUCUCCUCACUGAACACUUGCCUGCAGCCCUCCUGCCUGAACCAUCGCCACCGCUACGACGAGCCUCUCACCAGCCUUGAGUCCACGAUGGACUCAUCUCCCAACAGCAGCUUAUCUUCCAUGCCCGAGCCUCCACCAAGACCCACCGCCUAGACCAACCGAGAAGCAUUACCGGCGCCCCGACCUCCACGUCUGACCACACCUGGUGCUCGGCGAGUCACGGCCGACAACCUCGGCCGUCGCCGGAACCCCCUUGCCCUCGCUGGCCUCUUCACGGUGGAAGCCAAACUUUGCCCAUAACACCCAAACAGAGACCCAAUCUAAGGUUUCGACACACCCCUACCAUCCGAAAACCACGCCUCAACGACGCUUGCCUCCGUUUGCUCGAUCAAAGAAAGGUGCAACAACAGCCACAAACAAAACAAUACAACGAGAAUGAAUAUUCCCCACACAAACUUUCAGAUCCAGUUCGGGCAUUAUAUCAAACAAUUGGGGCGCGCUACUAUAACGAGGGAUUUUUGGGUCAACCGAAGCUCGACCCACACUGGGACUCUCGACACGUGAUGAGGAAGACAUCGGAAACAAAACACGGGGCGACGCCGGCCGGAGCUCGCGGGAGCCGGACGGCCAGGAGCUCCGGCCCGGCGCACCCAAAACAGGGCAAGAGCAGGGGCGAGCUUACCUAUUCAGCUUACGCCUUACGCGCGUUGCCAAGAAGGUCGUCGUGUGGUUUGUCGACGAACAGAGUAACCAAAAAACCGAAAACCAAAAACCAAAAGUUAAAAAUCGAAAACCGAAAACCGAACCGAACCGAACUGAAAUUUCGGUUCGGUUCGUAUUCGGUUCGGUUCUUACUCGGUUCGGUUUGGAAGUUAUUUCUAACGGUUCGGUUCGGUUCGGUUUUUUUGAAAAAUCGAACCGAACCGAACCGUUGACACCCUUAACUUCCAUCAUUUUUCGGUUUGAGCACCGACCAUGUGCUUGUCACGUGACUGAGUUGAUCUUUUAUGGAGGGUAAAUCUGUCGGAUGAUAACAUGCGAAUUGCAUUUUAACCUCCAAACUUUGGCAAAGUUGCCCUAACUCUCCCUUAUAUUUCUCUUCCACUUUUUAUCAGCAAUAUAAAUUAUAAAAUCAUUUCCUUUGAUUUAUAAACAUAUUGCUCACGCAAAAACUUCAUGAAAGGAAGUGGUUAUAUUGAUUUGGUAUUUUUUUUUAAUAAUAUAACUAGACACAUCAUCACACCGCAUGAAAAUCUAAUGUUUGUAUCAUGUUCCUACAUAUUGAUAUUAGUGCUAAACUAUCAUGUCUUUUAUUUAACAAUUAAAAUGAUUGACUUACUGAGUAAUCACUUUAAUAUGUGCUAACAAACAAGUUCUACAAGUUCUAUUGUCUCUUGCAAUGUUAGGACCUCUAUUUGCUUUCGUCUUACCCUGUAUUGCGAGCCCUAAUAAGCCAUUUCUAGAAAUGAUACACAAAUCUUUUAGGUGAUUACUCAUGCCUUUGAAAGUUUGGACGAGGUUUGGAGGCUGUAAUCAAAAUCAAAUGCAAAAUUUAUUAUUGACUAAUUAUUUUGAAAGUAUGAGUUAAAUUUGUAAAAAUAUUGAAAACAUAAUCCCCUUGUGAAAAUUGGCCCGAGCCAACACUAGGGGGAGGCUUUGCAACCAAUUUCAAGACUUGAGGGAGCAUUGCGAAAAUUGAGAAGUCAUGGGGCGAUUUGCAACAAGUGCCAAGAUCUAGAGGGACGGGGUGUAAUCCAUUCCUCAAAUUCCGAUGCCGCGAAACACUUUUUCUUUGCAAUUUUAUUUUUCUUAUUUCUAGUUUGUGGAGUUCUUCUUCUGCACAUAAUGAGAAAAAUACGCACGCGAAAUAGUUUUCGAUGAUGAUGACCAUAUUUUGAAUCACUUGUCGCCGGAUUUUAACCGUUUUGCCUAUACAAAAUGGCAAAAAGAUGAUUUGCCCACGUGUCUAUUGAUUUCGAUUUUAAAGAAGAUACACUAUGACAACUAAACAAAAUAUAAUGUUGGCCUAUGCUUGAUAACGUCGACUCAUCUUUGCUUAAAGUAUCAUGAAACUGUCGAGCUCUCUUUCUGAGUUUAAGUGUAACGUAACUUCAUGGAAGGAAAUCAUACUACUGGCUAGCUUUUUAAUCUUGGGAUCAAUAAAUGUUUAGAUGCUAGGUUCUUUUCACUUCAUUCUGGAGAAUAACUUCAUGUUUUAUUACUAAAAAAAAAAGGAAUAGUAGGCUCUCGACAUUAAUAUUUUGUAUUUGGCUUUACCCUUACUUUCAAACAAUAAAUAAAUAAAUAAGAUUUAAUUAGCACGGGUGCUAUGAAAGUUAUUACCAUGUGGGGAAAAUCGACACUACUACUAAGCUUCUUUGUUUGGUGUCUUCCGCAGGAACCAAAUUUUCUUCUGUGUUGGCAAAAACUAAACUAUUCUUUAACAAUAACGAUCGUAUUGAUCACAGUAUAUGCCGAGGUUGAUUGAAUUAAACGGAUUGAAAUCUUAAUAGAAAUCAAUUGAAACUUUUACUCUAUAUAGAUGAGAGUGAAAAUAGAAGUUCCAGCUCCCUACACUUAGAUCUCCACCUAUCGUUAGAUCAAAUUUCAACUAGAAUGGAAUGAACAACUUAUGAGCAUUAGUGUGGUUUCACGUACAGUUCCAUGAAAGAAAAUGCAAAAUCUGUAAAUGUAUCUCUCAUGGAUAAUUUACUUGGAAUUAGAUCCUAAAAACUGGUGAGGCUUUGAUAAAUCACGUCUUACACUAUAUAGGAGUAAAUAUACUUGUUGAUAACAAUUGAGGCUAGGUAGAGAGAGAUUUGGGAGAAUGACAAAAGAUAGAUUCGUGUAGCCUUUAAUAGAACUUCAUGAGCAUUGACGGACAGAUUGAGUGAUUAAACUCUUGAUUUGGAUGCAACAAAUUUCAUAUUUAAAUGGUAACCUCGGAGGCCAUACCUGUAAUCUAAUACACAUAGAAGUGGUGGUUUGCAUUCAUACGUGGGAUCAAUUGAGCCAAAAGAGUUGGAUAUCACGUGUUAUAAAAAAAAUCAUAAGAAAAUUUUUAGACCACUGUCCAACUAUCUUUAAUUCUUAAUUGAUAUGGUAUGUAAGCACUUGGUUAAGAAGAAUUCCAUGGCAGACGACUCCUACAUUUUGCGCUUUAGAUCUGGAUCGUGCAAGCAAGGACUCAUGCAAACUAACUCGCCUUAAGUUAGCGAUGGUUUACUUUAUACCACGUCAACGACAUGAAAUCUGCUUAUCAAAGGCCCAUGAGUCAAUUGAUUUUCAUGAGUAAGAACGCAGAUGACUGAGAAACGGCAGAUCUAGAGCAAUCCAAGCAACAGAAUGCAUCGCACACAAAAGAGAGGGCCAGUGGUGAUGGGGCCCGAAACUAAAAUAGCCGACGGAGCAUCCGUGCCCUCAUUCAAAAGAUUUUUCUGGAAAUUGCCUGCUUUUUCAUUGGAACAGACAUGGAAUUUUCUAACAAAUAUUACUUUUUAACUUAUAGGGACAAAAAAGAUUCAAGCCAUUUGUCUUGACAAAGGCUCAGAAGAAACAGAUGACAAAGAGGACCGGACAUACACAAAUGAAUAAUUCAGGAAGUUAUUGAGGUUAAGGUUCCUCCAAGCGAGGGAUGCAAAUUUUAGCGGAGAUUUUUUAGAAGCUAUUUCUUGAAUGAAGAUGGCUUUAGUGGACAGGAUGUCCUUCAUCCUUCGAGGCGACCAAUUUGCGUAUGGAGAAACUAGUCAUUUUGGGAUUGACACAAAGCGCAAUCGCAGAACAUUGGAAUAGAUGGAGCUUAAUUAGGAUAAGCCGGAACGACAAAUCUUGAUGUCGUGUUUCUAAUACUGAUUACUCCUUGACGACUAAUUCCCACUAUACUCUUUGUUCUUAUAGACGGCGAAGUGGCUCAAAGUUUGGAACCUUAGUGUGGUCAUUUACCAUGUACUUUCGGCUAUCUAAAAUAUAGAAAUUCUCAUCCUUAAAGAAUGUGAACAUCUAGAGCAAAUUCACCAUUCUAUUAAUGAAUUAGGAGAAUUGAAGGAACUUGUUUUGGAUUCGACUGCUACAAGAGAGAUUCCUGCUAUUUUUUCACUGAGGAAGCUAGAAAAGCUUAGUGCCAAGCAUUGUUAUGCUCUGGUUCGACUUUUCGGACUCCAUAAGCCAUUCAGUGAAUCUGUCAACCCUCGAAUUUAUGCAAUUGUCAGGGAAUGGCCGAACUUCUAGGCAACAUUGGGUACCUCAAGAAGCUGCAGAGCUUGCCAUUUGGCACGACUUCCACACUCUGUUGCCCAUCGACACAAAUCCCAAACUCCAUUGGGAAGAUGGAAUCCCUUACUAAACUCGACCUGUCUAGCACAAGCAUAAUGUAACUACCAUCUUCCAUAGGAGAUUUGCAUAACUUGGAAAUCCUGAAGAUUUCUCCUACCAGGAUUGAAAAGUUACGAGGUGCAAUUGGAAGGUUAGGGAAACUCCCGCAAUUGGAUGCUUCAAGUUGCACUAGAAUAGAAGGGGAAAUUCCAAGUGAUUUUAACAACUUGUCUUCACUCGUGAAGCUUCCAACAUAUACAUCCAUUUCUGGCUUGCCAGAAAGCACUCAGAAUCUUUCGUCUCUACAACAUCUUGACUUAGGGGGCUGCCAAAAGCUUCAAUCACUGCCUGAGCUUCCUUCUGGGUUGGACUUUCUGCAAGUCACUAAGAGUUUUUGCCUCCACUUUUUUACCAAAUUCAUCUAAGAGAACUCUCUAUUUAUGAUUGCAUAUCGUUGGAAAAUCUCCCAGAGCUUCCUCCAAGACUAUUGAAGCUUCAUGUCACAAGAUGUGGCAAGUUGAAAUGCUUGCCAGGAUUUGAGCCCCGUGAAUGCCCCAAAAUGAUGCAAAGCGAACGCCGACAUGUUGCAAUAUCCCCAAUGACGUCGGCCAUAGCAGGUCGCAUGAAGUUGACUAAGCUGGAUGGCCUUAGACAAUGUGCAGAGUCCCUGAGAUGCGUGCCAAUGAGCAAGAACUAUCGAUCAAGCACUCCAUUGGAUAUGGAAGACAAUCUAGUCGAAGUUCAAGGUCUUGACAGGUUGAAGCACUUGGAAGAAUUGGAUGUAGAUUUUUGCCGUUUUAUUGGAAGACUAGACCUUCCAAAAUCAAAUCAUUUGAACGAUUGACUACUAGAUAUUGCAAAAAUCUAGUUGAAAUUUGAGGCCUUUAUUGUUUGAAGUUCUUGGAAGCAUUGCAUAUCACUGAUUGCACGCCCAUUUUGAGAUUGAACCUUGCAAAAUCAGAGCGUCUAAAGGAAUUAAAGGCUGGAAAUUGCAAAAGUCUAAUUGAGAUUUGAGGCCUUGAUAGGUUGAACUUCUCGGAAAAGUUGGAACUCUGGUCAUGCAAGUCCCUGGAAAGAUUACCAAAACUGUCGUGCUUGGAGACCCUGAAAGAGUUGAACAUCAACUGGUCCAUUGUCUGACCAAAAACAACUGGUGCAUUGAGCUUCGUGAUAUUGAGUCUGGAGAAUUUCUUGUCCUGCCAAAGCAUAUACAUGGACGAAUGUCCAUCCUUAAAGAUAUUGCCAAACCUGUCAAAUUUCGAGAAUUUAGAGAAGCUCACCAUCGGGAUUCGCUUGAUAUUUUGGAGAUACUCGGGAUUGAGGAUUUGAUAUCUCUCACACAUCUAGAUAUCACAUGAUGCAAGUCAAUCAAGACUUUACCAGAUUUGUCGACAUGUAAGAUGUUACAAUUUUUGGUGGCCCAAGACUGCGACAAACUUGCCGAACUUCGAGGACUUGAAAAUUUGGGUUUGAUGUAUUUGGAUGUUUCUAGAUGCGACUCACUGGGAGCAAUACCGAACUUUUCUAGAACACACGUCAUACAGGACUAUGAAGAAUGCCCAUAUGAAUCGAUUAUGGCUUACCAAUGAUUGAAACCCGAAGGUAAUGAUGUGAUAAAUCAUGUAUUACAAUUGUGAGACAAUUGAUGCUUCCCACUAAGGAAAAAGAGCAAGUAAAUUGUCAUUCUUCUUUUGAUUCGUACUAACUUUUUGCCAAGAACAUUUUCCUAAACAAUCAGCUCUCCGAUUUUUCAUUAUGAUCAUGAAGCAUUGGAAUUUUAUGCUACGCAAGGUUGAUUUGUUCCGUUGAUGCUUGUCCUGGACAUUCCAACUUGGCAAAGCUAAUCUCAUCUAUACCAUAUGUGCUCUUGGUUUUGAUGUGAGCGAGUUAAAUCAAUCAAGAAAACUACUUUUCCAAUUUCGCUGGAAACCCAGUCUAACACGUUAGCUGCUGCACGUCCAAAGAACUCCAAGAAGUAAGGAACGACCAACGAGCUAGCCACAAAGAACGAUGCUUAAAGCUUGUGGAGUUAGUAAUGCUAUCUUCCAUUUGCUUGAACUCAGUUGACCACAAAAUGCACCUGUAAAUCUCCCAAAAAAAAAAGGGAAGGGAAUGUCUUUGAAGAUAGAAGAUGACAAACGAAAUCGUGAGGAUUGCAGCUACCGCUGCUUCCAGAGGCUUCUCAUGUAGACUCUGGUGCUGCCCCCUCGGUGGUAUGAUGAUUAGUUCAUAAAAUUUUUUAUAUAAUGUCAAAGUUUUUGUAAACACAGCGAGCUGUCAGUAUUGCCAAUUUUCCAAGUCCACACUAUUUAUUCGAAAGUAUAAGCUAGCAUAGAGUCAUUUUUCUUACUCUCAUAUCAGCAGCAUCACAAAGUCUGGUUUUCCAGUUCCCCGGGAAAUGAAGAUUUCUUUUCUCUUUGGGUUUAUACCAAUAAAUUGACGAUGCUCUUACUUUGUCAAAAUGUCACAGUUGGCAUCAAAACUAAAUUGCAUAUUAAGCUUAUAUUCGAUAAGAAAAUUAACGAGAGAUUCACUCACAACGUCUCAGCUGGAGAUCUCCAUCAGUUUUCUGACUCAACUGGCUGAGGGGGACGACAGUCUUCAUUGCUCAAGCUUUACUUAGGUGUUUAUUGUUGCGCUGAAAUUGAAGUGUAACUGCAGAUCAUUUUUUCUUUCCCUGAUCUGUCACCAUGUAUCAGCAACAUAUCGAACUCUAUAGAUUCGUUGCUGACAGGAAUAUACAACUGUACCAAGUUUAAUGGCACUUGCAGCAUGAUCAAGUGCUAUUCAACUCGGUGCUAUUCGAUGGCUGUCCACUAAUUUGUGUAAUUAUCGUACGUGUAUUUACAUGUAACCAUGUAAGGUUUUCCUCAUGAAAAAGUGAGGGAAAAUUAAUACCAUGCGUUGUUAAUUACAACGCUUCAGUCCCUUAUUUAAUUACAAGUUAUUUAAUUGCUUGCUUUAGUUAUGAUUGAUUUGUUUUUGAAGCAUCUGUUCACAUUGAAACAGUUCGUGGAAGUUGUGAUUCUUGUUGUCAUAGUUUGGCAGUUAGGAUUGCUGGAGACUCUUGAAUUACUCAUCUAGUUCCUGAUUUUCUGAAUCAUUAUCACAGUCUUCUAGCUGAAGAUUGGACAUCUUAGCAAUUUGUCAGCCGACAAUUUCUGCAUAAGUGAGAUUUUUGCUAUUUUAGCAAAAAUAACUUCAAACAGUGCUAAUGCUUGGAUAAAUCUUGUUGAAGUUGGAAAUGUUAAAUUCAUUUUUCUAGGACAUGAUAAUUGGCACCGCAUGUAGAAAUCCAUCCACACUCCAUCCAAAUCCAGGACUGAUACAAAUUCUGUCUCUUGGAGCAUUAUAAGAAACAGGGGAAGCAGAGUAGAACGGUAUUAUGAAAUACUGAAUGAGUCAAGUGCAAUUCCAAAUAAAUGUCAUUUUACCAGAAUGCAGUUCCAAAUAUUAGUCGAAACCGGCAUUUCAUACGUGCAAGCUGCCCCUAAAGUCAUUGCCUAAUCAAUCCAAAGGCUUUGCACCUGCAGCCUGCAUCCUCUUUCUGUCAAAUUACUUAGCAUAAGGUGACAUCAGGCCUGGGAUCGGCACUCUGCAGCCUCUUUCUGUUGAUAUCGUUAGAAAUCUAACAACCUCAUCCAAACCUUUUUUGUGGUUAUUUUUCCAUAUUACAUCAAAACACAUUGAAAAUCACUUAUCGGGUUAUAGUUUUGCCUAAUUAGAUGAACGAUUCUAGUGGACCAAUGAUUAAAAAAAAAUCUUUGGCUUUACCAUUGAAAGAACAUCGACAUUAACAUGUUGUUAACAUGUGACUAAGGUCUUUUGCGAACCUUUUUUUCCUCCACCAGUGUGAAUUUCGCAAUAAUAAUCGCAAACAUAGUAUGCAUUUUCUUUGUGGCGUCAUAGUGGGCAUACAGCUCCGUAUAGUCUCUUCAAAGGUUUUCUCUGAUAAUUCAGUAGAAAUUGUUAUCAGAAGUUGUUUCUGGUGCUGUAUUUUUUGUCCUAACUUCUUAUACUAAUAUCAAAAGGUUUCCUGAAUCAAUUGUUCAAUUGCACAACCUAGAGGCUUUGAUGUUGUGGGGUUGUGAAGAUCUCACUAAAUUACCUGAACAUAUUGAGAAACUGAUUGACCUACGAUUUCUUGAUGUCAGAGAAACUCUGAGCCUAAUAGCUAUGCCACUAUUUAUAGGUAUGUUGUCCAAGUUUGUUGGGGUAACCAAAAACGAGUUGAAACUAAAGGAGUUGAAAAUAAAAUUGAAUGCACCUUGUGGGGAAAUCAUUCAUCUCCAAGUUGCAUAGGGUUCGAGAGCAUGUCAAUUUACCCAUGAGAGACGCACUAUGCCGGUGGACCAUGCAGUGAUUGAAGAUUAUGAUAAUUUCCAGAAUUUGUAUUCAUUUAUGACCGAAUGACUAGCUUGAACAAAAAGAAUAUGCAUUAAGAAUCAUAUUGGCAAAAAAAAAAAAAAAAACGUAAAAGGACGACAUAGAACGAAUUUUAAAAUUUCAAGGACCGGUGGUUUAUUAUCUCUAAAGUUUUUGCACAAGUUUUAUGAAGAGAGUCUCCGAAAAUUUUUGAUAAAAGUGAAAUGUAUUACUUUCUAUUCUUUUCCCACAAAAUUAAGGCAAUAACACUUCCAAGAAAAUGAUCUACACGUCUCAAUGUCUUUUCCCGUUUCCACCUGCAUUAUUUUCUCUAACAUAGCUCUUAGAGAGUAUCAUCAUGUAAAAAUUAAUCUCCACUAUUAAUACAUCGACUUUUACACUGGUAUCGAUUCUUCAUUGUUGGUCAAAGGCCUAAGUGUAGAUUAAAUGCUAUUCAGCAAAAGACCAAUUUUCCACCUGCUUUAUUCUAGUGCAUUUUGCCGUACGUCACAUUUGAAUUGUUGUACCUCAUGGGUACUUUAACAGUAUUAGAUGAAAGACUGAGAUUUAUUCUUUAGCAAUUUAAUGGUCACGGAUCUUAUAGGACUUGUAGAAGUGCUCAAAAGUGACUAUUAACUUUCUACGCCUUUGACACAGACAUGGUAUAUACACUGAAUUAGAUUUGGACCACCGAAAAUGACAAGAUCCAUAUAAAUUUUAUGUGAGUUCCACUAAAUUUAACUGUCUAAAUUCAAAUGACGGUGAGAGUACAUUGGGUUCAUGGAAUACAUAGUAGAAAAAUGAGUAAGGAAUACGCAAUGCGGUUGUCGUACCACAUAAGUUGCAUUCAUCAUGCUGGGUUUGACAACACCCGAGUGGAAGGCCUACUAAGAAGGAGCCAUAUAAAAAGCAAAUAAAAAAAUCAUUGCUAUUUUCUUUUUCUUUUUUUAAUUAACAUGAACUACAUGUGAAUGUAGCUCAGACUUAUUAAAAGUUAUAUUGAAUCAAAUCUUGUUACUUCAAAUUCACAACAAUCUUUUCUUUGAAUUUUACCUAACCCAUACUAUUCAGCUAAUUAAAUAUGACUUAAAAGUUAGAUUUUUGACCAUGUUAGUGCUUCUAGCGGUGUGACACUUAUAUUUUAAUGGAUAAGGAAAGCAAAAGGUUGUCCAUCUUCACUUUGAUUUGUGCGGCCAUGUGAUCACAUUACAACGAGAACUAACAAAAGGGAAGGGUUAGUCAGUUAAAGAAAUAAAUCGCCUCACCAAAGACGGUAAGAUUAUGUGUAUUCCAGGAACUUCUAGCUCAUCUUUUAAGGCAAGAGAAUAAGUAAUUUCCGACAUCAACACUUUUGCAAAAGUUGCCGAGCAAAGGGGAUGAUUGCGUGGCUCUUUAAAUAAUGUACCGUGCGAAAACUAAUUUUACAAUGUGAACACCUUGACUCCAAUGUAAAGUAUCGAUUCUUUUUGUUAAUGGGGUCAGGGAAAGCUAAAGGUCACCCGUCUUUAUUUUGAUUUGGUUGGUCACGAGGUCCAAUUGCAAAGAGCAAGUAACAAAAUAUCCUCAAAAGUCUAAAGCGAGAUAGUCUUGCCCGAAGGUGACAAUUAACUUUUUGGCCUUUUACACAAAUAAUAUAUAUAAGUUUUAUAUGAGGCUUGCUAAAUCUAAUGAUCUAAAUUAAAAUUAUGAUAAAUGCAUAUCAAGUUCGCUCAUGAUGCAUUUGAUAAUAUUUCUAUUUUCAGAAAUAAUUUCUAUAUAAGAAUAAUUUUUUUCUUCUUUGUUCCCAAGAACAAAGAAAUAUAUUUUAAUUACUUUUUUUAUUCCAAAUUUAUUCACUGGCUAUUUGUCUAUUUUGGAUAAUAGAAAAAUUAGCUGACAUUACCAAAUAUAUUUCUAUAUUUCUAUUUCAACAAAUAAAAAAUAGAAAAAUAGGAUGAUUAUAAAUAUGCUCCAAAUAAUCACCAGAAAAAUUGUUUUUGUCUGGACCUGAGUAGGUCCUUAAACUGCUCAAUGGAGGUAAAGGCGGGAGAACCGCCCCGGGGUGGGUGACCCUGUACUUGCCUCCCCAUCCUCUCGGUUGGGUAGAUAGAUAUAGACCGGGAAUUUGGAGGCUCGUAGACAGUGAAGGUAGAUAACUAAUCCUAGAAACACUGCGUCUGUGGUAACAUAGGUUACAACUGGGCUGGCAUGGGGUAACUAAUCCCUGUUAGGGGUGAGCGGUUCCAGGUUCCAGUUCGGUUCCGUCUGGAACCUGGAACCUACCCGUGGGAACCAAGAACCUGGAACCUACCCUGUCACAGGUUCCAGGGUCGGUUCCAGGUUCCAACAGGUUUCUUUUUUUUUUUUUUUUGUUAUUUUCAGAUUUGAACUAUAACAUAUGCGCACGUUACCCAAAAAAACUAUAACGUACGCGCACGUUACCAAAAAAGCUAUAACGUACGCGCACGUUACCAAAAAAAAAAAACUAUAACGUAUGCGCACGUAACCAAAAAAAAUAUAUAACGUAUGCGCACGUUACUAAAAAAAACUAUAACGUGCACGCACCUUACUAAAAAAAAAUAUAACGUAUGCGCACGUUACCAAAAAAAAACUAUAAUGUACGGUAACUUCCCAUUGACAUGUUAUCUUGAUACAUUAACUUCGCACUGCACAACAAUAAUAGAAUAUAAUUAGAAAUUUCAAAACAAAUAGCAAACUAGAAAGUAGAAAUAAAACACCACUAGAACAAGAAUGUCUAGAGGUACAAGUUUUGAAAACAAUUUCGAUUAAACCCUUAAAUGAACUCAGAAAAUUCUGAAAUUUGGACGCGUUGUAUUUAAGACCUAGAGGUACAAGUUUCAUGAAGAAAUCGUAGUCCAAUUCGUUCUGGAUUAAAAGAUAAAAUCGAUUUACUUUUCCUAUUCUCUACUUGCACAGUUUUUGAAAUUUUUUUGGUUAAAUAGGCAAAUGAACUACAAAAAUUACGAAAUUUAAAUAUGUUGUAGGGAAUACAUGAAGAGAGAUAUUUCAUGCAGAACACAUUUCCAAAAGAACCUCAUACAAAAUGAUAUAGUCCACGCAUUGCAACUUACAAGAUCCGAACACAUCAGAUUGCACAGUUUUAGAAACAUUUCCGAUUAAAUAACCAAAUGACCUUCAAAAAUUAUGAAAUUAUACUAUGUGAUAGCCAAGACCUUAAGGUAGAUACUUCAUGAAAACAUCGAAAUCAAAUUCGUCCUAGAUAAUUAAAUAUGAACGGUUAAAAUCCCUGUUCGUAGUACCGUAAUUCCAGAUCUAACCAUCUCCAAAGGACCACGAUUUCACCUACCUAUUCUUGUUUGUUUUCUCUAAAUUUUUUAUAUGUGGUACCUCAUGAUGUCCUUUAAAACUUUUGUUAAGAAACCGAAGUGAAAUUGCGACAAAACGGUUGCCUUACAGUCCAUGCAUUCAUCAAGGGUCGGUCCCAAAAUCUCCAGAUCCAGUCUUUCCAAAGAAUAACGAUUUUACCCACUUAUACUUGUUUGUUUUGUCCCAAAUUUGAGUAUGUUAUACUCCAAGAAGUCCUUUACAACUUUCAUUUAGAGGCCGAAGCCAAACUUCAACUAGAACAUCACAUACAAGUCACUAGAACAUCCAAGGUCGAGCUUUUUCUGCCCUAAGUAACCGGUUCCGGUUCCAGUUCCGAAACAGGUUCCGGUUCCGAAAUCGGUUCCGGUUCCGGUUCCGGUUCCGGUUCCGGUUCCUAGAAAAAAAGGAACCGGAACCGGUCCCCCUUGGAACCGGGAACCGAACCGGACCCUCCUCCAGUUCGGUUCCGGUUCCCGGGUAACCCGGGAACCGCGCUCAGCCCUAAUCCCUGUCCCUUGCCCAGCGUGAUACGAGGUGGGUGAAAAUCCCACGACUGUUUAACAUGCCUAACGGCAAAGGCAAAGGAGAGAAAAAGCUUACGCAAUUGUCGUACCCCAUGAGUUGGCCUCCACAUGCUGGGUUGUAUCGCACUCGAGCAUAAGGCCGACAAAGAAGGAGCCAUGUAAAAGCAAAUGGGAAAAUCAUUACUAUUCUCUCUGUUUUGAUUAACAUGAAUUACAUUUUUUUUUUUUGAGCAAGUAACAUGAAUUACAUUUGAAUGUAGUACAGACUCAUAAAAUUUAUAUGUAGUUAAAUUUUUAACAACCCAUUCUUUAAAUUUUUGCUAACUCAUAUAAAAUCUAAUUCACUAAAAUUUAUAUGUAGUUAAAUUUUUAACAACCCAUUCUUUAAAUUUUUGCUAACUCAUAUAAAAUCUAACUCACUAAAUAUGAGCUGAAUUAUAGAUUUUUUUACUCAUUUUAACGCCAGCAAAAGACUUCCAUUUCCACGGGCAGGGAAAGCAAAAGAUUGCUUAUCCUCACUUUGAUUUGCAUGGUUAGGUGGUCCAAUUACAAGGAAAUCUGACAAAAGGUGAGGGUUAAAGAUGCAAAUUGCCAUAUCAAAGACAUCCACAAUAAGAUUGUGUGUAUAAUUUGUAGUAAAGACAAACUAAAUUAAUGAUAAUUCAACAAAAGAUACCGAAAUGAAAGUUCAUUAUGUUCCUAAUUAAUUUCUAUAUACAAUUGUUAUACUAUUACUAACUAGUUUAAUUUGCGCAAAUUUUAAAUUUUAGGUGAGAACUCCUUCAAUUUCUACCAACUUACGAACUCCCACUAGAAAAAAAAUAAUAAUUACAUGAUCUCAUGUAAUUUUCACAUUUUUCUAUUAAUAUUUAAAGGCAUAGCAUGAUGUGAACUAAUACAAAAAACAAUCAUGUGGCAACUAUAAUCGAAAGUGGAAUUCAUAACAUAAUGAAAAAGAUCGAUGAUCUCUUGCCACUGUUUAAUUUUACUUGGAACUAAGAAACUACAAGCAUGUUAAAGAAUAUACAUGCUAUCAUCAAACCAAACUCUAUCCAACACAUAUGUGGUCAUUUACAUGUAGAGUAGCUUCUUUAUUUUCAAAAGUAUAGAGAAAUACAAAUUAGAAUGAAUAAACAAUGUACUUAUAACCCAAAAAUAUACAUACUUAGAGUUCCAUAUGCAUUUUUAUUUUAAAAACAAGAAAAAUAACUAAACCAUAAUAUAAAGCACAUCCAUAUGAAUCAAACCCACCAACCACAUGCCCACACGGGCCAGCGAACCAACGAGGCUCCUGGCAGAUUUGAUCGGUCCAAUUGGUGACUGGUCCGAUCAGUCCAACCGUCUGAUCGAUCAACCAGUCAACCGGGUUAGGUCGCCGAUUGGUCACCGACCGACAAAUAGCCAAUGAGUGACGUCAUCAAUGAUGUUAGUGGGUCGGUUAUCGACCGUUGGUUAACUUCAUCAUGCAUUGGUUGGCCAUUGCUUGCGUGGCGCUCACGAGCUGCCGUUCCCAACGCAUGUGGCGCGUGGCGCUCACACGCCGCGGCUUCAGGCCUCGCAUGUGGGUGCGUCUGAUGGAAUGCCACUCGCCGUUUUGAUCAUCUCAACAAGUACUUUUAUCCUGUAUAUUCAAAAAUUAAUUUUGGCCAAAAAAUAUUCUGAAAAAAUGACCGAAACAUUAUAGUCAUUCACAACCUCCAAACCUAUUCUUCGCUUUGAUUCGUUUUCGACAAUUCAUGUUGGAAUGUUCAAGCAAUGAACAUCCAGACAAUAUGAAGUUCAUCCUUUUGAUCCCCAUAUCAAACAACAAGUGAUAAAAAAAAAAAAAAACGAUGGGAAAAUAAGGCAGAGAUCAUAAUACAGGCUCUGAUACCAAUUUUGGAAGAAAAGGCAGAAGAAACAACUAACUUCUUUGAUGCGCAAUAAACAAAUUAUCCAGGAGUGUAAGUUGAAUCACGAGCAAACGACGGACGAUAUGACUUUACGAUGGUCCGAAUACAAUCAUGAGGAAAGUAUUCACCUUCCACAGCGUUAAUGCCGAUUGGUUUCUUGAAAUAGAAAUGGAAUUGCCUUUUUGAUCUUUGAUGGAGAGAAGAGAAGAAGAAAGAAUAGUUUUUCUAAAUGUUCUUUCUACCAACAAUUCUAAUGGUUAUUCUUACCUUUUCACCAAAAAAAAAAAAAAAACAAUUCUAAUGGUUAUCUCCAUAAGUUAUUUGUAUAAUUUCUCUCACACCUUUUGAAAAAGUGUCUCUCCAUUAUAUCAAAACAAAUAGGUGCGUCUUAACUACACCUUAUUAUGAACGUACCAACAAAAUGUAAUACCUCUAGGUUUUGCCAGAAUGGGGGGUGCGGGUUAAAAUUAGUUGUGCCAUGUAUGAGUCUUAUCUAGAUCAUAAAACAAACCUCAAUUGAUUCAAAAACAGCCCUUCGCAUCAUUAAGUGGAACAUGUACGAUAAUAGGUGCAUAAUAGACCAAGCUAGCUAAUUGCCGAUAGAUCUCAUAAUAAAUUAGCAGAUAUUUCAAAGGAAAAUGCAUUCAGGCUAUAGACCAAAAGUGUAGGAACUCAGAGAAAAUCUCACGGAGUGAUGCGGUAACCUAAUAGUUGAUUUUUUUGAUAGAUUUACUGGCUGAACUUGUCGAAAAAAGAAAUCUUACUCACAACUGGAAUAUGCAUAUCAGCAGUUUUUUCCGCUGGACUUAUUACUUUUUUUUUUUUUGGGUACAUCCAUGUACUAGAGAUUCUGCAUUGGCAGAUAGAAGAAGUGCUAUGCAGUAAUUUCAGAUUAUUGGGUGGAGUUAUGAAUCCAACGGUCCAUCCUCGAGGAUGGUAUGUAAUGGGUCUUGGAUGAAGAUACAGAGCAAUAUCCUUUUGUUCCUAUACACCUCUGACGCAACAACAAUUUUAGACGUAUUUUCUAUUGGUUACAUUUAAAAAAGUCAUGACACGUGUAUAUUCUAUUAGUAAAGACAUCAGUGCAAACUAAUACGUGAUAUACUUAAGUGCCAAAAAUUAGGAAAGUGAUAUUUAAAUGCCAUUUUUUUUUUAUAAAAAUGGGACACCUGAUUACCAAGUCCGGCGAAUCACGCCAGAAAUCCCAUGUGACAAUUUUUUAUUAAUAUUUUUGCCUACGUGAUUAGCCGGAGAAUUGACUCAGUAAAAAAACACCAAAAAGAUGUCGUUUUGGCGCGGAUUUAAAAUUUAAUAUGAAUAUUAAUUAAAUUAAAAUAUUAUUAUUUAUUAUUUUAAAAAAAAAGUAGGAGGAGGCGGAAGGUGAGAGAGCCCUCGCCACCGCCUCCCCGCCAUUGGGGGAAGGGUCGGCUAGGGUCCCCCACCUCAGCCCUUCCCGACAAUGGUGAGGAGGCAGUAAUGAGGGCACAACUCUCGCCUUCUGCCUCCUCCUCUUUUUUUUUUUAAAAUAUAAAUAUUAAUUAAACUAAAUUUAAUCCUCACUACCAGCAAUCUCCAUCUUCCUUUUUUUUUUUAUAUAAAAAAAUUAGUUUUAAAUUUAAUGUAAUUAAUAUUUAUAGUAAUUAUCUACUCAUGUUAGUAGCAAAAUGACAUCGGUUUACACUUACCUCGUUGGAAAAUUGUUACGUCAGUAUUUUGAUCGGAUUUUCUUACCGUUGACGCUUAAUCGAUCUAUUUUGCUCCGAUUUUGACACUUAAAUAUAAUUUUCUUAAUUUUUGACAGUGAAGUGUCGCUCGUGUCAUUUCCACACUUCGGGGGUCAAGGUGCCGUUUCUACUACAUUUAGCAUUUCAAGAUAUGCAGACAUUAGUAAAAAGAUUCAUAUACAUUAUUGCGUCUCGUUUGGAUUAAAUAAUAAGAACUUGGCGUCUCUUUGUUUUGCGAAAUUACAUUUCAUUAUUUUUCUCUCUCUCUAAUUACUGGUUCAAAAUUAAUGUGGAAUUUCAUUUUUAUCGUUUGGCGGGCAAUCAUUGCCGCCCACUAACUUUUGCUGCUACCACGAACGCACUACCAACCACGCAACCCCCCAUCCGCCGCCCCUCUGCCGCCUCAAAUGCACACCACCACCGCGGCGCAUGCCGCUAGCUCAACCACAGCACCAACCGCCCACCGCCACCNNNNNNNNNNNNNNNNNNNNNNNNNNNNNNNNNNNNNNNNNNNNNNNNNNNNNNNNNNNNNNNNNNNNNNNNNNNNNNNNNNNNNNNNNNNNNNNNNNNNUAAUGCAAAGAGAAGAAGUAAUUUCCAACAUAAACACUUCUGCAAAAGUUGCCGAGCAAGGGAGAUUAUUGCGUGGCUCUUUAGGAGUAGUACCAUGCGAAAACUAACUUUACAAUGUGAACACCUUGACUCCAAUGUAAAGUAUUGAGCCUUCUAUUAAUGGGGUCAAGGAAAGCUAAAGAUCGCUCGUCUUGAUUUGAUUGGUCACCCGGUCCUAUUGCAAAGAGAAAGUAACAAAAUAUCUUCAAAAGUCUAAAGUGAGAUAGUCUUGCUCGAAGGUGACUAUUAACUUUCUACGUCUUUUAUACAAACAUUGUAUAUAUAAAAUUAGAUUUGUACCAUUGAAAAUGAUAAGAUUUGUGUAAGUUUUAUGAGUCUUGCUAAAUCUAACGGUCUAAAUUCAAAUUAAGACGAGUGUAUAUUGAGUUAGCGGAGAGUGCGUUUGAUAAUAUUUUAUUCUUGAAAAUAAUUUAUGUUUAGAUAUAAUUUUUUUUCGUUUUUAUUUUUCUGGAACAAAUAAAUAGAUUUUUUUACUUUUUUCUAUUUAAAAUCUACUCCUUAAUUAUUUUUAUUUAAAUAAUAAAAUAAUUAAUUGAUAUUAUCAAAUGAAUUUUUAUUUUUUUUAUUUCAAUCAAUAGAAAAAUAUAAAAACAGGGCGAAUACUAAACAUGACCUGGAUAAUCACUAGAAAAAUGAGUACGGAAUGAGUCACAUGUCACAUGGACAUUGGUCAAAGGAACAGGCAAAGGAGAGAAGAACCUCACGCAGUUCUCGUGCCGCAUGAGUUGGCCUCCUCAUGUUGGGGUGUACCACACGUGAGCGUGACGGCCCACUAAAAAGGAGCCAUGCAAAAGCAAAUGAAAAAAUCAUUACUAUUUUCUCUUUUUUUAUUAACAUGAAUUACAUUUGAAUGUAAUUUAGACUCAUUAAAUUUGUAUGUAGUUAAAUUUUUUCGCUUUAAAUUCAUAGCAACCCAUUCUUUAAAUUUUUGCUAACUCAUAUACAAUCUAACUCACUAAAUAUGAGUCAAAUUGUAGAUUGUUUUUCAACCCAUUUCAACGCUAGCAAAAGACUUCCAUUUUCGCAGCAGAGAAAGCAAAAGGUUGCUAUCCUCACUUUGAUUUGCAAGGCUUGGUGGUCCAAUUACAAGAAGAUCCGACAAAAGGUGAGGGUUAAAGAAGCAGAUUGCCUCAUCAAAGACAUCCACAGCAAGAUUGUGUGUAUCCCAAGUAAGGGUAAGAAUCAAUCCAGGAUUAAACCAACUCAACUCUACCGGUCCUGAUCCAUUAAACCAACUCAACUCUACCGGUCCUGAUCCAUUAAACCAACUCAACUCUACCGGUCCUGAUCCAAUUCCUAAUAGGACUAAGUCAAUCUUUGGUUUUGGGAUCCUUGGAUUAAUAUUGUGUGGAUUGGUCCUCGAUCUUGGAAGUUUAUAAUUGAUCUAACUCAGACUAACCUUGAUUACAUAUAUUAUAUAUAAUAUGUAUAAUAUAUUAUUUAUAAUUUUUUUAUAUAGAGAAAAUCCUAACAGCAUUAAACGGCUUCUUAAUGAGGAGUCCAAGUAAUUUUACAUUGUUCUUUAAUAACUUAGACUUUUAAUAUCUUUUAUGGCAUCAACAGCCAUUAUUUAUAAAUGAGGAAAGUAUCUCAGUGAGGAGUCCAAAACGGCGUCCAAAACGGCGUAAAUAGCUCAUAACGUAUCCUCCUCCCAUAUUUGUUCUCUUAUGUUUUCUUUAUUCUCUUAGUCUUCAAUUUGUCAAGAUCGAAAGAAAUAACUUUCCUACUCAUCGCUCGACAUUCGCCUCACUCGCAUCACUCGAUGCUCGUCUCACUUGCAUCGCUUGCUACUCGAUGUGAGCAAGACACUCAUUGCUUACCCCACUUGACACUCGCAUCACUUGCCUCUCUUCGCUACCCUUACACAUAACUAAAUCCAUUAGGACGAUCCAAUUCUCGAUUGCCCCUUUUCAGAUGGUACAAAAAAUGAAACAAAAAAAAAUUAUCAGUUGGUCCCGAAUUGAUCAUAGAACUAGAUCAAAUUCAUUGGGUCUAUCCAAUUCUUAGUCCCAGGCUCAAUAUGGUCAGUCUUCGGUCCAAAAAAUUAAGAAUAGAUAUUGUGCGAGUUGAUUUUAGAAUUAGAGGGUGGACCGGUCUAAUUCAGAUUAUACUCACCCCUAAUCCCAAGCACAUCCGGCUCAUUUUUCAAGGCAAGAGAAGAUGUAAUUUCCAACAUGAAUAAAUUUGCAAAAGUUGCCAAGUAAAGUGGACGAUUGCAUGGCUCUUUAAGGGGUAGCACCAUGUGAAAACUAAUUUUCCAGUGUGAACACCUUGACUCCUACUUAAAGUAUCGAUUCUUUCGGUUAAUUGGGUCAGGGAAAGCUGAAGGUCACCCAUCUUCAUUUUGAUUUGACUAGUCAUGCGGUCUAAUUACAAAGAAAAAGUAACAAAAUAUCCUCGAAAGUCUUAGGUGAGGUUGUCUUGCUGUCACUAGCUUUCUACGCCUUUUACACAGUCAUGAUACAUGUGUAUGUGUGUGUAUAUAUAUUAUAUUAGAUUUGGAUCAUUGAAAAUGACAAGAUUUACGUUAGUUUUAUAUGAGUCUUGCUAAAUCUAACGGUUUAAAUUCAAAUUAAGAUGAGUGUAUCUUGGAUUCACUUAUUACGUUUGGUAAUAUUUCUAUUAUUGAUAAUAAUUUUUGUUUAGAAAUUAUAUUUUUUAUUUCUAUUUUCGGAAACAAAGAAAUAGAUUUAUUUUACUUGUUGUAUAUAUUUCAAAUUUAUUUACCGGUUACUUUUUUAUUCUAACAAAUACACAAAUUAACUGAUAUUAUUGAACAGAUUUUUUUUUUAAAUAUAUUUGAAAGAAUAAAAGAAUAAAAGAAAUGAUGAUUAUUAAAUAUGCCUUGAAUAAUCACUAGAAAAAUGAGUAGGAAAUGAAUGAAGCGUCACAUGGACAUUGGUCGAAGGAAUAGGUAGAGGAGAGAAAAAGCCCACGCAUUUGUCGUACCACGUGAGUUGGCCUCCACAUGAUGCUUGUACCACACUCAAGCAAGAGGCCCACUAAGGAGUAAUGUAAAAGUAAAUGGGAAAAUCAUUGCUAUUGUUUCUUUUUUGAUAUUACAUGUGAAUGCAGUUUAGACUCAUUGAAUUUGUAUGUAAUUAAAUAUUUUUUACUUUAAAUUCAUAAGUACCCGUUCUUUAAAUUUUUGCUAAGUCAUAUACAAUCUAACUCACUAAAUAUAAGUUAAAUUGUAGAUUUUUUUUACCCAUUUUAACGCCAGCAAAAGACUUCCAUUUCCCUGGGAAGGGAAGACAAAAGGUCACUCAUCCUCACUUUGAUUUGCACGGCGAGGUGGUCCGAUUACAUGGUGAUCCAACAAAAGGUGAGGGUUAAAGAAGUAAAUCGUCCCAUCAAAGACAUCCAUGGUAAGAUUGUGUGUAUCCCAAGCACAUCUGGCUCAUCUUUCAAGGCAAGAAAAGAAGUAAUUUCCAACAUUAACACUUUUGCAAAAGUUGCCAAGUAAAGUAGAUCAUUACGUGGUUUUUUAAGGAGUACCACCAUGUGAAAACUAAUUUUUUUAAUGUGAACACCUUGAAUCCAAUGUAAAGUAUGGAUUCUUUUGAUAAAUGGGGCCAGGGAAAGCCAGAGGUUGCUCAUCUUCAAUAUAUAUAUAUAUAUAUAUAUAUAUAUAUAUAUAUAUAAGUUAAAGAUUUGGGCUAUUAAAAUAAGUUAGAAAAAAGAUUUUUGAUUAAUUUUCAUGCCUCUUCGUUCCAAUGGGCAAGGAAAGUGAAAAGUUACCAAUCUUUACUUUGAUUUUUGCAGCCACGUGGUCCAAUUACAAGCUGAACUGACAAAAGGUGAGGGUUAAUUAGGUAAAUUCUUAGGGGUGUUAAUGGUUCGAUUCGUUUCGAAUUAACAAUAAGCAAGAAUUGAAUCAAAUUGAAUCGUGACUCAAAAUUAAAAACUUGAUUUGGUUUGAUUUGAUUUUUCAAUUUUCCUUUUUAUGUCUUGUUGCAUAAGGGUGAAAAAAUGAGAGAGAUUUUAAGUGGACGUUAAACUUUUAUUGGGAAUUUUGAUUUGACUUAAUUAAUCGAAUUAAAAUAAUCUAAAAAAUUAUUUUUUAUCAUUCGAAUCGAGAAUUGAACUAAAUCGAAAAUGCAUGAUUUGGGCUCGAGUCCGACAUCCUCACAAAUUACCCCACAAAAGACGCACAAUCCACGGCAAGAUUGCGUGUAUCCCGAGCAGGUCUGGCUCAACUUUUGAGGCGAGAGAAGAAGCAAAUUCCAAUUUAAACACCUUGCGGAAGUUUGCCAAGCAAAAGUGAUGAUCACGUUACGACAAGAAAGGAAAAAGGGCGACGAUCUUGUGGCUCUUGCGGAGAAGCAAUGAAAUUUUUUUUAAAGUCUACAGUGAGGUAGUCUUACCAAUUUCGAGGAAGGGAGGUUUGUUUCUGUGGUCUUGGUCAAAAAGGAGAGGGUAAAAAAGCAGUCCGAUUGCCUCGUAAAAAAAACAACGCGAUCCUCUCCCCAAGAUUGCGCGUCUCCUUUGGGGCAAGAGGUUCCAAGUAAAGCUUUAUUUAAAGUCCCGAGUGCUUGUACCCCAAGAGCAGAAACGCCAAUCACCAGAAAUCACUUGAGACGCUCUUUCGCUCUGAGAUAUCUGGCUUUGAUAGCUCUAGAUUAAGGCGUGGAGGUGGUCUCAGAAUUGUUCUGCUUUUGAGACUCGGACACGACUUGAUUGCUUGAAGGUAACUCCUUUUUAAACAUUAAAGCCCAUCCUAGUACUUCCGUCUUUACAUCACUCCUCCAGAUUAGCGGUGUACAAUGAAAACUGUCCGAACAGGGAACAGCCGGACCGGGUGAUUUCGGGGUCGGAACCGGACUGACUGGACCGANNNNNNNNNNNNNNNNNNNNNNNNNNNNNNNNNNNNNNNNNNNNNNNNNNNNNNNNNNNNNNNNNNNNNNNNNNNNNNNNNNNNNNNNNNNNNNNNNNNNNNNNNNNNNNNNNNNNNNNNNNNNNNNNNNNNNNNNNNNNNNNNNNNNNNNNNNNNNNNNNNNNNNNNNNNNNNNNNNNNNNNNNNNNNNNNNNNNNNNNNNNNNNNNNNNNNNNNNNNNNNNNNNNNNNNNNNNNNNNNNNNNNNNNNNNNNNNNNNNNNNNNNNNNNNNNNNNNNNNNNNNNNNNNNNNNNNNNNNNNNNNNNNNNNNNNNNNNNNNNNNNNNNNNNNNNNNNNNNNNNNNNNNNNNNNNNNNNNNNNNNNNNNNNNNNNNNNNNNNNNNNNNNNNNNNNNNNNNNNNNNNNNNNNNNNNNNNNNNNNNNNNNNNNNNNNNNNNNNNNNNNNNNNNNNNNNNNNNNNNNNNNNNNNNNNNNNNNNNNNNNNNNNNNNNNNNNNNNNNNNNNNNNNNNNNNNNNNNNNNNNNNNNNNNNNNNNNNNNNNNNNNNNNNNNNNNNNNNNNNNNNNNNNNNNNNNNNNNNNNNNNNNNNNNNNNNNNNNNNNNNNNNNNNNNNNNNNNNNNNNNNNNNNNNNNNNNNNNNNNNNNNNNNNNNNNNNNNNNNNNNNNNNNNNNNNNNNNNNNNNNNNNNNNNNNNNNNNNNNNNNNNNNNNNNNNNNNNNNNNNNNNNNNNNNNNNNNNNNNNNNNNNNUAUACAGUAGCCAUCAUAUUAACUUCCAUUUUUCCAAAUUUUGCAAUCCAAUUCAGCGGCAAUAGCCACAAGUCUCGCUUUGCCUUUUCCUCUCAAAACCGUAACCCCACCCCUCUUGUUUGCUCGACGCCUUGCCCCCAACGCCUCACCUCUUGCUCCGAUGCUCGGCUCUCUUCCUCCGAGUGCCUUGUUGCAACGUCCCACCUCACACCUCGCUCCCUUGGACGCUCAGCUCUCUUCCUCCUCCAAGCGCCUUGCCCUAACACCUCGCUUCACGCCUCGCUCUCUUUUUUGUUAAAUGAAAUGAAAACAAGUGAUAGUUUAUUGGAACCGGAUUGGACCGGUUGGUCCAGUCCGGUUCUUAGUUCCAAAAUUAGCAGAUCUGGUCCACGGUCUAGAAGAGUAGGAACCGGUCCUCCUGGUUUGGUUCCCGGUUCUUGGGUGGAAUCGGACCAAACCGGGAACCGAUCACCUUGACUCCAGAUGAGUCGGAUAGUCUAUUACAAUAUGAUAGAACAAAAUAAAAACAUUUGAUUAUUUGAUUAUUACUCAUUGCAUGACAUCUAACAUCCUUAAAAGCAUACACAAUAUAGCAUGUGAAAUUCCAUCGACUUUUCCAAAUCAUGGUCAUCACAUAUGUUGCAAAUUUUUCUUACUACAUUCGCCUUUAUUCAAACCAAUCAGUAUGAGCGGUUGGACUGGUUAAACCUGGUGGGAUUUAGUAGUUCUUCCUACAAUCUCUCUCUCUCUCUCUCUCUCUCUCUCUCUCUCUCUCUCUCAUAUUUCUAAUUCUCACUUUCUGUAUCUUUUAUGUCCGGUCUCUCUCUUGCAGAACAAUUCAAGGCUAACAUCUACAGUCCUCACUCGCUUUCUUUGUUCAUUUCCCUCUUCAAAGUUCUCGGCGAGGCUUGUUUAGGGUAUUCUCUCCCCGAUCUUCCACCUCUUUUCGUAUCUCAGCUCGUAGAAGGUAACCGUUUUUUCAUCUCUUAUUAGCGUGUCAUUUCUGUUGAUUUGUUGCGGCUGAACCAGUGUGUUUUGGGCUCUUUUUGUCUAACGUGGGGGGCUGCUGAUGUGGUGUGUCACCACCUCAUAAUCGACUUCCGUAGAAAAGAGAAGCCUUUGCUUUCGGCUUUAGAUGUGACUAGUCAUGUGGCCUCUCUAUCUCAUUGUUCGUUUGCAUCGUAAUUCAGUGUCGGUCCUUUGUUAAGCUAGAAUGAGUUGGAAUGCGAGCGCGCUAGAUUCUAUUGCGCUCAAAAUUGCCUGUAUUCGCCUCAAGCCAAGGACCGUAUGGAUCGUGAGGUUUCUUUGUCUCUGAAGGUCUAAGAUCAAUUAAAUAAAAAAUGAAAUAGAAAAGAAAAAGUAGUAGGCCGGUUCGCGGCAAGUUCCAAGAUCAAGGGGGUUCGAUUUUCAAUUCCGAAAAUUGAGAACAUGCUCUAAUAGGUGGGUUUUAGGGUUUUGGUCCAUAAUCUACACACUCUGUAGCCAAUCACCCAUAAAAGCUAGUACUCUCUUAAUCAGAUUUUAUUCACAAUUUUGCCUUAGACAAUUAUAGGACAUUCUAGACAAAUAAUAUGUUGUCUUCCUCGAAUUAUUGGAUUGUAUAAUCCUAAAAAGUACAUUGCCUUUCACCUCUAACUCAUUUUCUUCCUUCAAAGUUUUGAAAAUUGAUGAAGUUAGUUACCCCAAAAGAGGGUAAAAAGAGGUUGAAUUGAGUAAUGAAAAAGUAUAGUUAACACACGUAAGCGACAAUAGCUAUUAUGCGAAGGUCAGAGCAUUUUUAACUCUAUUGCCACUUUCUCAAAUGAAAAAUCUCCAUUGCUACUUUUUACCUGCUCUCAAAUCAGUGAUAGCCUCAGUCAUCAUCACAAUACAAGACAUGCCAAAAUCCAUGGUAUGAUGCUUCUUAAGAUCUUUUAUGUUAGAACUAAUUGAUCUUUGACAUAUACACAUGAAAACAUUUUUAAAAAAUUGAACUAUACAUGUUUAUUAGGACACUCACUUAGCUUUAUGUCUCUCAUAUCUUCCACCUUUUUGCCACAAACUAUAAGUUCAUUCCUUAAAAUGUAAUUAAUCAAUUUAAUCUGACUUAUCACGAAUUUAGCCUAUAAUCCUAUUCUACGUCCAUUUAAUUGGAUUAACAAAACUUUGCAAUGAUAUUCUCAAGGUGGGCCCUCGAGGAAAAAGGGGGCACGCACUGAAGGCCAUUCUUUUCAAACCUUGGUCCUCUCUGAAUUUUCCUCAGCAGUUACCCUUUAUCUCCUUCGAUCAAAUCACGACCUAAUUUCAAGUUUUUCAGACUAGGGCAAAGUCAGAGCAAGGCAAACAAAGGGACGCACCAUUCGCUUCAGGUCGUUCCUUUGCCAUGCCCGUUGCACUGAUUCUUUUCCCUAUGCUUGUAUUCUAUCGUCUCGAGAAGAAGAAUAUGAGUGCAGAAAAAGAGAGCACUGAAGGAGCAUUUGCUGCUUCUUUGGUGUCAUCUAACAAAUGAUAGUUCUAUUCUACAGAUAAAAUGUCGAUCAAUUAUUUAAAUUUCUUAAAGUUUGAAGAGAAUACCUCAGUGAUGUCUUAUCAGGUUAAAGUGGAUUUGUUUUGCAUUAAAUUGCUAAUACUUAAGGGCAGCGAGGAACAAAUAAAAGAGAAAUAGCAAAGACCUUUUGUUCAUCUCUAUCUCAUUUCCAAAUCCAUUUAGAAUAUGACAAUUUGAAAUUAAAAUGUAAGAUCACAUUUCUAAUCACUAACCAGGCCUUUUAUUCACAUCUUCCACACAUUUCCAAUUUCGUUUGAACUCACUUAUCAGCUUUUAAAUGAUUUAUCAAAUUCUGUUCUUUUAAUAAUCAAACAAAAACAGAACCUUUGCUUAUUUAUUUUAAUGAAUGCAACUUGCUUGUACACAGAUUCUAGGUUUUUAUAGCCCAAUUAAGAAUUUAAUAUCGUGGGCGGACCAAGCCAACAUCUUUUGACUUGACUAGAGGGUGAGAUACAAAAGAAGAUAAGGCAAGGACUAAAAGCACCUGCAACUGCUUCUGUUCAAUCAAUUACAAAUUUAAUUAAGGAUUUCGUGUUAAUCUGUUCUUGCUUGGUAAAAAUAUUUUGGUGGGGUCAAGACUUAUGGAUGAAUAUGUAUAUUUUUUUUUUGAAAUAAUUGUGUUUAAGCAUAAUUUCCGAGAGUUGGCUAGGGCAGGGCACCCUCAGCCCCUCAUUAAAUCCACCCAUAUUGUCAGACAUUUUGGAUGUGGCAGGAGAAGAACUAAACAAGGAGAAAACUCAGGAGGGAAUGGGGAAUAUGUACUGCUGAGAGAGUUGAUAACUUAAUCAGUGGAGGUUAGGGAAAUGAAGAAAAUAAGAAAAAUAGAAAAAAACCAUUAGUAAUGAGGGCUAGGAUACAGACAUGGAUUACCCAUUUAGCAAGAAUGGUUCCGAAGGUCUGCCAUUGCUAGGGGAGCUAACUCUCCGUUUUUUUUUUCUUUUUCUUUUUUCUUUUGGGGUCAAAAGCUUACUCUCAUUGAGAUUGCGUGAACGAUAAUGCUUAGAGAGAAAGAGUCUGUCUAUUUUGGCUCUUCACUUUUUCUAAUUUUUAAANNNNNNNNNNNNNNNNNNNNNNNNNNNNNNNNNNNNNNNNNNNNNNNNNNNNNNNNNNNNNNNNNNNNNNNNNNNNNNNNNNNNNNNNNNNNNNNNNNNNNNNNNNNNNNNNNNNNNNNNNNNNNNNNNNNNNNNNNNNNNNNNNNNNNNNNNNNNNNNNNNNNNNNNNNNNNNNNNNNNNNNNNNNNNNNNNNNNNNNNNNNNNNNNNNNNNNNNNNNNNNNNNNNNNNNNNNNNNNNNNNNNNNNNNNNNNNNNNNNNNNNNNNNNNNNNNNNNNNNNNNNNNNNNNNNNNNNNNNNNNNNNNNNNNNNNNNNNNNNNNNNNNNNNNNNNNNNNNNNNNNNNNNNNNNNNNNNNNNNNNNNNNNNNNNNNNNNNNNNNNNNNNNNNNNNNNNNNNNNNNNNNNNNNNNNNNNNNNNNNNNNNNNNNNNNNNNNNNNNNNNNNNNNNNNNNNNNNNNNNNNNNNNNNNNNNNNNNNNNNNNNNNNNNNNNNNNNNNNNNNNNNNNNNNNNNNNNNNNNNNNNNNNNNNNNNNNNNNNNNNNNNNNNNNNNNNNNNNNNNNNNNNNNNNNNNNNNNNNNNNNNNNNNNNNNNNNNNNNNNNNNNNNNNNNNNNNNNNNNNNNNNNNNNNNNNNNNNNNNNNNNNNNNNNNNNNNNNNNNNNNNNNNNNNNNNNNNNNNNNNNNNNNNNNNNNNNNNNNNNNNNNNNNNNNNNNNNNNNNNNNNNNNNNNNNNNNNNNNNNNNNNNNNNNNNNNNNNNNNNNNNNNNNNNNNNNNNNNNNNNNNNNNNNNNNNNNNNNNNNNNNNNNNNNNNNNNNNNNNNNNNNNNNNNNNNNNNNNNNNNNNNNNNNNNNNNNNNNNNNNNNNNNNNNNNNNNNNNNNNNNNNNNNNNNNNNNNNNNNNNNNNNNNNNNNNNNNNNNNNNNNNNNNNNNNNNNNNNNNNNNNNNNNNNNNNNNNNNNNNNNNNNNNNNNNUUUUUAUUGAUUACAAAGAUUUGAUAUUAGAUUUUAUGAAUAUUAGUAAUUAGCACUUUGAUGAAGGCAGAGAUCAACUAUAUGCAUGUGCUUUCAAAUAGAUGCUUACAUUAAACCACUGAUCAGAGGCUUGAUUGAAGCAAAUAUGGAAAAUUUCUUAGAGGACCUGAGUGCAUCUGGCUUAAUAAAUUCGAACCUUUAUUAUUAUUGAGUUUCAUGUGAAAACCACAUAAUAUAAGUGUUGAGAUUCAUUAGGGGCAUAUGCAUUUGAGAAUGCCUAAUGAAAUAUAGGCAUCAACAUGUUAGCUUUAGUUAAUUUUACAUGUGAGCAUCAUGUUUAAUUUGUAACCAAUCAAUAAGAGACACGAUUAAUGAAAAUCACCUUGAUUAGGAAGGUCCAUGCAUCUAGAGGAUCAAGUCCAUGGGAAAGAGAAGAUGUGCAUUACACUGCUCCAAAAAAACAACUUGUAAUAUUUGAUUAAUCAAUAGACACCCGCCUAAGAAAACCCAUUCAUUAAACAUUGUGUACUGGGAAUCGUUCAUAAAUCAUGUGCUUUCCAUCUAGCCUUUUCACUUGCUUAUCUACAUCUUUUGGUGGAGCAGGAAGGCGUCUUCUCUUCAUUAAACAUUUUAGCAUUAGUAAUCGUUCAUAAUGCAUGCACCCUCCACCAAAGAUUAGGAGCCUUGACUAUAGGGCACGCAUGCAGACAUGAAAAUUAGCCAUUUUUUUCUUGUCCAUGAGUGGAGGCAACAUCAAUGAUGUUGCCUCGACGAGAGGGUGCGGUCCAUUGGAAAGAAAAGAUGUGAACUGCACUCCUAAGUCAAUAACUUUUUACUAUUCAAUUAGACAACAGACGGACUUGAUCAUUAAACAUUUUGGAUUCCAAAUCGUUCAGAAAUCAUAUGCCUUCCUACCAAAAAGCACGUGCUCUGCCUUUUCAUUUGCUUAUCUACUUCUUCUUUUGCAGCAGGAAGGCAUUCUCUCUUCAUUUUUGCCUAUAAGAUUUCCAUGGGGAAAGGGCAAAAUCUAAGCAAAAUGAAAAGAAAAAGAAAAAGAGCGCAAGAAAAAGGAGCACUGAGGGAGAAAAAGAGAAGAAUUGCUGAGAAAGAGAUCACUGAGGGAGCAUCUGCUUCUUCGUCCUUCCCUUCAAUACCCAUGGAAGGAGAUAGCGAUCAAUACGAUGUGUUCUUGAGUUUUAGAGGCUCUGACACUCGCAACGAAUUCACUGAUCACCUCUACCGCAGUCUGAUCAGUGUAGGGACUGUACCAAUUUCUGUGUUCAGGGAUGAUAAUAGCCUUGAAAUUGGCAAGGAUUUUAAUUCGGAGAUUCUC